rnacentral:lncRNA from 1 species
ACGUCCACCGUAAUCACCAUCGGAGGCGAAGGUGGCACGAUGGGCUGGGUCGAUCUCUGGCGUGGCAUCCUGAUCUGCGACGUGCUCCACCGGAAGCCCGAGCUCCGUGGUGUGCCCCUGCCGGUGCCGAUGGAGCUGCUGACAUGCAACAAUGGUCGGGGGGCUGACAUAGGAGGCUGCGGAAAAUCCCUCCGCGGGAUUGCCGUCAUCAAUCAAAGCCUCAGGUUUGUUCAUUUGGAAGCCAUCGUCUCCACCACAGACACUGCCUGCUGCAGAUAGCGACAGCGAUGAUGAAGAACCUGACUCGCUCAUGUCUGACUGGGUGAUCACGACAUGGAGCAACUCCAAGAUGAGUACCUCGUGGGAUGACUGGAUCAAGGACUGCGAGGCCAAAGCAUCGCACACCACGAUCCACAGCAAGCCCAAGUCAAAGAUGCUCAACUCUGGAUUGCUGUCACCUGAAGGAGCAAAUCAAGAGCGAGCCUUGCAGAACCUCUGGGUGUCCCACCCAGCUCCUGGCAUCGAUGAUGGUGUCGUUUACUUGCUGGCCAGAGUCAGAUUCCAGGACCCGAAGGCAUUCGUUAUCGCUCUUGACGCCAGGAAGAAUGUUCUGCUAGGCUCAGCUGAGUUCGCGACUGAGAAGAAACGCGGUGAUGGCGUCAUGUAUUUCCCAAGUAACAUCUCAAAGUACAUCGCCCCAGAGGCUAGGGUUCUUCCUAUUACCACAGGUACUGCUCUAAUUAAGUAUUGCAGCUGCAAAUUAAACCCUGCUCCAAGAUAUGGGAGUGGGUCUACAAAGAUGAGCUCUAAAUUACGGUGGCGGCGGAUUCUUGAGGAGGGUGCGGCUGCGGCUGGGGAAGAAGCUGAGUAUGCGGGUACGGGUGCCGCUGCCGCUGGGGAGAGAGAAAACUGGACAAUAAAAGAGGGGCAAAGGGUGUCCACCCUACCUUUUAGCAAGUUUUAGCAACCAAAAACUUGCUAAAGUGCUAAACUUUAGCAGCUCAACUUUAGCAACUUUUAGCUGCUAAACUAACUUUAGCAACUUUUAGGAAGGGUGUUUGGUAUCAAACACCCCCUUAGUCAUAAAUCUUGUAUUGAUCUUUCCUGAACGCACUGAGAUCUAACAGUGGUAACAUGCAGCGAUAAAAUGCUACUCCAUUAUUUUUUGCAAUCCUAUAAGUUGGAACGAUCUUCUUUGAGUAAAUAUUGACAGCAUUGCUCCGUGUACUGGGUAGCUCUUUCUGUGAAUUCUUUCUUUCAAGUCUUCGUUCACGGGUAGUACUGAUGAUGUUUCUUUCAGAAAGAACUGAAUAGCUGCAGUUUCUUUUGACUAAUAAAUUGCUUUGGCAAAGAUCUGAAGGGCAGUGGCGAGGAGGAGGAAGGAGGCAUUGGCUUAGCUUGACAUUGGUGUUUACUUUGAAAUCUACUCCCACCCUUUCGGGANNNNNNNNNNNNNNNNNNNNNNNNNNNNNNNNNNNNNNNNNNNNNNNNNNNNNNNNNNNNNNNNNNNNNNNNNNNNNNNNNNNNNNNNNNNNNNNNNNNNNNNNNNNNNNNNNNNNNNNNNNNNNNNNNNNNNNNNNNNNNNNNNNNNNNNNNNNNNNNNNNNNNNNNNNNNNNNNNNNNNNNNNNNNNNNNNNNNNNNNNNNNNNNNNNNNNNNNNNNNNNNNNNNNNNNNNNNNNNNNNNNNNNNNNNNNNNNNNNNNNNNNNNNNNNNNNNNNNNNNNNNNNNNNNNNNNNNNNNNNNNNNNNNNNNNNNNNNNNNNNNNNNNNNNNNNNNNNNNNNNNNNNNNNNNNNNNNNNNNNNNNNNNNNNNNNNNNNNNNNNNNNNNNNNNNNNNNNNNNNNNNNNNNNNNNNNNNNNNNNNNNNNNNNNNNNNNNNNNNNNNNNNNNNNNNNNNNNNNNNNNNNNNNNNNNNNNNNNNNNNNNNNNNNNNNNNNNNNNNNNNNNNNNNNNNNNNNNNNNNNNNNNNNNNNNNNNNNNNNNNNNNNNNNNNNNNNNNNNNNNNNNNNNNNNNNNNNNNNNNNNNNNNNNNNNNNNNNNNNNNNNNNNNNNNNNNNNNNNNNNNNNNNNNNNNNNNNNNNNNNNNNNNNNNNNNNNNNNNNNNNNNNNNNNNNNNNNNNNNNNNNNNNNNNNNNNNNNNNNNNNNNNNNNNNNNNNNNNNNNNNNNNNNNNNNNNNNNNNNNNNNNNNNNNNNNNNNNNNNNNNNNNNNNNNNNNNNNNNNNNNNNNNNNNNNNNNNNNNNNNNNNNNNNNNNNNNNNNNNNNNNNNNNNNNNNNNNNNNNNNNNNNNNNNNNNNNNNNNNNNNNNNNNNNNNNNNNNNNNNNNNNNNNNNNNNNNNNNNNNNNNNNNNNNNNNNNNNNNNNNNNNNNNNNNNNNNNNNNNNNNNNNNNNNNNNNNNNNNNNNNNNNNNNNNNNNNNNNNNNNNNNNNNNNNNNNNNNNNNNNNNNNNNNNNNNNNNNNNNNNNNNNNNNNNNNNNNNNNNNNNNNNNNNNNNNNNNNNNNNNNNNNNNNNNNNNNNNNNNNNNNNNNNNNNNNNNNNNNNNNNNNNNNNNNNNNNNNNNNNNNNNNNNNNNNNNNNNNNNNNNNNNNNNNNNNNNNNNNNNNNNNNNNNNNNNNNNNNNNNNNNNNNNNNNNNNNNNNNNNNNNNNNNNNNNNNNNNNNNNNNNNNNNNNNNNNNNNNNNNNNNNNNNNNNNNNNNNNNNNNNNNNNNNNNNNNNNNNNNNNNNNNNNNNNNNNNNNNNNNNNNNNNNNNNNNNNNNNNNNNNNNNNNNNNNNNNNNNNNNNNNNNNNNNNNNNNNNNNNNNNNNNNNNNNNNNNNNNNNNNNNNNNNNNNNNNNNNNNNNNNNNNNNNNNNNNNNNNNNNNNNNNNNNNNNNNNNNNNNNNNNNNNNNNNNNNNNNNNNNNNNNNNNNNNNNNNNNNNNNNNNNNNNNNNNNNNNNNNNNNNNNNNNNNNNNNNNNNNNNNNNNNNNNNNNNNNNNNNNNNNNNNNNNNNNNNNNNNNNNNNNNNNNNNNNNNNNNNNNNNNNNNNNNNNNNNNNNNNNNNNNNNNNNNNNNNNNNNNNNNNNNNNNNNNNNNNNNNNNNNNNNNNNNNNNNNNNNNNNNNNNNNNNNNNNNNNNNNNNNNNNNNNNNNNNNNNNNNNNNNNNNNNNNNNNNNNNNNNNNNNNNNNNNNNNNNNNNNNNNNNNNNNNNNNNNNNNNNNNNNNNNNNNNNNNNNNNNNNNNNNNNNNNNNNNNNNNNNNNNNNNNNNNNNNNNNNNNNNNNNNNNNNNNNNNNNNNNNNNNNNNNNNNNNNNNNNNNNNNNNNNNNNNNNNNNNNNNNNNNNNNNNNNNNNNNNNNNNNNNNNNNNNNNNNNNNNNNNNNNNNNNNNNNNNNNNNNNNNNNNNNNNNNNNNNNNNNNNNNNNNNNNNNNNNNNNNNNNNNNNNNNNNNNNNNNNNNNNNNNNNNNNNNNNNNNNNNNNNNNNNNNNNNNNNNNNNNNNNNNNNNNNNNNNNNNNNNNNNNNNNNNNNNNNNNNNNNNNNNNNNNNNNNNNNNNNNNNNNNNNNNNNNNNNNNNNNNNNNNNNNNNNNNNNNNNNNNNNNNNNNNNNNNNNNNNNNNNNNNNNNNNNNNNNNNNNNNNNNNNNNNNNNNNNNNNNNNNNNNNNNNNNNNNNNNNNNNNNNNNNNNNNNNNNNNNNNNNNNNNNNNNNNNNNNNNNNNNNNNNNNNNNNNNNNNNNNNNNNNNNNNNNNNNNNNNNNNNNNNNNNNNNNNNNNNNNNNNNNNNNNNNNNNNNNNNNNNNNNNNNNNNNNNNNNNNNNNNNNNNNNNNNNNNNNNNNNNNNNNNNNNNNNNNNNNNNNNNNNNNNNNNNNNNNNNNNNNNNNNNNNNNNNNNNNNNNNNNNNNNNNNNNNNNNNNNNNNNNNNNNNNNNNNNNNNNNNNNNNNNNNNNNNNNNNNNNNNNNNNNNNNNNNNNNNNNNNNNNNNNNNNNNNNNNNNNNNNNNNNNNNNNNNNNNNNNNNNNNNNNNNNNNNNNNNNNNNNNNNNNNNNNNNNNNNNNNNNNNNNNNNNNNNNNNNNNNNNNNNNNNNNNNNNNNNNNNNNNNNNNNNNNNNNNNNNNNNNNNNNNNNNNNNNNNNNNNNNNNNNNNNNNNNNNNNNNNNNNNNNNNNNNNNNNNNNNNNNNNNNNNNNNNNNNNNNNNNNNNNNNNNNNNNNNNNNNNNNNNNNNNNNNNNNNNNNNNNNNNNNNNNNNNNNNNNNNNNNNNNNNNNNNNNNNNNNNNNNNNNNNNNNNNNNNNNNNNNNNNNNNNNNNNNNNNNNNNNNNNNNNNNNNNNNNNNNNNNNNNNNNNNNNNNNNNNNNNNNNNNNNNNNNNNNNNNNNNNNNNNNNNNNNNNNNNNNNNNNNNNNNNNNNNNNNNNNNNNNNNNNNNNNNNNNNNNNNNNNNNNNNNNNNNNNNNNNNNNNNNNNNNNNNNNNNNNNNNNNNNNNNNNNNNNNNNNNNNNNNNNNNNNNNNNNNNNNNNNNNNNNNNNNNNNNNNNNNNNNNNNNNNNNNNNNNNNNNNNNNNNNNNNNNNNNNNNNNNNNNNNNNNNNNNNNNNNNNNNNNNNNNNNNNNNNNNNNNNNNNNNNNNNNNNNNNNNNNNNNNNNNNNNNNNNNNNNNNNNNNNNNNNNNNNNNNNNNNNNNNNNNNNNNNNNNNNNNNNNNNNNNNNNNNNNNNNNNNNNNNNNNNNNNNNNNNNNNNNNNNNNNNNNNNNNNNNNNNNNNNNNNNNNNNNNNNNNNNNNNNNNNNNNNNNNNNNNNNNNNNNNNNNNNNNNNNNNNNNNNNNNNNNNNNNNNNNNNNNNNNNNNNNNNNNNNNNNNNNNNNNNNNNNNNNNNNNNNNNNNNNNNNNNNNNNNNNNNNNNNNNNNNNNNNNNNNNNNNNNNNNNNNNNNNNNNNNNNNNNNNNNNNNNNNNNNNNNNNNNNNNNNNNNNNNNNNNNNNNNNNNNNNNNNNNNNNNNNNNNNNNNNNNNNNNNNNNNNNNNNNNNNNNNNNNNNNNNNNNNNNNNNNNNNNNNNNNNNNNNNNNNNNNNNNNNNNNNNNNNNNNNNNNNNNNNNNNNNNNNNNNNNNNNNNNNNNNNNNNNNNNNNNNNNNNNNNNNNNNNNNNNNNNNNNNNNNNNNNNNNNNNNNNNNNNNNNNNNNNNNNNNNNNNNNNNNNNNNNNNNNNNNNNNNNNNNNNNNNNNNNNNNNNNNNNNNNNNNNNNNNNNNNNNNNNNNNNNNNNNNNNNNNNNNNNNNNNNNNNNNNNNNNNNNNNNNNNNNNNNNNNNNNNNNNNNNNNNNNNNNNNNNNNNNNNNNNNNNNNNNNNNNNNNNNNNNNNNNNNNNNNNNNNNNNNNNNNNNNNNNNNNNNNNNNNNNNNNNNNNNNNNNNNNNNNNNNNNNNNNNNNNNNNNNNNNNNNNNNNNNNNNNNNNNNNNNNNNNNNNNNNNNNNNNNNNNNNNNNNNNNNNNNNNNNNNNNNNNNNNNNNNNNNNNNNNNNNNNNNNNNNNNNNNNNNNNNNNNNNNNNNNNNNNNNNNNNNNNNNNNNNNNNNNNNNNNNNNNNNNNNNNNNNNNNNNNNNNNNNNNNNNNNNNNNNNNNNNNNNNNNNNNNNNNNNNNNNNNNNNNNNNNNNNNNNNNNNNNNNNNNNNNNNNNNNNNNNNNNNNNNNNNNNNNNNNNNNNNNNNNNNNNNNNNNNNNNNNNNNNNNNNNNNNNNNNNNNNNNNNNNNNNNNNNNNNNNNNNNNNNNNNNNNNNNNNNNNNNNNNNNNNNNNNNNNNNNNNNNNNNNNNNNNNNNNNNNNNNNNNNNNNNNNNNNNNNNNNNNNNNNNNNNNNNNNNNNNNAGCGGACUUCCUGCUCAAUAACGGAACGCAUGACUUAAAACGCUCUAGUGCUGUCACUAUGGGUUUACUGAGCAUACUCUCUUCCGCGUAGGGAGGGAGGUCCUUGCAUUCUGGGCCUACUUGUAGGUUGAGGUAGUUUGAUAUAGCUAUCAACGGACUAGAUUCUGGGGAAACCUGGCACGCGAUGGGCUUGCUGACCCCAUUGAAAUGGGCGCGUACUAAUGGGUACCGAGCAUCUGACAUGGAUGCUAGUUACGGAGCAACCGAGCAGGAAGAGGAGAACGGGGGAGGCAGUGGCCCGAUAAGAAGCGGAAACCGGGGUGGAGGCGCGGAGGGAGGCGGCGGAUGAGGGGAACGGGGGAGGCAGUGGCCCGAUAGGAAGCGGAAACCGGGGUGGAGGCGCGGAGGGAGGCGGCGGAAGAGGGGAACGGGGGAGGCAGUGGCCCGAUAGGAAGCGGAAACCGGGGUGGAGGCGCGGAGGGAGGCGGCGGAAGAGGGGAACGGGGGAGGCAGUGGCCCGAUAGGAAGCGGAGGCGCCGUGGGGGGGCGGCGACGUAGGGCGCGGGGGCGGCGGCCCGAGGGCGCGGCGGCGGCGGAUCGGGGAAGAAGAGAUGUGGCUAAGUGUUGUGUUGGACGAAGGGGCCGGCCUCUUAAACCCCCCCCCCCACCUCGGGGAAGCCCACCCGCUAAUAAAGGCACCCGCUAAUAAAGGCUCCCGCUUUUAGUAAAGCACCGGGUGUAUCUACCAUCUGGUAUCCUAAACAUUUUUUUAUUUUUCUUUCUUUUACGAUUACUAUUGUAUUAAUUUAUUACGUAGUAAAUCAAAUAACAUUCAUAAAAAUUUAAAAAAUAAUUUAGCAGUUUAAUAUUGAUUAGAUAUACACUAUAAAAAUAUUAGAUAGGGUCAAAUAUUAAACAUGGUAAAGUUAUUAAUUUAACUUAGUAAUAGAUUAUAAUGGUCAUAAUACUUAUGUUAACUUUAAAACUCGAAAAAAUAGAUAUUUUGACCAUGCAAAAAUUUAAAAAAAUAGUGCCUAUAGUGUUAGUAACAUGUUUACCAUGACUUAAUCAUGUACUUAUUUAAUUGUACGUAAAUUUAUUAUUUAAUAUUUAAUGGUGCUAAAAAAAUUUAAAAUAUUUAAUAUUUUAACCAUGCAAAAAUCAGUUCUUUAAUAUUUUAUCCGCACCUUCGGCAUCCUGGACUCAGAUGAAGCCCUUUUGCCAGUGAAGACACAAUUUGCAGAAAACGUUCCUUGCUGGGGAGGUCAAGGUAACGAGGAAGCUUGGCAACGCAUGACAUAAAAUGCUCCAGUGUUGUCAUUAUGGGUUUACUGAGCAUACUCUCUUCCGCGUAGGGAGGGAUGUCCUUGCGUUCUGGGCCUACUGUUAGGUUGAGGUAGUUUGAUAGGGCUAUCAACAGACUAGAUUCUUUGGAAAGUUGGCAUGCGAUGAACUUGUUGACCCCAUUGAACUGGGUGCGUGCUAAUUGGCACCGUGAUUCUAACAUGGAUGCUAGUUACGGAGCAGGAAAUCGGGUUGGGGGCCGCGAGGGAGGCGGUGGAGCUGCGCUAAUACGGCCAGCUCAACAUCAACCUGCCUCCUUGAGCUCCACGAUUGCUAUUCUCACAUUCUCUGGUAGAAAACCCCUAUUGCAAUAGACAGCAAUUGUGUCAUCAUUACGUGGCAGUCAUGGGCCUUUAGAUUUAUGAAUUUCUUCUCUUUAAAAUUUAUUAUUGCCUGUAUAUUCGAAGAGUAGCCUGGUGGGACCUUGAUACUAUUCAAGCACUCAAACAUGCUUUCCUUCUCUUCCUUGUUGAGAGUGUAACUGGCAGGAUGCAAGUAAUGUCCAUCAUAUCUCUUUUCCAGAUGUAGUUCAUCUCAUUGUUUCAUACAUUUCAGGUCUCGACGUGCUUCAAUUGUAUCAUUUGCCUUUCCAUAUGUACCCUGGAAGCCAAGCAUGUUCACGCAAAGAUUUUUUAUCAGGUGCAUCACAUCAAUUGCAUUACGGACCUCAAGGACUUUCCAAUAAGGUGGCUCCCAAAAUAUAGAGUUCUUCUUCCACAUGGGUGCAUGUCCAUCCUCAUCGUUCGGAAUAAGUUGGCUACCAGACUCAUUGCCAAAGACUACCCUUACAUCCUUUAUCAUAGAAAAUAUACGUUUACCAUUACGGUGAACGGGCUUAGUACGUUUUUCUUCCUCCCCUUCGAAAUGUUUCUCUUUCUUUCCUGACGGGUGUUUAGCAGAAAGAAAUCGACGAUGGCUCGUAUACACGACUUUCUUACAAUGUUUCGAAUACAUGCUGCAAGUAUGCGUGCAAGCUCAAUAUUUCUUGUUUGACUAUUCAGACAAAUUACCAAGCGCUGGCUAAUCAUUAAUGCUCGUAGAUUAAAGUCUCCUUUUUAUAUCCUCGAUGCUGGUCCCCCAACUGGUGAAGGCCAUGGCGGUGGUGGCGCUCCGGAGUAAGAAGUUGCCGUGGAAGCCAUCGGCGUGGAGGACGCAAUUGGAGAGCGAGAUGCGAUUGAGGCGAUGCGAUGGCGGCGCCGCCGUAAUCGAAAGGCUGUCGGUCAGUUUGAUCGUCGCGUCAGGAGGAAGGGGAGGACCGAGGAAGGACGGGACGGGCCGUAUGCUGUCCGUGCAACAUUUUAGCAGGCGGGGCGCAUGCCGUAGUCGAUUCGUGUGGGCUGUUCCGUGGCCCGGUCGCGAUGAUUGAGCUGGGCCAAUCGAUCCCUCAGCUUUCUUUUCUUUUUCUUUAUCAAAACUCUACCAUUUUCUCAAAAAAAAAAAUCAAAACUCCCCCUGUCCACCAGGUUCCUCCUGCUGCUAUUUUUUAACACGGUACACAUAAGAUUUAUGGAGGUCAAUAAUUAUUACAAAAUACCUCUACCAACGCCUGGCGUUUACUAAUACACACUUUUACCAGAACAUCUGUGCUGGUCCCAAUGAAACAUUUGUAUAUUAUAUAAAAAGGUUCUAAUAUGGAUAUAAUUCAUGCUCGAAACCUGGCUAUUCAAAAUUAAGUAAAAAUCCUAGUGAUUUAUUUAUUUUUAGCAGAACUCUAGAGUGAAGCUUACUCUGACAGAAACUUGAGAAAACGGUCAGCAAUUGUUGGUGGCUUAGCAUCUUCGUCUUCUUUCUCAGGUGGGGACACAUGAGAAACAGAAGGAUCGUAUCCAGAUGUUUCUGGCUCAGGAGCCUCUUCCUUUUGCUUUAUCUCCCCAGAUGCCGACGUUGCUGACUUGGGAACUUCUAUCUCUUCCUUUCUUGGAGGCUUGUUCUUUUCCUUUGUCACCACAAUCAUCCACAUCUGACAGCUUCCUUUCCAACCACUCAGUAGCCUGUUAUUUCAUUAGCAGUCAGACAAUAAAAAAUGAAGUCUUGGAUGCAUAACAGUGUGGAUACAAGGACUGAAUACACAGAAAUAAAUUAUUUAGUAACGCUAACCACAUAGUGACAUAGGUCUGCUGUAUCGGAUUCAAUUUGUUUUCUUUGAUGUUUUAUAACAAGUAAACCAACUAGAAACACCCUGGUCAAAGGGAAAGGCUAAAAAAUCGUUCUAGACUUUUUUUUUUAUAUUGUGCAGUUGCCAAGAAACUUUGGCUGGCAACUCUAGAUGAGAGGGGUUGUGUGCUUAAAUUAUGAAGAUGGUGUAGAUGAAGGGCCUGUUUACUUCAUUACCCAAGGCAGCCACGCCGCAACUUGCAGCGGACAAAAUGGACGUCAGAAUUUUGGCAAGGCUUGCCAGAAAAAUACCUAAGCCGUUGCCCAAGAAAAUGCCAGCUGAAGUUAGGCGCACUGAUGUGUGGCGAAUUCUAGCAAGGUUUGGUCAAGAACAAAACAGACCCAAAUAUACUCGCAUUUGGCAAAAGUGCUAAUUACUGCCAGAGGAAAGAGAUUUUGCUACACCAGAAACAAAACACACUAGCAGUAUGACAUGUAUCAGCAACAUUCUAAAGAGCUCGGCUUUUACUUGAACUAGCAAGAAUGUCACCGUAACUGGAGCUUACUAUCUUUGCUUGUAAAAAAGAAAAAAAAACAUACCUUGUGGAUAUUUUUUUGCCCCUUGACUGGAUCAAAAUGCAUGGUAACAUAGAAGCUCUCUUCUUCCGUCUGUCAUUUGGGUUGGGACAAAGAUAUCAAAUGGUAUUAUAAUACCAAACUCCAAAAACUGGUUAGAGUGAGUGUAACAUCACAUACCAGCGUCAACCUUUUCCACAGGGCUUCUCCAAAUUUUGUCAGAACGUGCCCAUCUGUUUCUAGUACAAACAGAUCACCAGAGCACUGCAUGUACACAAGUAUCAUAAAAACACAUGGAUAAAAGAAUUUUAUGAUCAGGGGCAUGAUUGAUUUCGUACCUUAUAGAUAACGUCAAACUGAUCAUUGAUGCAAAUUAUUGCGAGUUGACGCUCGCCUAUUUCUUCGUGUAAGAUGCGCAACCUAAAUUGUUGGAACAGUACAAAAAUUGCAUAUUAACUUCGUGCAUAAUUGUUAAGAGAAAAACAAUGGUUCUAUGAAUCAAAAAAGCAUACCCAUAUUUUGUUAGGCCUGAUUCAGCAAACUUCUGAAUCUUUUUACCUAGAUACAAGUAUAUAAAUCGUUAGGCCUGACUAAACAAACCCUUGAAUCCUUUCACUACAUACAAGUAAAUAAAGAAAAGGGAAGAAAAAACCCUUUGACGCACAGUAUCUUAGACUAACAAGUUGAAUAGAAAAACUCACUCAAAGAUGACGGAUUACUGGUGCCUUCUACAAGUUUCGCAAGUCCUCCCGGCCGACUAAUUGAUUUCAGCAGGGUACUACGAGAGCAAUUGCCAAGAACACUGAAGAACUCUUUGUCAUUCGGAUCACACACCCAACCAUGUAUGACUUUAAUAUUAAGAACAUAAAACAAGUAGAGCUCAUCACAUGCUAUGAAAUCUUGACACCUAUAAGGAACAUAUUAUGAAAUGAAUCAGUAUAAUGAAUAAACAACAGAAAACACAAACUUACAUUUACUAAAGGAGUAGCUAUUACAGGGAAUAUUAUGACAUAUUGACAUGAAUCGGAAACAUAAGCUAAAAUCUUUGGGACUAACACGGCAUAUACCAAGAUAGUGAAUUUAAGCAAUUAGAAACAAAAACCACCAACUAGAUUGAAAACAUUGCCCGCACCUUCGGCAUCCUGGAAUCAGAUGAAGCCCUUUUGCCAGUGAAGGCACAAUUUGCAGCAAACGUUCUUUGUUGAGGAAACCAGGGACACUAAUAUUAUGUUUGGCAUAGUGUGACACAGUAUACUCUAGUGCUGUCAUUAUGGGUUUACUGAGCAUACUCUCUUCCGCAAAGGGAGGGAAGUCCUUGCAUUCUGGGCCUACUGUUAGGUUGAAGUAGUUUGAUAGGGCUAUCAACGGACUAGAUUCUGUGGAAAGCUGACACGCGAUGAACUUGUUGACCCCAUUGAACUGGGCGCGUGCUAAUUGGUACCGUGAUUCUGACAUGGAUGCAGUUACGAGUAGGAAACCGGGGUGGGGCGGGGAGGGAGGCGGCGGAGCUGCGCUGGGCGGCGACGGGGGCGGCGUCGUCGGGGGCGUACGGCGCGCGGGGGCGGCGGCCCGAGGGCGGCGACCCGAGGGCGGCGCCGGGGGCGGCGGCCGGAGGGCGGCGACCCGAGGGCGGCGCCGGGGGCGGCGGACGAGGCGAGCAGCGGCGGCGGCGGAUCGGGGCGACGGGGGCGUACGGGGCGCGGGGGCGGCGGCGGAUCGGGGAAGAAGAAACGUGGCUAAGUGUUGUGGAGGACCGAAGGGAUCGGCCACUUAAACACCCCUUCAGUACCGUACCGGGUUUGAUUACUCCGGUCUAAACAUCCUUUUAUUUUUCUUUCUUUUACAAUUACUAUUGCAUUAAUUUAUUGUGUAGUAAAUUGUAGUAAAGCAAAUAAUAUUCAUAAAAAUUGGAAAAAUGAUGUGGUAGCUUAAUGUUAGUUAGAUACACUGUAAAAUAUUAGAUGCGGUCAAAUAUCAAACAUGGUAAAGUUAUUAAUUUUAACUUAGUAAUAGGUUAUAAUGGUCAUAAUACUUAUCUUCAUUUUAAAAUUCAAAAAAAUAGAUAUUUUAACCAUGCAAAAAUUUAGAGGAAUAGUGCUUGUAGUGUUAUUAACAUGUUUACCAUGACUUAAUCAUGUACUUGUUUAAUUGUACGUAAAUUUGUUGUUUAAUAUUUAAUUGUGCUAAAAAAGUGAAAUAUUUAAUAUUUUAACCAUGCAAAAAUCAGUUCUUAUUUAAUAGGGUGAGAUUUUUUCAAAUAGUAUUGUUAAUAGACCUGUUGGCGCUAGAAAUCGGUCAACCGAAUCCCAGCGACCGACACACGACCCGGGAGAAUCUGCUUAGCUCCUGUUCGGGUGAAUGCCCUGGUGCGGUUCGCGCGGCGUGCCAGCCAAUCUGACCUGUUGAUUGGCAAGGAAGAACACGUGUCAAACUCAGAAACCACGAUCGGCUAAGUUUCCGAUCGAGAGAGUUUAUCGGCGAAUCGGCCGAUUUACUGUGAUAAUGAAAUCGGCUAUAAGACAGCGCGAUCCCUGUAGCCUUGUAAACAGAGAAACACUAUAGUAAUCGGUACAAAGCUUAUGAAGACAGCACUAGGAAAAGAUCUAAUCGGCAAUGAAUAGAUUUAACGACAGAAAACAAUGAAAGCCGAUACUACCGAUUCCUAGCGGGAUAACUGGUGAUAAAAACUAGGAAAACAGGUGAAAACCUAUGAAUCUAGUUGAUAUCGAUAACUGAUGAAUAAAUCUAAACGAAACAACAGCGAUGCGCCGGAAGUUAAGGCUUAGAUAUUACUCGAUAAACGGAACUUACAGAAUCGGCCGGAGAUCAAGAUGAUGCAGCCCUGCCAACCCGCACGAACUCGUGAGAAGGAAAAAGUGAUGGCGAAGUCGCCUACUCGAAAGUAAGUACGAAGAAGAAAGUAACUUGUUGUAUUGAUUGAUUGUUGUGUUUACAGAUUUACAAAGGUAGCUAUUUAUAGCCCCGUACAAAUAAUCUUCUUAACCGACUAGAACUCUAUCUCUAAUUCAAACAGAAAACAAAUAUCUACAAGCACAACCCGUGCUAAACUAGUUACCCCACGCUUCGUGGGCUGACCUCCACCUUAUCCUUCCAUCUUUCCAAGCCCAUACAGGCCCAACUAGUCCAUCUUCCUGAUCGGCCGAUUUCUUAUCGGCAAAGGAUUGCCGAUUGGGAGUCUGGCGCAUUCACCCUGAAGCGAAGUAAAAGCUGCCGGCCGAUUCCGCAUUAUAGCACCAUUUGACCGAUUCCCAACUGUACUUCUUCGACUUCUUUUCUCUUUGGCGCCGAUUCUACUGAUGACGAAAUCCGGCGUCAACACAUGCCCCCCAGUUUCGGAGUAAAACACAGUCUUUUACUUCGAAAUUCUUUAUAACCUUCACUCCGAAACGGCCGCAGUGAAAAUAUCCUUCCGUUUCGCGGUCUCCCGGCUGAUCAUUGCAAUUUUUUGAAACGGGCGCCCACGACAGCCACUACCCCGAAAAACUCGACGCGCCGGCGCGGUGAAAAUUCCAUCUUUACCCCUUCUUCAGGCACCCUAUAAAUAGCGUUUCACCACAGCUCAUCUCCAAGCUCACGUCUCUUUUUCCAACGCGCGCGCACCCUUCUUUUUUCAACUCUCCCUUGCCAUCGAAGUCUGUUAGUUCCAGCUCCUGUUACUUCUUCCCCCUUCCCUUCGAUGGCGACUCCUUCCGGCAAUUCCCCCGCACGCGAUGCUCCAGGGAUAGUACCUCCGGUGGUGGUAGCGACGGCCAUCACUUCAUCUGCAGAUGAAAGAGCUUCAUCGGAAAUCCCAAUGGCGGUCCCCAUCACGGCCCCGUCAUCUACGUCCGCGUCGGCGACCACGCCGAUUACCCAGAACUUUAUUCCGGAGGUAAAUACCGAAUCCUCCCCCUAUCGACAAUGUAUUCGUCUUAGAUCUAUUCCUUACAUUCCUAUGCUCUUUUUCCUUUUUUUUUAGGCGGUUAGACAUAGAAUUACUAUUCAUCUUACGGGUAGUCCUGGCCUUGUUUGCCUUGGUCCCAUGGGAGACCCAGAUCCGGCGGAUCUUAUAGAUUUGGAAACUGACCGGGUACCCUUCAAACGAUCCGAUAUGAACCUAGAUCAAUGGGUGAGCACUUUCAGAUCUUGGCCGAAUGAGACCCCAAGUUGGAGGGAAUGGUACCAACGGGUGGCCGCAUCCAAGAGUGUCUUGUGGGAAGAACUCAAAAUCGGUCAAUGCAUCAACCUCUCCCUAUCUCAAAUGGAGAAAAACGAGCCGUUAGUGAUGGCGGCUUCCUAUUUUUGGUCUGACGCACUUAAUGCGUUCUUAUUUGGACACGGUCCUAUGACCCCCACUCUGGCCGAUGUGGUCCUCUUGACCGGCCUGGACAUAUCUUCUCCUGACACACCUUUCCACCUUUUGACCGCAACAUCGCAUCGGCUGGACACAAGGGGAAUCGGCGGCUGGAAGGGCUUCAUCAGUAAUAACAAGAAGACCGGCACUGUUGAGAACAGGGAACACACUGCCUUCCUGAUGAUGUGGCUAGAAAAACACCUUUUCUGCGGAAGAGCCGCCGGCCCGACAACCAACACCCAAUCUUUAGCUGAAGCACUGACUAGGGGAAGCCAUAUUCCUCUCGGGAAACAUCUUCUGGGUGCCGUGUACCAUAUGCUCCAUCAAAUCGGCACAAAACAUUCCAAGGGAGAACCAAUCGGCAACCUAGGUGGGCCUUGGUGGUUCGUCAAUCUAUGGUUGAACCUUUACAUGAACAGAAUCACCCGGCAGCCAAUGGACCACAUGACGUUUCCCAAUAUCGAAUCGGCGGAGGACCCUACCGAGCGUCGCCGAUGCAUGUCUUAUGGUGAAGCAGCGUCAGCUUUUCCAGGUUGUGCGUAUUCUGCUACAAAGGUAGCCGAGUACUUUCGGUGCUUUUAUAAUGGAUUUAAUGAGGACGCAACCAUCUGGUUUCCAUACCAGUGAGACAUUCCAGUCUUCGAGCUCCCCUCCUGCUUCGAUUCAACUUCUGGCCGGUUUGAUGAAGAUCUUUAUGAAGAAUUGAUCAAACCAGGACUCUUACCGGCCAACUUCUUUUCGAAGAAAGAUGCCCCUACAUAUGAAUUCUACAACCCAUCUACUGCCGCACGACAAUUCGGCAUGGGUCAAUUGCCGAUACGGGUGUAUUUUGCUGGCCGAAUCAAGUUCAGAGAUGUGCUUACAACUGGCCUGGAUUACUAUCGGCUGCGAGACCGAAUUCCGGAUUCCAGUACGAUUAAUUUGAAUGACUGGCUAUUAUAUCCAUUUGCCAUCCAGCCGUUCAAACUUUGGUGGGCCGAAUGGAAGCAAUUUCUAUUCUGCAACUCGGCAUCGGCAUACUACAACCUUCUAGACUCGGCCAACAUUGAUCCCAACGCCGAGGUAUUUCUGAUUACCGAUUUUAUUCUUUCUAGCAUGAUUGCGUACUAAUGAUUUCAUUGCUUCUUUAGGCCGAGAAUCAAGCCCCUCCAACGCACAGUCGCAGCGGUCGGCUAAUAGAGAGCUAUCCGUACACCACCUAUCCCCUUAUCGGCUAUGACGCUCCGUCAGUUGACAUGAUUGCUGGCCGAUCGAAGAAGGUUCAUAAAAAGGUCAUCAAGAAAACCAGUCGCCGAGUCCGGGCUCGUACGGCAUCGGCGGAUCCUCCUGUGCUCGUAUCGGCAGAGACCUUGACUGCAUCGCCCCAGGCCACACAAAGUGCCGAUACUCAAGCCAUUACACAAGCCGGAGCGGCUGCCGCCUCACUAUUGUUGGAAGCUUUACAAGUGAGUUCAAGCUUUACCGUUUCCGAUUGUCAUUUUGAUAUUAACUCUUCUUAACUUUGUGCUUCUUAGAGUUCCUCUAUGGAAAUACCACAGUCGGCGACAACUCGACCGGAUACCAACGCGCCCCUGCCCUCAUCCAUUGAGGUACGGUACUUAUCUUACGGACUCCCUUCGGGUAUUUGCAUAAUAUAUUUAACCGAUUCCUCGACGCAGACCAUCGGCACACCGAGCGUUUCUCGACAACCGAUUCCUUCUCAAGGAGCUGGUCCGAGCACCGUGCCGAUUGUUGUGGAGUCCUCUUCAUCGGAUGAACCUAUGGCACAGGCCACUGAGCAAGACACAACGGCUUUACAAGCGCAGCUUGAAGAAAUUCGUUUUAAAAUGGUAAAUUCUUAAACCAGCUUUCAACCAGCCGAUUUGCUCUAAUCCCCUGCCGAUUCACCCUUUUUUCUUUAUUUUCUCAGGAACAAGACUCCCCCAACAACAGCCUUUUCUCCUUCGCGGUCGCUCUUUCUGAUGAUGAGGAAACCGCAUCCCGCCAAGUCGCUUUAAGCUCCGUUCCUGACGACGUCCGGGCUAAACUUACCAACAUCCGAUCCCUCCUUCAAGGGGACAUCGGCCGAUUGGUAGAAGACGCUUCGCCGAUUCGGCAGCUCUUUAGUGAUGUCAGCGGACGAGUACCAGAGGAGGCGGAAGAGGCCUUGGCUCCGGCGGCCUUUAUCGAGUCCAUGAGGAUUCCAGUUUUUAGGGCCCUUUCGUCAUAUGGCCGAUCGCGCGAAACUGGCCAAGACCCGUGAAGAUGAAAAUGCUUUUAAGCAUCAGGCUCAAGAAGCGAAUCGACGAAUCCAUGUCCUGGAAGAUUCACGGCCGGCGAUCAUUAGUGAAAUAGAUCGCCUCAAACGACGGAGGGCGGACCUUGCCAAAGAGAUGGAGCAAGUGACCAAGGCAAUCAGCGUCGUAGAGAACAAACUUCAAGAGUUACCCUCUGCUAUUGCCGAUUUGACACGGGAGAGGCAGCGUUUUGCUCAAGAGGCUCUGAGACUCCACCGCAACGCAUCGGAGGUCCCUGGAUCGGCAGAAGAAGACCAACGGGUUCUUGACUCUGCCGAUCAGAUCCGGCGUCGGGCCAUCACGGCUAUCGAUACCCUUUUGGGUAAUCUGUAAAACACUGACUGUUUUGUACGAACAUUUACUGCCUUCUUUGACCGACCCUUCGCGACGCCCUCUAUUUACUGCCUUCCUUAUUACCGAUGGGACGUGGCCUCAUCAGAUUUCCACGCAUUUCCCCCAUAAAUAUCGACCUCGGCGCUUACUCCCGAUAGCAUUGAUCUGGGUCCCCUUUCGCCUUUCCUCUUCCUCUCAUCGGCACGACUGUUUCGCCAUGGCCUCAUCGUCAUCCUCUUCUGUCAACCAGGUGAAGCCCCGCCCUCUUCUUUUAGAUCUUAGGAAACGAAUGCUUCACCUUAUUCAUUCUUUGUUUCAGCCCCAACGCCUUAGUCCGGAGCUCGUGCGCGCCAUCGAGUGCAUCCAUUCCGAAGACCCGUUGACCCCGGAGGACAAGGCUCUGAUUCUGGCCCAUCAAGAGGAGCUCCAAGACCACAUUACUGCAGAGGCUCGUGCAGUUUUGGAUGCCGUGGCGAAUGAAAGCCGUCGCCGAUCUCCAGUCAUGAGAGGUCGUCAUCGUGACGUUCCCGGAGAUGACGUCACUUUGACAGCCCGCACGAUCCUGGAUUUCUUGGAAAGGAACGGCGGCCCGCGGCCUCCCGCCGAUAGGAUCCGUCUGCUUCCUCGGCCCGUCAUCCUGGCGGCGGCAGAGGCCUCGCGCCUUCGUGCUUUGGAGCAGAAUGGUGGAUCAUCUCAGAAGAAGGAUAAUUAGUUUGUUUUUGUAAUUUUUUGUUCUAAGGGCGACUUAAUGUUUUGUCGGCCAUGUAAUCUGUCGCCCGUACCGAAUGAAUGUAAUCGGCCACUCCGGUCGACUUUAUGUGCUUUGUUAAACCGACUUGUAUCGGCCAUGUAGGAUUGUGUUACGGCAUAUUUCUUAGGCUCCAACCCAUAUACUUGGGUAAUAUCUUUUUAAGUACCUCCCAUUCAGAGCUCUAGUGAACUCUUCUCCUUCUAUUGUUUCCAAAAUAUAGGCAUUCCCUGGAGCGCAUCUGCCGAUUUUAUACGGCCCUUCCCAGGUAGGAGACCAUUUGCCGAAUUUAGGAUCUUUCGACCCGAUCGGUAGUACCAACUUCCAUACCAAGUCUUCGGGGGAGAACUGCUUGACUUUGACCUUUUUAUCGUACCACCUGGCCACCCUCUUUUUAUUUUCUUCGAUACUUAUUAGAGCCCUCAGUCGUUGGCCGGCCACAUCAUCAAGUUCUCCCUUCAUCAGAGAUGAGUAAUCAUCGGCUGACAACUGGUCCUGAAGUGAAAUGCGCCUUGAUCCUGCCCUCGACUCCCAUGGCAGUACUGCAUCGUGACCGUAUACCAACUGAUAGGGGGAUAACUUGGUAGCCCCAUGACAGGCCAUUCUGUAUGCCCACAGGGCUUCGGUCAAACAUAGGUGCCACUUCUUCGGGUAUUCUUCAAUCUUCCUUUUGAUCAACUUGAUUAUUCCUUUGUUGGAAGAUUCUGCUUGACCAUUGGCUUGAGUGUAAUACGGAGAAGAAUUUAACAACUUGAUGCCCAUAUCGGUCGUAAAUUCCUCAAAUUCCCCCGAUGUGAACAUUGUUCCUUGAUCGGUUGUUAUAGUUUGAGGGAUACCGAAUCGGUAGAUGAUAUGGUCCCUUACGAAAUCGGCCAUGAUAGCCGAAGUCACAGUCCUUAAUGGGAUUGCCUCCACCCAUUUGGUGAAGUAAUCAGUAGCCACCAGAAUAAACUUGUGCCCCUUGCUCGAUGGUGGAUAAAUUUGGCCGAUAAGGUCUAUUCCCCACCCUCUGAACGGCCAUGGUUUGAUGAUGGGAUUCAUGGCCGACGCGGGUGCACGUUGGACAUUUCCAAACUUUUGACACUCCUGACAACCCUUAUAAUAUUUGAAACAGUCUUCGAGGAUCGUAGGCCAAUAGUACCCGUUGUUUCUGAUCAUCCAUUUCAUCUUAUGUGCCGAUUGGUGAGCUCCGCAUACCCCUUCAUGGAUUUCUCCCAUUAGAGUUUUGGCGUCUUCUGUCCCAAGGCAUUUAAGAAGAACACCGUCGAUCGUUCGGUAGAACAGAUCAUCUUCGAGUAAUACGUACUUGGUAGCGUGAAAGCGCACUCGUCGCUCCACCUUUUUAGACGGAUCCUUCAGGUAAUCGGCAAUUUCUUUACGCCAAUCGUCGGCUGCAAGUUCUAAGGCCAUGGCGCCCGGAAUCGGCCGAUACCCAGAUGCGUGUUGAGCGAGUUUGUUUGCUUCCUCGUUGCGGUCUCUUGGGACAUGCUCGAUUACUGCCGAUCUGAAUUCUUUUAGAAGCUGUAAGCAAUCUUCGUGAUGAAUUCGUAAUAUGUCAUCUUUGCACUCAGCCCUUCCGGUUAGUUGAUCUACAAUUAGCAUCGAAUCUCCAAAGACCUCAACAGAAUCGGCUUUGACUUCUCUCAAUAAUCGUAAGCCUUUUAAUACAGCUCUGUACUCCGCUUGAUUGUUCGUGGCGGCGGUUUCUAUCGGCAGAGAGAAAUCAUAUCUUGCCCCCCGAGGCGAUAUGAGAACGAUGCCGAUUCCUGAUCCGACCCCGCAUGAUGACCCAUCAAAAAAUAACUGCCAAGGCGCUAGUUCCACGAAGGCGAUCUCCGGUCCACAGUGCUGGGCGACGAAAUCGGCCAUGGCUUGACCCUUGACGGCUUUUGCCGAUUCGUACCGUAGGUCAAAUUCCGAUAAAGCUAAGAUCCAUUUACCGAUUCGUCCUUUCAAUAUCGGCAGUGACAGCAUGUAUUUCACUACAUCAUCUUUGCAUACGACUAUACAUUCUGCCGACAGUAGAUAGUGCCUGAGUUUGGUGCACGAGAAGUAGAGACACAAACACAAACGCUCCACCGGAGGAUAUCUUGUUUCGGCAUCCAGGAGUCUCCUACUGACGUAAUAAAUGACCCGCUCUUUGCCUUCAAACUCUUGGACUAAAGCCGACCCAAUAGCUUUUUCAUCGGCUGAUAAAUACAGUUUGAACGGCUUACCAGUUUGAGGGGGAACCAAGACUGGGGGUGAGACCAAGUAUCGCUUGAUGUCUUCUAACGCCCUGCGCUGUUCUUCUCCCCAUAUAAAUUCCUGGUCUGGCUUCAACUUCAGAAGUGGCGUGAACGCCUGAAUCCGUCCAGAUAGAUUAGAUAUAAACCUUCUGAUGAAGUUUACCUUGCCGAUUAGAGACUGUAGCUCAGUUUUGUUCUGUGGGGCGACGACUUUGUUGAUGGCCGCUAUGGUCUUUUGAUUGACUUCUAUACCUCGUUCGUGCACCAUGAAUCCUAAGAACUGUCCGGCGGAGACGCCGAAAGCGCAUUUGUUGGGAUUCAUCUUAAGACCAUGCUUUUUGGUACAUUCUAGCACCCUUCGCAAGUCGGCUAGGUGUUCCUCGUGGCUUUUGGACUUGACUACGACGUCAUCGAUGUAGAUCUCCACCAGGAGGCCAAUGAGUUUGUGAAAAAUGUAGUUCAUGGCUCUCUGAUAUGUAGCACCAGCAUUCUUCAAGCCGAAAGUCAUCACCACCCACUCGAAUAGACCAAGAUGGCCUGGACAUCUGAAAGCCGUUUUGGGUAUGUCUUCCUCGGCCAUAAGUAUUUGAUUGUAUCCAGCGUUCCCAUCCAUGAAGCUAAUAAUUUUGUGUCCCGCGGCGGCGUCGAUCAGUACAUCGGCCGUAGGCAUGGGGUAACCAUCCAUCGGUGUGGCCUGAUUAAGAUUCCUGAAAUCAACGCAAACGCGCAGCUUCCCGUUUUUCUUGUAUACUGGCACGAUAUUAGAAAUCCACUCGGCAUAACGGCAUUGCCGAAUAAAUUUUGCUUCAAUUAGCCGAGUUAUUUCAGCUUUUAUGUCCGGUAAAAUUUUAGGAUUGCAUCGCCGUGCGGGUUGUUGGUACGGCCGAUACCCUGGCUUUAUGGGCAGCCGAUGUUCAACAAUGGAUCGAUCUAAACCGGGCAUCUCGUGAUACUCCCAAGCAAAACAAUCCUUGAAUUCUCUUAAUAAAUUUGUCAAUUUACAUUUAUACUCUGGAUCUAAAUUUGCACUGAUAAAAGUCGGCCUUGGUUUGGUCCCGUCACCUAAGUCUAUCAUCUCUAAUGAAUCGGCCGACGUGAAUCCGUGUCCCAGCUUCCCGUCUUCUCGGGCGAACUGAUCCAUCUAUUGCGCUUCUUCGGAGCCGACUGCUCGGAUCGGCUGUAGGCCAAAAUCGGUGACCUUCAGGAAAUCGGUUUCCCAUACCCUACCUGAUAUGCAUCUGACGGUUUCGCAGCUCCAUUGCUGUGCGUCGGCUGCUGCGAUGCUGUACGCGGAGUCGGCUUUGACCACCUCGAUGUUAUCGUCGACCCAUUGUACGAGGCACUGAUGCAUAGUUGACGGGAUGCAGCAGUUUGCGUGUAUCCAGUCUCGGCCAAGAAGCAUAUUAUAGGACCCUUUGCCAUUAAUGAUGAAAAACGUGGUAGGAAGGGUCUUACUGCCGAUGGUGAGGUCGACGCAGAGAGCACCGCGAGCGUUUGACACCUUGCCUUCGAAGUCCUUGAGCAUCAUGUCCGUCCUGGUUAGGUCGUUGUCGCUCUUUCCCAGCUUCCGGAGUACGGCGUACGGCAUGAUAUUGACAGCAGCUCCUCCGUCGACCAUCAAUCUAGUGAGGGGGCGACCGUCAACAUGCCCUUUAAGGAACAACGCCUUCAUGUGUUGUCGUUCGUCGUCUUCGGGUUUUUCGAACGUGGCCAUCAUUGGUUCUAAAGCCAACCGCGCUGUUUGUUCCUCUAUCGCCGAUACGUCCUGUUGGUCGGCAGGGGUCAUGAACUCCAUCGGCAAUAUGAAAACCAUACCGAUUUCGGCUGCCGAUUCAUCACCCGCCGACUCAUCGUUGCCCUUGUCGUUUCUUUUGGGGCGCCACACCCGAGGCCUCCCUUCCUUCUUGUCUAUCGCGCUCUCUUCUUCUUGCUGUUCCCAUUGACGGAGGCGUUGGAUUCUCCGUUUUUGUGAUUUGGUUAAACCAUCGGGGCACCACCUGGGGUUUAUUGGCCUCCCUUCUUUCCUGGCGCGUUCCCAUUCCGGCUCGCGUCCUAACGGGUUCUCGUCCGUUACCCGAGCAUCGGCCAUGUCUUCGAGCCGGCUGUGAACGCUGGCUUUGCUAUUUGAUUGAUCAUGUCGAUCGGCCCUGCCCCCUGCCUAUUAUGGCUUCUGUCUUCUGACCGAUCAUACCGGUCACUUCUGCCCCCCUGCCUAUUAUGGCUUCUGUCUUCUGACCGAUCAUACCGGUCACUUCUGCCCCCCAGCCGAUCACGCACGGGAGGGCGCUGGUCAUCUGAGUUGCGCCAAGUCCUGCUGAUCGGUUCUGGUCUUCCGUCUCUAGAGCGAGACCUGGUGAACGGCCGAUUGCCUCGAUAGGGACCGUUGCACUCUGGGCAAGUAUCGGCCGAUGGUAGCCUGAGGUUAUUUUCCCAACAAUGAAUGAAGAAUGGGCAUCUCCAGUGCUCCUCGUGCCGACGCAUCGCUUCCUCUCGGGACCUCGAACGUUCAUGUUGGCGUUGGUACUUUUGGAGAAGGAACUGGGAAGUAAUACGUGGCCCUUCUGACUCACCAUCUUCGUCUUCCAUUCGCCGCUUCCCUUUGACAUCUUCAGGCGUAGCUUGAUUCCUGGGAUCGACAGAGCCAUUCUUUUUGGCCGAUUCGGAUGUCAGCACUUUUGUUUGGAGCGAACUCUUCCCCGUAUCAACCAUGUUGGUAGGAAAGGGGUGUUGGUCGAUCUUCAUUGGUUUGGCCGAUUUCGCCGGCACUUCGAAUUUGAGUCUGCCUUGCUCAAUGGCCGACUGUAUUUGUUGCCUGAAGAUUUUGCACUCGUUGGUAUCAUGUGACGUGGCAUUGUGCCACUUGCAAUACUUCAUCUUCUUCAAUUGUUCGGCAGAGGGUAUUGUAUGGUAAGGCGAGAGUUUAAUCUGCCCUUCCUGGAGUAGAAGAUCGAAGAUUUUGUCAGCUUUAGUCGUAUCGAAACCAAAUGCUUCCGGCUCCUUCUUGCCGAACGGGCAUGAUAUCGGCUUCUUUCCCUUAAUCCACUCUGCAAGUCCGAUUUCGGCAUCUUCCUCGUCCUCUAAUUCUUCCAGGAAUGCCACUUUCUUCUGGAAAUUCCUCCUUGGAUCGAAUGGACGUACUUCCUGUCCGGACAAUCGGUGGACAAUCUGGCUUAGGCUCUCAAACUCCUGUGAAGCAUAUUUCUCUUUAAUGUGUGGCAGCAGGCCUUGGAAAGCUAUAUCGGCCAAUUGUGCAUCGGUUAGAGCCAGGGAGUAGCAUUUGUUUCUGAUUUCCCGAAACCUCUGUAUAUACGAGGGUAUCGGCUCAUCACUUCUUUGCCGGAGGCUAGUCAAAUCAGACAGUUUCAUUUCGUGGACCCCAGCAUAGAAGUACUUGUGGAACUGUCUUUCUAGAUCGGCCCAUGUGAUAAUCGAGUUUGGUGGCAAAGUUGUGAACCAUUGGAAGGCCGAUCCAGAUAAGGAUGACGAGAACAACCGUACCCGCAAGGCAUCUUGCGUAGCUGCCUCCCCGCAUUGGAUGAUGAAUCUAUUCACAUGUUCCACGGUAGAGGUGUCAUCCAUCCCCGAAAAUUUGGUAAAAUCAGGAACUUUGUACCGAUGAGGGAACGGCAACAAGUCAUAUGUAGAUGGGUAUGGUGUUCUAUAGGUAUAAGUUUGUACUUUCGGCUUCAAGCCGAAUUGUUCUUGCAUUACCUCUGCAAUCUGUGCCGACCAAUCUGGUUGUUGCUGGGGAACAGUUGGCUGCGGUAUCGGCACGUGCUGAUAAAUCGGAGGCUGAAUAAAAGGAGAUUGAUGAAAAGGUGGUAUCUGAGUGUAAGCUGGUGGUGUAGUAAAGGACGGUUGCUUGUAUGAACCACUUGUUUCAUCAUAUAGCAUGAGCUCUGACGUCUUGUUGAUCUCCGGAGCGAUAGGCUGGUAUGGUGGUAUGAUCGGCCGAGAGGCCGUUUGGGAGGAUGUCUGGAACGGAGGAUUCCCUUGACUGUCCGAUUGAUUCAAACCGGCCGUGUUUAAAGGUGCCCCCCCAGGGUGAAGGGCUGACUGGAGGGAGUGGUGCAGAGGACAGUUGGAUAGAACCAUAUCCCAAAGGUGUUGAUGACGCAGAAGCACCGGAUCCUCCGACAGAAGGUUGGAUCGGCUGUGAAGCCUGAUAAGCCUGAUUUGGUGGAAUCGGCUGAAAAUACGUUGGUCCCCUGUACCCUUGAGGUAUACCUCCGGCGAAGGAGUUGACAACAGCAUUGUGCACCAUGUUUGAGAGUACCGGGGAUUGAUUGAUGAAGGCGUGAUGAAGAGAUUGUUGAAUCAUAUCGGACAUUUUAUCCGAAUCUUCAGAAAUUGUGAUCUGACGGGGAGUAGGGAAAAGAGUCUUUUUAAUAGUCUCCCCGCUCCUGGAACGACUGAAGGAUUUUAAGCAAGUUUUCCGGACCUGCUCCAAAUACUUGUUCAAAUCUUCCUUUUGGUCGUCCUUUAGAUCUGCUUCCGUCACUUCGAUGACGUUAUCUUCGGAGACGUCAGCAGCUUUAGACAUGGCAGCGGUUGUAUUCGUCCCACUGGGCGUGCCAAAAGUGUGUUGGCGCUAGAAAUCGGUCAACCGAAUCCCAGCGACCGACAUACUACCCGGGAGAAUCUGCUUAGCUCCUGUUCGGGUGAAUGCCCUGGUGCGGUUCGCGCGGCGUGCCAGCCAAUCUGACCUAUUGAUUGGCAAGGAAGAACACGUGUCAAACUCAGAAACCACGAUCGGCUAAGUUUCCGAUCGAGAGAGUUUAUCGGCGAAUCGGCCGAUUUACUGUGAUAAUGAAAUCGGCUAUAAGACAGCGCGAUCCCUGUAGCCUUGUAAACAGAGAAAUACUAAAGUAAUCGGUACAAAGCUUAUGAAGACAGCACUAGGAAAAGAUCUAAUCGGCAAUGAAUAGAUUUAACGACAGAAAACAAUGAAAUCCGAUACUACUGAUUCCUAGCGGGAUAACUGGUGAUAAAAACUAGGAAAACAGGUGAAAACCUAUGAAUCUAGUUGAUAUCGAUAACUGAUGAAUAAAUCUAAACGAAACAACAGCGAUGCGCCGGAAGUUAAGGCUUAGAUAUUACUCGAUAAACGGAACUUACAGAAUCGGCCGGAGAUCAAGAUGAUGCAGCCCUGCCAACCCGCACGAACUCGUGAGAAGGAAAAAGUGAUGGCGAAGUCGCCUACUCGAAAGUAAGUACGAAGAAGAAAGUAACUUGUUGUAUUGAUUGAUUGUUGUGUUUACAGAUUUACAAAGGUAGCUAUUUAUAGCCCCGUACAAAUAAUCUUCUUAACCGACUAGAACUCUAUCUCUAAUUCAAACAGAAAACAAAUAUCUACAAGCACAACCCGUGCUAAACUAGUUACCCCACGCUUCGUGGGCUGACCUCCACCUUAUCCUUCCAUCUUUCCAAGCCCAUACAGGCCCAACUAGUCCAUCUUCCUGAUCGGCCGAUUUCUUAUCGGCAAAGGAUUGCCGAUUGGGAGUCUGGCGCAUUCACCCUGAAGCGAAGUAAAAGCUGCCGGCCGAUUCCGCAUUAUAGCACCAUUUGACCGAUUCCCAAUUGUACUUCUUCGACUUCUUUUCUCCUUGGCGCCGAUUCUACUGAUGACGAAAUCCGGCGUCAACAAGACCCAACGGAGUACAUGACAUAUCGUUACACUGUGCUAUUACAUUAAUCCUUUGUUGAUAACCAUAAAACACAAUAUAAUGUUUCUAAUACAUUACACAACAUCAUCUAAUGGAACGUUAAUAACCUUCCUCUAUGUCCAAAAGUGCUGAAAGCGAAAUAUUUUCCAUUUGGAAACCUUCUAGACACUAGCUUCCCAAAAAAAUUCCUCGGCAGUCUGGAAAGGGAUAGAACAUGGUCUUGAUCUUUUUAAAAAAGUUAUCAUCUAGAGAGUUAAAAAUGGACAUGGAAUUAAGAUUUGGAGGGAUAAUUGGAUUCCCAGAUUAGACUCCUUAAAAAUCUCAAGCAGGCAAAAAGAUCUAGGCUUCGGAAAGUGGCGGAUCUAAUGCUCCAAAAUCCAAGAAGAUGGAAUGAACCCUCAUGAGACAAACUUUCUGCAUCAUGAAGCUAAAGAAAUCCUUAGUAUUAGGAUCCCAGGAUUCUAGAGUUUCUUUUUGCCAUCGCAGCGUAAACGAGGUGGCUCAUGUGUUGGGCCAGAUAGGUAGACGCGAGUUUUUUUUCUGAUUUUAUUUCUAAAGGUGUUCAUCAUCAGCUUUAGAACAUGAUUGCAAUGUUUUAAUGUUGAAGUAUUAUAAAUCUCCCUACUUUAAAAAAAAGAAUCAUUACAGUAUGCAUGAUAUGGAGAUUGCCUAGUUUUCAGUUUUUGAAACCAUCAUAAAACACACCACACACACACAAUGGACCAUCACCGGGGUGUAGAUCCCUCCUGUUCCUUCAGCCUCCCUGCCUGCAGUCGCCCUCGCGCUCCCUCGGGGUCAUGGUUAGAGGUUGAGGCCGCGUCGUCGUCUUCCUAUGGCAGCGGCGGUGCCAGGUACACCUUCACUUCCCUAUCGCCCUGUUAGGAGACUGAGUCGCCAUUCAGUAGCACCAUCGCCAUUCAAUUAACUGGGCGCUACAGACUGAAGUCAGUGUUGCUUGUAACGGUUCACCGAGUUCACCUGGAGGCAUUGAUUUGCCAUCCGACGGCCAGGGUUGCUUGCGUCAUUUGGGUGAUGGGCUACGGUCUAACCUGAUGGGAAACAGUCUUUACUCUUUGCUUACCGUUUUCAAAACAGCUUAGUUACUACUCUGUAACUUCGCGUUAUGUAAUGGCUAGGACCUGAUCAGUUGGAUCUCAUCGUCAAACAAGAACCUAUCAUUUCUUCUCUAGAAUAGCUUAGCCUUAGGCGCUGCCACCACCAUGGGGUUGGCUUAUCUGGAAUAGCCGUAGUGCUUGGCUCGCUACUAUUGUUUAUUUACUUACCAUUUCGGUGUGGCUUUCGAGCUCACUCCCUCGAGAGUUGUACGGUUUAUGAACCAUCUGUCGAAUAAAUGUGUUAUCAGCAUCCUGGGACUGAUAUUUGUAUCAUAUUUAGUCUCUACUUAUGUGGAGACGCUUCAGAAAAGAAUGAAGUUCUCCAUCACAAAAGAGGGGAAGCGACUUGUAACAUUCUCAGACGACACACUCACAUAUGGUUGUCAAUUAACCAGCACCAGAAAAUUAUGUCAUUUGUUAAGGAAAAAGGCAGUGGGAGUUGUAUUAGUACUCAACAAUAAUCAAAAUUCUACAUCAGAUCCCUCUGUUUCAAUUCCAACUCAAGUACAAAGCAGUCCUCAAUGAAUUUCAGGAUAUUUUUGCAGAACCACAAGAACUUCCUCCACAAAGAGGUGUUGAUCACUCUAUUCCCUUGAUUGAAGAAGCAAGCCCAUAACUCAAAGACCCUACAGUCUGCCACACCAUCAAAAAAAUUUCAUGGAAGAAUUGAUUAAUCAACUAUUGACAGCCCAUAUGAUUAGACCCUGUGUUAGUUCAUAUUCAUCUCCUGUCCUUUCAAUCAAAAAGAAAGAUGGAACCUGGAGGCUUUGUGUAGUUUGUGUGAACUACAGGCAGUUAAAUUCUAAUAUAACUAAAAAAAAUAUCCCAUACCAAUCAUUGAAGACCUUUUGGAUGAAUUAUUUGGAGCACAAAUCUUUUCAAAAAUAGAUCUCAGGUCUGGCUAUCACCAAAUAAGGAUGACUGAAUCAGAUAUACACAAAACUGCAUUCACUACUCAUGUUGGGCAUUUUGAGUAUUUAGUCAUGCCUUUUGGACUUACAAAUGCUCCAUCUACUUUUCAAACUCUUACGAACAAUGUGCUCUCAGCAUUCCUCAGGAAGUUUGCUUUAGUAUUCUUUGAUGAUAUCCUAAUCUAUAACACUUCUUUGCAAGACCAUGUCUCUCAUUUGAGAUCAAUUCUGACAGUGCUCAGGGAGAACAAAUUUUAUGCUAAAUUCUCCAAGUGUACUUUUGCAUAGCCUAAGGUGGAAUAUUUGGGUCAUGUCAUUAGUAAGGAGGGUGUAGACACAGAUCCAUCAAAAAUAUCAAUUAUUCAGCAAUGGCCACAACCUAAGAUAGUCACUAAAUUGAGAGCCUUCUUGGGUUUAACUAGUUACUACAGAAGAUUUAUUCAGGGGUAUGGUGUGAUCUGCAGACCCUUAUUUGAAGUCUUGAAGAAAAAUACUUUUGAGUGGACCUUCAAACAAUCUCAAGCUUUUGAUCAGCUUAAAGACAUCAUGUCAAGCCCUCAUGUCUUAUCUCUUCCAAAUUUUUUCUAAACCAUUCAUAUUAGAGGCUGAUGCUAGUGGUAAUGGAAUUGGAGUUGUGCUUAUACAGAAUGGCAAACUUAUCUCUUUUCUUAGUAAGACAUUUGUCAGUGUUUUAGACCGGCAACCCGCCUAGGGGGUACCCUAGGUGGUCUUUUGUGCGGUAAGGGCCGUCGAGAAUCAAGGAAUCAAUGGUGACAUAAGGAACACGAUUUAGACAGGUUCGGGCUGCUAGAUCACGUAAUACCCUACGUCCUGUGUGUUUGUAUUGAUCUUAGAUGCACUUGGAGUUGUUUUUUUUGCGGGGGGUCCCUGCCCGCCUUUAUAUACACGAGAGGGCAGGGUUACAAGUCCGAGUCCUAGUCGAGUACUAUUACAGAGUUCUACUCUGUACGGCCCGAGUAGUUUUCCAUAUACAUACUUGACUAGUCCGAGUGGGAUACGCCUAUCCCCUUGUCUUGAUCAUAUCCGAGUACGUCCCUUAGUGGGCCAUCCAGUGUCUACUCGUGGGCCUAGGGUGCAUGCCUGACAAGCCCCCGAAUACUUUGUAGUCGUGCGCCAUAGUCUCGAGUACUGUGGGCACUAUCCGAGUAAUUCUUCGUAGAGGUUGUAGUGUCCAAAGUGCUCGAGUACUGUCGCGUGGCUGGAAGGUACUCUUCUUAUUCCUUUGAGUCACUUCUAUUUCCAAUGAUUUUAUAUGGUAGUGCGAUGACAAUCGCACUCCAUAUGGAGUAGCCUCCGAGCCUUAGGUUGAUUCGGAGAGUCAGUCUUAGGGUCAAUCCUGCUUCUUGGCUGUUUUACUCUUGGUAAUCUGAAAAAGAAAAUUCUGACCAUUGGGUACGGUACCCGCAGCCCCCGAGCACUUAGGCGAUUCUUGUCGUUGAAGUGGUCAAAAACCCAUUUAAAGGAGUAGCCAUUGGGUGUUAAAACAUUUAAUCUGUUUGAAACCUUUCCAUUGCGAAACUGACGCUUGGAAUCCGGAGGUGGCGGAGAUAUAACUGGAGGGCCCCCUUUCGGUUAGGUUUACGCUCCACUGUUAAUCAGAUCUGCUUUUCUUUUCCCUCACCUUUCUGCUCCUCUUGUCCGCUGCCGCGAUUGUCUAGCGCCACCGCCGCCAUUGCAGCUCAUCGAGAGGGAUCUGAGGUUAUCUUGCCCUUAUUGUGGUUGAGAUCGACUUAUGCGCACCAAGAAGAUGGGGAAGAAACCCGAGAAGACUUAGGGCAAGGCUCUAGCGGCGGUGAAGGUGAAAUCGAAGAAGGGGAAGGAGCUGGUGUUGCCGGCGCUGAAGGUGGGGCCGAUGAACCAGACUGCGCUGCCGCCACCUGGAGCGACGUGGCAGCAUUCCGUGAUGAAGGAGGAGGCCGUUCAGGCACUUGUCGACACCAAGCUUCUGCAGCCGAAGGAGGUACUCGAGUGGAAGCUUGCCUUUGCUAACGCGUGGCAGUUUGAGGAACAUCCGAACGAGACGGUGAUGCUUGCACACUUUGUGGAGAGAGGGUUGGCGGUACCUACCUCCGACUUCUUCAGAGGUAUCCUCGAGUACUACAAGCUUCAGCUGGUACACUUGAACCCCAAUGGUGUACUGCAUAUGUCAAUUUUCGUGCACCUCUGUGAAGUUUACUUGGGAAUUCCUCUGAGCCUUGAGCUGUUUAGGAAAUUGUUUCGCUGCAAGCCUCAGCCUAGUGCACUUAGGACAGAGGUCUUUGGGGGUGCCGGGUUCCAACUUAGGAACUCGGUCACGCAUAUUGACUAUAAUUUGACUGACUCCCAUGGGGAGUGGAAAAAGAGGUGGUUCUAUAUUGGGAACCAUAAUCCUCGCUUGCCGGUGGUUACUGGUCACGUGCCAAAGCAUGCAGAGAAUUGGGUGAGCGAACCUGAAGAUACCCCGGAGCUCAACCAUUUGCUGCACCAGAUUACCGAGUUGAAAGCACUCGGUCUGACUGGGAUUAAUGUGGUGGCCAGUUUUCUCAAGAGAAGGGUUCAGCCUCUUCAGAAACGGGCUCACUCGGGGGGUGAGUACUAGGGAUUUAACGAUCCAUCGUGUAUGUCCGCUGAGGAUAUAUCUGACGAUGAUGUUGAGGCGUUGCUGGCCAAGUUCUUCAGGAACUAUCAAGGAGUACCAGUUAUUCCUUCAGCUCUUCGUCAGUAUGAUGCUUGGUAUGAGCCAGAAGUGGUAUGCCCUUUCACUUGACUUGUAUAUAUUUUUUGAACUUUUUUGGGCCAUUGCUUCGAGUAUCGACUUGUUUUUGUAGUCCCGAGUCCUUGCUGGCUAUCUAGCGCAGUUCGAAGAAGAAUCUGUUGUUGAGGAGUCAGAGGACAAGCCCUCUCCUCCUGUGAAGAAACGCCGAGUAGUCCGCAAGAGGUCUGCUGCUAAGUCUGCUUCGACUGCUCCUCCUGAGAAGUCUCAGGGUGUCAAGGUAUGUAGCCGCGUACUCACUUGUAGCUAAUGGAUUUUAACUUGUAAUCUUUUUGAUCACUUUUUCUGUCUCAAAAAGGUUGAUGAUGCGGCGCUUGGUGAUGAUGAGGCUACUUCGGAUGAAGUAGUCGUAACCGCCCAGGGCGUUGAUGUUGCAUCUGUUGAGAAGGUGCUAGAGGAGGUGUCGCCAGUAGAUGCUGGAGUAGCCCCCGAGCUGACAGUCUAGGCUCCGUCAGCUACCGUGCUGCCGGUCCCUGACCAGGCAGUCCUGGGUUUGCCUGGUGGAGUAGCGGAUGUCGCGAAGGGAGUGUCGCCAGUAGUUGCUACUGGCUCCUUGUUGUCAAAUAUGAUCGCUAGUGGUGAGCUUUCUUCCCGACUAUUUUUGUUAGUCUGAGUUUGUAGUCUUGACCCUAUUUUUUGCAGGGCUUGGCGAGAAAAUAGCACCAGGAGUUUCUUCCAUGGCGCCGAGUACUCGACCACCUGUUGCCGAGAAGAAGCGUGUGCGAUUGCCGCCACGAUCGACUUGGUGAGUUUGUUUAUCCUUGUUGUGUAUCCUCGAGUCUUUCUUGAAGCCGUGUGAAGACUUUAUAUUUUGAUGUAGAGAUGCGGAAGAGACUAUCCCUGUGGAGGCAGUAGUAGAGUCAUGUGCCCCGACUACUCUUUCUGCUCCUUUGGAGGAUUUGUCUGUCGAAGAGGUAUCCGAAGUUGAUGCUAGUUGCCUUGGAGCUACUAUGUCUAUGCUUCAAGAAGUGAUCCGCUCGGUGGAGGACCCCUCAGCCGCUUCGGGUUCUGGGAAUGUAUCUUUGUCGGCAUCUACUGGCGGAGCUCUGGCUGUAGUGGAUGUGGAGAAAUCCAAGGAACCAACUGCUCCAGGUAUGUAACCGGGGUCCUGGUAUUGUAGUCGUAGUAUUGAGUUUGACUGAUGUCGUUGUCAUAGGUACCGCCUUGGGUGCCGCUCCCCACGCUGUGAAGAGUACUGAGGGUCCGGUACUCGGACUUCUGUCUGAAUUGGAGUUUCAAAGAGCUGUUGAUGUGUUUCGAAGCUUCCAGGUGUGUGUCUUUGCUUAUCUAACAGAUUUAGUAACAAUGGGACUUGACUGUUUGCUUUGCUUUGCAGGAUCUGUAUGAGAGGACGCAAAGGAAUGCUCGUGCCCUUCAGGAGCGAAACGAACAAUUGGAGCAGGAGUGUGCCCGGCUUACAGAAUCCUUGAGGGUUCAUGAAGCUGGAGCGAAAUCCUUUGCCGUUGAGCGGUCAGAUCAUGAAGUCUUGCAGCAGAAACUGGAGAGCCGCUACAAAUCUUUGAGUAAAAAGUAUCAAGGUGAGUAAUUUUCAUGAUCCGAGUAUGUCCAACUAUAGUCGGUUGUGUUGAACUUGGUCUUUUUCUGCAGAGCUCAAGAGGAAGGAGGCGAUUGCGAGUAGCCAACUCCUUGACUGGAGAAACAUGCACGACCGAGUAGCGGAUGAGACUGAACAUCUUCGAGCUGCGCUGAUGGAAGCACAGGCUGCUUACGAGCAUCAGCGAGACAGGAAGAUCCAGAAUGGAGUGAUGCUUGCUAUGGCUAUGGUGGCAUGCAGAGAUCAUGCCCAGACCGUAGGAAGACUUCAAGACAAGCUCCAAGAGUUAACUGAUGCCGCUCAAGACUUGGUGAAUGCUAUUGCCCCCUUGGAAGAGGACGCGGGACCUCAAUCACUAGUCGAGCGCUUGAAGGCUGCUCCGAGUAAAGUGGCCGGCCUAUGCAAGGCUGUUUGCAAACAAGUCCUUGCCGUGGUCAAGUCAUAUUACCCGAGGGCAGAUUUGUCGGUGGCUGGUGACGGUGUUGCUCGCAACUGCACCGAGGAAGCCUAUGCGCAGUACCUCGAGGAGGCGGAGCCAAUCGUGUUGAAGAUGUCUGAAUUUGUAUCGCUGGAGGAGCCUUGAACUUUUACGUACUCUUGUAAGCUGCCGAGUACUUGGAUUGACAUUUUGUCUGAAAUGAACAUUUGUCCAUUUAUGUGAAGUGUUUCUGACCCGGCGCGGGCAAGUAGCAUUCUACGCCGCUUUGCCCGACCCAAGGUCCCAGGGUCGGACACGCCUGACCCCUUGCUGUUGAAACUCCGUCUUGCCCGACCCAUGAUCCCAAGGUUGGAAGCGCCCGACCUCUCACCAUAAGGCUCCGUCUCGCCUGACCCAAGGUCUCGUGGUCGGACGUGCUCGGUCCCACAAGACAAGUAUCCGCCUCGGGCGCAGAUCAUGACUGGCAAGAAGUGGUUUUGAGGACCGAGUUUUGGAGUUCGAUAGUACUUCACUUACGAAGUACAUAGGUCGUUGGACCUUGUAAACGUGGCCUGGUUCAGACCGUUCAACUACUAUUGUCGUGCUGACGAUGUGAGUAGUAGCUGCUAUGUAUAGGAGUAAGUCCUUGUUUGGAGAUGUAGCAGUGAGUACAAGAGGUUUUGACAGGAAGUCUUUGAGUUGUGUUAGUGCCUUGUCUGCCUCUUCUGUCCAUUUGAACUUGUCCUGUCGUUUGAGAAGCUUGAAGAAGGGUAGCCCCCAUUCUCCAAGUCUCCAGAUAAACCGAUUGAGGGCUGCCAUGCAGCCUGUGAGUUUCUGCGCAUCUUUGAUGCUAGCUGGUGCUUGCAUAUUUGUGAUGGUAGAGAUUUUCUCCGGGUUGGCCUCAAUGCCGCGAUGGCUAAUGAUGAACCUGAGUAACUUGCCAGAAGGUACUCCGAAGACGCAUUUAGUAGGAUUGAGUUUCCAUCGGAAAGCUCGUAAGCUAGAGAAAGUUUCCUCCAGAUCGUCGAUGAGUUCCCCCUGGUUUCUUGUUUUGAUGAGUAUGUCAUCCACGUAAGCUUCGACAUUGCGGUGGAGUUGCUUCUCGAAGCACAUCUGUAUAGCCCGUUGAUAGGUUGCCCCUGUGUUUUUUAGUCCGAAGGACAUUGUCUUGUAGCAGAAGGUCCCGAAUAGUGUGAUGAAGGCUGUUUUAGCUUGAUCUUCUUCUUUGAGGCUUAUCUGAUGAUAGCCGAAGUAGCAGUCGAGAAAACAUAGCAAAGCGCACCCAGCAGUGGAGUCGACCACUUGGUCGAUCCUGAGUAAUCCAAAGGGGUCUUUUGGACAGUGUUUGUUGAGGUUGGUGUAGUCGACGCACAUUCUCCACUCGUUGUUUUUUUUGCGAACGAGUACGAGAUUGGCUAGCCAGUCAGGGUGAAAAACUUCUUUGAUGAACCCUGCCGCGAGUAGCUUAGCUAGCUCUUUUUUGAUUGCCUCUCGUCUGUCUUGGGCGAACCUGCGAAGUUGCUGCCGUUUGGGGGAAGCUUUGGGAUCAACAUUGAGAGAGUGCUCGAUCAACUACUUGGGCACACUAGGCAUGUCAGCUAGUUUCCAAGAAAAGAUAUCGCGGUUAGCCCGAAGGAAGUUGACGAGCACGGAUUCCUAUUUAGGAUCUAGCCCUAUUCCAAUCAGGGUUGUCUUGGAAGGGUCGCCUGUGUGGAGAUCGACUGCUUUGAAGUACUUCUCGCUUGCAAGCUUUACUUUAGUGGUCCCCGACUUGUUGUCUGGGAUCUCGAGUUCAGUUGGAUGAAGUUUCUUUGAAGCUGUGAAGACUUGUUGCAUAGGGCUAGGUGCUUGAGAAGUCGCGGCGAUCUCCACGGCUUCGGUGUCGCACUCGUAGGAUCAUCGUAGAUCUCCUCGUAGCGUUAGUUCUCCCUUGGGCCCUAGCAUCUUGAGUACCAAGUAAACGUAAUGUGGUAUGGCCAUGAACUUGGCGAGUGCUGGCCUUCCGUGUAUGGCGUAGUAAGAUGUCUCAAAGUCGGCGACUUCAAAUAUGAUGUACUCGGUACGGUAGUGUUCCUUAGUUCCAAAGGUAACUAGAAGGACGACUUGUCCUAACGGUAUAGCUGCGUUUCCUGGUACGAUGCCGUAGAAGGGUGAAUCUGUUGGGGUGAGCAUUUCUGUGAUGUCGAGGCACAUCUUCCUCAGUGUUUUGGUGAAAAUGACAUUGAGUCCACUUCCGCCGUCGAUGAGUACUUUUGUUAGCUUUGAUCCUGCCACGACGGGGUUGAGUACUAGAGGGAAUCGGCCUGGCUCUGAGAAUUUCGUCCACUGGUCUUUCCUGCUGAAGGAUAUGGGUACUUCUGACCAUUUUAACGGUGUUGGAUCUGUUGGCUCGAUAGCCAUGAUUUCCCUGAGUACGAGUUUGCUGGCUCGCUUGGAUGCGGUGCCUAGGAUUCCGCCAAAGAUGACAUUGACUGUCUUGGAGGCGGUUUGGAAGUCGCCUUCUUCUUCUUCUUCUUCGUCGUUGUGGACUUUGUUUUUGCCAUUGUCUUUUUUCUUGGUGUACCCUUCAGGGGGUGGUGGUGCAGGUAAGUCUUGCAUGACUCGGUGCAUGCUGUAGCAAUCUAUCGCCGAGUGUUUGCUCGUCGGGUGCCAUGGGCACUGUUUUUUGAGUAGUUCGAUGAAGGUCGGUCCUUCAUCGUUUUUGCGGGAUCCCUUUUUCCUGGAAUUGAUCAUGGCAGCAACGGUGUUGUUGGGCUUCCUUUCGUGGUUUCGAUUACUCGAAAAGUUGUUUCAAGUAUCAUUGUGUCGAGUUCUAUCCUAGUCAUUGUUGUUGUUAUUGUCGCGUCCAUGGUUGCGGUGGGAGCCGAACCGUUCUCGCUCUUUGUCCUCCUUGUUCGCCCAUUGUUGCACCAUGACUUUGAGAUCUUUGACAUUAGCUGGUCGUCGUCGACCAGAGUCUUCGUAUGUUCGUUGAUCGUAGAGUCCGUUCUGGAAGCACGCGAUGACGUCUGUUUUUGAAAUGUCAACGAUAGUUGCCUUCUUUUCGAAGAACCUUCGCAAGUAGUCACGUAGGGUUUCGCCUUCUUUCUAUUUUAUUUGACUUAGGUCAAUCUUGUUGCCUGGUCUAGCCAUGGAGCCGGCAUAGUUGUUGGUGAAAGCCUUUGUCAAAUCUGUCCAACAGUCGAUUGAUUUGGGUUUGAGUGACUCGAGCCAUGUCAAAGGUGCGGGUUCCAUGCAGAUGGGAAAGUGGAUGACUUUGGUAUCGUUAUUACCCCCAGCUGCUUGGACUGCCAGUGAGUAGCAUCAUAGCCAUUGAAUAGGGUCUUGCUUGCCAUCAUACUUGGUAAUUCCUGUGGGCUUGAACUUCUCGGGUAGUCUUGUCUUCAUUACCCGAUUUGUAAAGGCAGGAAAGUGGUUGUAGUUGUCGACUUCUCGCUCACGCCGGCUGUUGAUUAUUUCUCGUAGAUCACUGAAAUUGGAUACUUCGUGAUUUUUCCGGGUGGGGCGAAUGCUUUUUAUGGAGUUGGUGCGGCUGACUUCCCCGACGUCCUUCUGGCGUGUUGGGGCAUUUUGUUUACUCGGACCUUGGCUGGUUUACGACUUCGUUGUCGUUCCUGUGAGCGUCGUUGUUGUUGGCUGCAGCACCUCUACUGCCCUCUUGAUGAGCUGUGAUGCGGGGAAUAGAUGGGACUGGUGAUUCUUUGUCGAGUAGCUUGUAAGCUUGUUUUGCGAGUUGUGCGAUUGGUCCAUUGCCACGCUGUACGAGCUGAGUUGUGGCUUCAUUGUGUCUGUCUCGGGGUAUUAGCAUUGAUAUAAGAUUGAUAGAGGCAAUUGCUGCAAGUGGAGUAUUGUGUUCUUGAGCCUGCACUGCGUCGAACGCUCUUUCGAGGUUUGUGAUGGGAAUGUUCGUAGCCAGCGUCUGUCGCCGCUCAGCCCGAGUAGCGUUGCGGACCCUUCUUUGGUUCCUUUCAUCGGAAGUUUCGUCUUGUGGGGCAUUAGAUGUUGACUCAUCUUCUAAAAUGUUGUCGAGUUGUGCUAAUCGCCUGGGGGUUCUAUUCUGGCUAGUACCCGGGUUGUUAUUUUGAGUAAUAACAAAAACUUCUCUAUUUGGAUAGUAGGUUCCAGAGCUUGCUGUUGCAAUUUCUAUGGAACUCUCCUCACGGCUUGACGUGAGUGGGACACCUUCUUGAUAUGGUAGGUUGUCUAUAUGGGCAACAAGGCAUGACUCGUAGUCGCGGACAAGGAGCGAUGGUCUCAAACCUAGCCAGUGUACGAAUUUGCCUUGUGAUGUUGAAGUUAUCACCAGUCCUUGGGCUGGUCCAGACAGUGGUAUCUCUGGGAGAUAGUCUGGGUCGGAAUCAUCGUCUUUGUCUUUCCCGUGUUCGAGUUGAAUUCGGGUAAGAAAAAUUUGGUAUACAUCGGCUGCAUUGCGGAAUCCAUGUGGAAACCGUUUUGGAGUCGAAGUCGGUUUGGGAAGUAACUGGGACCGACUAGUCCGAACUGAAGUUGAGUCCGACAUGUAGUCGAACUCGGGGUUGUUAACUUUGAAAUCUUGGUUUCUUUUGACCAAAUCCUCCGAUUUCUUCUCCUGGACAUUGAUGAUCUCGUGCCGGACUGAUCCAGCAUCGUCGGCGAUGCAGAGCCAGGAUCCAAAAACGAAGGUUGCACCCGCUUUGAUGGUGAAGAUGGGCUUGAUGACGACGGGUGCCAUUGAGCUCACACUGAGAAACUCGACGAGCACCCCUACCUGGCGUGCCAGCUGUCGGUGUUUUAGACCGGCAAUCCGCCUAGGGGGUACUUGUGGCGGAACCGCCCAAAUUAACCUGACUAAAAUGCAUUGAAGUCACCUAACACGCGAUUAUGCACUUUAGGCAAGUCAACUUGGUCGACCGUCGGAUUUCAUCCGAUUAACCACAUAAACAGGAUCGAGAAGCAUCACUCACGCGAAGGUGAGUAGCACAGAGGUUGCAACAUUCCGGGGAACCACAUGAUGCACCAUGGGAACCUCGUUCCAGGGACAGCAGGGGUAUAAGCCACGCCCUAGUUCAAUUAGGUACUAGGCUUCCCCAUCCCAUACUAGGUAUGAGAUUAGUACUUUCAAACACUUGAUCACGAACACCAACACUUUUCGACCUUAAGCAACUUCAUAUAGACAGACAGGGCAAUCCACCAACCACCAAAAGAGUUCACCAGGCCCUGCCCCGUCCAUCGUCAUUAUAGUUGUAACCAGAAGCAGAACAACCAGCUCCUAUAACUCGCGAGUGACAGGAAAUCACUCGACUUUUACCGAGUCCUAUUAAGCAAUGCAACUACUCGGACUCAUCAGGCUAGUGUUCAGAUCAAGGGAACUAAGUCAUGCAGCUAUGGUUUCAAACAACUCCUAUAACGUAAAUGCACAAACAAACGAAGGAAGGCAUCUGUAAGUUUAGAGAAAAAAUGGGUUCAUGCUCCGGGGCUUGCCUUCAAGCGGAGGGGAGGAGAACUGGUCCUCUGAGGGUUCUGCUGCAGCUCCUGCGGUCGGCGGCUCAGCUACUGCUCCAUCUUCUGGCACCGGAUGCAGUUCGUAGACGUCGUCGGUGAGAUUUAGCUCUACACGAAUGCAAAUGUAGGAGUUAGCACUCAGACGGUUAUUUCAUCAACACUUGCAGUUAAAGCUUGGACACUGGUAGCAAGGCUACAGAAAAGGUGGGGAGAGAUUACUUUAGUUGGGGAAGGGCAAGAUCAAAUGGUCGGAUGGGGUAAACUUAUGAUCUGACCUCGAAACUCUAGGAGAUAACUGUGUUCGAGGUCCCCAGACUUAGCGCAGAGAAGUCCCCGAUUUUUACACAUAUAUCCUCGGCUCAAGGAAAAAGGAUACAGCCGAGUCCUCGGGCGAGGCGGAAAAGGGUCGGCUAACAGAUAGGGUCGGGCGAGAUGGAAAAAAAAGGUUGGGCGAAUAGAUAGGGUCGGGCGAGCCGGAAAAGGGGUCGGGCAAACAGAUAGGGUCGAGCGAGACGGAAAAGGGGUCGGGCGAACCAGACAAGGUCGGGCGAGACGGAAAAAAGGGUCGGGCGAACAGAUAGGGUCGGGCGAGACGAAAAAAGGGGUCGGGCGAACAGAUAGGGUCGGGCGAGACGGAAAAGGGGGUCGGGCGGACCAGACAAGGUCAGCAGUUUACCUUUAGGCCUACUGGUGACGUCUUGGGGUCGGAAAGAACGGCUCAGGCGGAGCGAUGAAAGGUGCUAAGGCUUGGGCGGCGGCGGUGCUCCGGCGGCGGCGGAGCUUCUUGUGAGCAGCAAGGAAGCUCUAGCACUACGCGGAGGAGUAGGCGGCUGGGUGAAUUGGGAGGUGCGGGUGUUGAGCGGGGAAGGGGAACUCUCAAGAGGCUCAGCGGGAUUUGCUCAAGUGCUUGCAGAGUAGGGGCGGUGAAACGGCAAGGGCGAAGGAACUCCGGUGGGACUCCGGCAUUCCUUUUUAUGGCUGCGUGAGAGAGAGAGGGUUGGAGCAGCACGAAGACCGGGAAGGAAAGGAUGGAGUGCGCUGCCAUGGCGGCGAUUGAGCGGCGAUGGGCGGCGGAAUAGGACUUCAGAGAUAGCGUCUUCAGCCAUUGGGCACUGGAGACAAGGCGGCCCAGGCGCGGUUUUGCCGAUGGUUGAGGUUUGGCGGAGGCGGGCGUCGUCGUGCGGCGGAUCUGAUGGGUGUCACAGGGGGAACAGCGCUAUAAGCGAGGUUGCACAGGUGAUAAGACAGGCGGGCUGCGGCUGCGCGGGCGAGCGCGAAGCAGCGGUUUGCCGAGCACAGUUCUGGCAAGGCGAAAAAGGAGCUAUCACGGCCGGGGUCGGGGUUGGCGAUGGAGGAAUCGUCGCGUAGCGCAUUCGAGGCGGCGCGACUGUGGAGAGGCGGCGAAAAAGCCGAAAGGCCUCAGGCCUUGCAGCAGGGGAUCCGACGAGGUGAUGAUGGGCGCGAGCAGCGAGGUAGUUUGAUGCAGCGGGCGGCAAAGCUCUGCCACAGCGGCGACGGGGCACCAAGGCGCGGCCGGCAAGGGCGCGAGCGAGACGGGGCGCUGCAGAAGGGGUCGCAGAGGAGCUUCCGCUGCGAUUGGGGAGGAGGGCGCGGGAAACCAUCCGGUCGCGGCCGGCGACGGGGCGAAGCGGCGGGCGUCGGGGAAGUUGAGCCACGCGGCGGGGGAGCUCUGAAGUGGUGCAGGCCGCUCGAGUGCGUCUGCCUCGGGAGAUCCAAGGGAAAACAUUGCGGGUCCACCCAUCAGUCUCGGUUUCUCCUCUGCCCAAGAUUGAAAGGGACACUGUGGUGGAGACUUAGAAGGAACCAGCGGGGUGGGUUGGGGUCUUCAGGGGUCGGAACUGGGAAGUGGAGGUUGAGCGCUUAAACUCGGGGGAGCCGAGUCAGCGGAAUUAGGGACUCGGAUUAAGAUUAACUCGAAAGAUUUGACCAGGGCCGUUACAGGCUACCCCCCUUAAAAAGAAUCUCAUCCCGAGAUUCGGAUGUAGGGGUAACCAGUGGGGGGUGUGCAAUCCUUACCUCCUUGGCUAGAAAGAAAACCUCGGAAGUGCUUGUUCAGAUACUCUUCUGUCUCCCAUGUUGCUUCAUCCUCUGUGUGGUUAUUCCAUAGGAUUUUGUACAUUUUCACCACUUGGCGUCGGGUAUGCCUCUCCUUGCGGUCAAGAACUUUGGCCGGGUACUCAGCGUAGGUCAGGUCGGGUUCAAAUUGAAGUUGCUCCUGCCCUAAGAUCUCAGUUGGGACUUGGACACAUUUCUUCAGUUGGGAUACAUGGAAAACAUCAUGAAUGGCCGAAAGCUGUUCUGGGAGUUGGAUCCGGUAAGCAACGGGUCCACAAAUUUCCAUAAUCUCAUAAGGGCCAAUGUAACGGGGAGCCAAUUUCCCUUUUACUCCAAAUCGUUGCACUCCUUUGGUCGGGGAAACUCGAAGGUACACAUGAUCACCAAUAUCAAACUGCAGGGGCCUUCUUCUCCUGUCGGAGUAACCUUUUUGUCGGGAUUGGGCGGCCUUGAGAUUUGCUUGAAUUAUCUUCACUUGUUCUUCUGCUUCUACCACUAAGUCAGGGCCAUAGGUCUGUCUUUCUCCAGCUUGUGACCAAUUCAAAGGUGUCCAACACCUCCGACCAUAUAAGGCUUCAAACGGUGCCAUCUUCAAACUGGUCUGGUAGCUAUUGUUGUAGGAGAACUCUGCCAAUGGUAAGCACUUAUCCCAGUUUUUGUCAUAAUGGAUGACACAAGCUCUCAACAUGUUUUCAAGGAUUUGAUUUACCCUUUCUGUUUGGCCAUCGGUUUGAGGGUGAUAAGUAGAGCUACGAAUGAGCUUGGUGCCAAGUGAUGCUUGCAGCUGUUCCCAAAAACGCGCAAACUGAACUCCUCGAUCAGAGAUGAUCGUCCUAGGCACACGGUGCAAGGAACCAAUGUGGUCAAGAUAUAACUCUGCAUAUUUCUUGGCCGUGUAGGUGGUGUGAACAGGAAGAAAGUGGGCAGUCUUGGUAAGACGAUCCACAAUUACCCAAAUGGAGUCAUGUCGCUGCGAUGUAAGAGGCAGUCCGACAAUGAAGUCCAUGCUGAUGUCUUCCCAUUUCCAAGAGGGAAUAGGUAGGGGCUGCAGGGUACCUGCGACCUCUAAAUGGCUGGCUUUGGCACGUUGACAGGUGUCACAUUCUGAAACAUACAGUGCAAUCUCUGGAUUCAUUCCACUCCACCAGAAGAUUUGACGGAGAUCAUGAUACAUCUUAUUGCUGCCAGGAUGGAUUGAGAACUUGGAGAGGUGAGCUUCAUCUAGGAUUUGCUUUCUCAGAUUGGGGUUGGAUGGUACAACAAGUCAGUUUCCAUAAUACACUCUCCCAUUCUCAUCCUGUCGGAAUUGCUUAUACCCUUCAUCUUUCAAUGAAAUUUUCCUUUUGAUCUGCCUUACUUCCUCAUCCUCUAACUGUGCUGACCCAAUUUGGUCUUCCAGGACAGACUCAAAAGAUAUGUGGCCGAGGGUUCCAUGGGAAACAUUUCCAACUUAAGUUUUCCCAUCUCAUGACACAGAGUCUCGGUGAAGUUGGUUGCCGACAAGCAAUUGCAAAGGGUCUUGCGGCUAAGAGCAUCUGCCACUACGUUGGCCUUGCCGGGGUGAUAAUGUACUUCCAAGUCAUAAUCCUUUAUCAACUCCAACCAUCUUCUUUGGCGCAUGUUGAGGUCGGUUUGAGUGAAGAUGUAUUUGAGGCUCUUGUGAUCAGUAUAGAUGUUACAGUGGGUGCCCAUCAAAUAGUGUCUCCAUAUCUUUAAGGCAUGAAUCACUGCUGCCAAUUCAAGAUCAUAGGUCGGGUAGUUCAGCUCAUGAGGUCGUAACGCCCGUGAGGCAUAGGCAAUGACUCAGUUGUCUUGCAUAAGAACACACCCAAGUCCAGUGCUAGAGGCGUCACAGUACACGUCAAACGGCCUAGAAGGGUCGGGUUGAGCCAAAACCGGGGCUGAGGUCAGCAAGUGCUUCAGGAUGUUGAAGGCUUCUUCACACUUGUCGUUCCACACAAAUUUGACCUCUUUCUUCAGCAGCUCAAUCAUCGGCUUAGCUAUCUUGGAGAACUCCGGUAUGAAGCGCCGAUAGUAGCCUGGUAGUCCAAGGAAAUUUUGGAUUUGGUGAACUGAGGUGGGCGGCUUCCAUUCCAUGACUUCCUGUACCUUGCUGGGGUCAACUGCUAUGCCAUCCCGAGAAAUGGUGUGUCCCAAGAACUUGACACUCUCUAACCAAAAUUCACACUUGGAGAAUUUUGCAUAGAGCUGAUGAUAUCUCAACCAUUGAAGAACCACUUGAAGAUGUUCGGCAUGUUCUUCUUCACUCUUGGAGUAUACCAGAAUAUCAUCAAUGAACACCACCACGAACUUGUCCAGUUAGGGCAUGAACAUCGAAUUCAUGAGAUACAUGAAAUAGGCGGGUGCAUUGGUGAGUCCAAAAGACAUGACCAGGUACUCGUAGAGUCCAUAUCUUGUGGAGAAGGCAGUUUUGGGGAUGUCACAGGGUCUGAUCUUGAUUUGGUGAUAACUGGAACAAAGAUCGAUCUUGGAAAAUACUCUUGCUCCAGCUAACUGAUCAAACAGAACAUCAAUGCAGGGAAGUGGGUACUUGUUCUUGACAGUCACUGCAUUGAGAGGUCGGUAGUCCACACACAUGCGUAGACUUUCAUCCUUCUUCUUCACAAACAAGGCUGGGCAACCCCAGGGUGAAGUACUGGGUCGGAUAGAGCCUUUUUCCAACAGAUCCUUCAACUGGGUUUUUAACUCAGCCAGCUUAGCGGGUGGCAUCCGAUAAGGUCUUUUGGAGAUAGGGGCGGUGCCGGGGAUCAACUCUAUGGAAAACUCCACAUCUCUAUCGGGCGGCAUGCCCAACAAAUCAUCAGGAAACACAUCGGGGUACUCACAGACUACAGGGAUGUCCUUCGGUCGGGUCUCAACUGCGGGAUACGCACAAGAAUUCACAUCUUCUCGGCGAGGCAAUUGGACAACAGAGGGGCCUUGGUGGGAUGAGUUGACGUGGAUAGCUCGGGCUGGGAUAUCUAGCACAACCUGGUGCCUGGUCAUCCAAUCCAUUCCUAGGAUGACAUCAAUCCCCUCUAGAUCGAGGAUGACAAGAUUCUCCUUAAAAAGGUUUCAGCCUAGCUGGAUAGGCACGUUGACACUCAUCCUAUCAGAUGUGAUUACCCCACCCAGGGUGGAUAUCCUAAAAGAUCCUCUUGUUUGGCAUUCCUGUAACCCAUAUUUGUCACUAGUCUUUCUCCCGAUAAAACUAUGUGAGGCUCCUGAGUCAAACAAAACCAAGGCUGAAAAACUGUGAAUCAGAAAGGUACCCAUCAUUAUCGGCGCACCUUCAGGAAGCUCUGCUGCGUUGGUGAAGUUCAGCCGACCUUGGCGAACUUGCAUCUUGGGCCUCUUCCCUUUGUUGAGCAUCGCAUUGCUCUGCCCUGGGCGCUGGUUAUGAUUUCUGGGGUAGUCCUUGGCAAAAUGCCCCACAUUGCCGCAGGUGAAGCAGCGGUUACCAUUUGCAGGAUGAGGUGGCGGCGGUGGGGUCGGCCGCGGAGCCUGAGGUUGAAAUCCCGGCAGCCAGAGCCUUCAUGCAGUCCGGGUCGGGCAACCCAUCUUCCCAACUGCUGGGGUCAGCUGGGUGCCUGUGGGGGAACCAUUCUGAAUCGCUAUGCAGGUGGGCUGGGCGUUGGCAGUGGAGCUUUCCUCUUCCUCUCGGCUGCCAGAGCCUUCAUGCAGUCCUCUUGUGAGAUGGCCAAGUUGACCAACUCGUUGUACGUAUCCACCCUUAUCGGGUUUAAUCUCUCUCUGAGCUCCAAGCUUAGCCCUCUGCGGAAUCUGUCUCGCUUCUUCUCAUCUGUGUCUGCAUGUGUUGGGGGGAAAUAUUAACGAUCCCCUAAAACACCGCUUAAAGAAACAAACAUGAAGGCCCAGGCCCACCUAAGCAUAAUCAAAGCUCCGCCUCGCCCGACCUAGGCGCCAGGAUCGGGAGCGCCCGACCCCCCUCCGCAAGGUUUCCGCCUCGCCCGACCGCGAUCCCAGGGUCGGGGGCGCCCGACCUCUCGCCACGGAGUUUCCGCCUCGUCCGACCCCAAGUGGGGGGGUCGGGCGCACUGGGGCCCACGGGGCUGGGAUCCCCCUCGGAUGCGGUCCACAUGGGCAAGACAGACAAAUCCUGUGGGUCCCCCCGUCGGCCUCGCCAUAAAUGCGCCGCAGAUCUGACAGAGGGCAGGGCGACCGCGCCCCUCACGCAACCCAGCGCAAGUACCCGUGCACGACCACCCUGUGCAGGCUACAGUGUCGGCGGCCGGCUCCCAUUCGCCGCGGGGUACUCAUGGCCUGCGCCGACCGGAGCAAAGGAGAGAGCGGCCUGUCCUCGGGCCCCACACACCCUCGGGUCCCGCGCACCCAGCAGCGCGGAUGUGACGCCCUCCCUCUCAGCAACCAUCGCCUGAGCAGCGGCAUCCACCGUCCUCCCUAACAGACACUGGGGUAACGACGGAGCACCCUCAUCAUGAUCUGAUACCUAAGAACAUCGAAGGAGCUACCUGAAGGGAGGAACAGCACUUGGCACACGGCGACCUCCUCCUCCGGCAUGCACGCCAACACUCGUCAAGGGCCGGCAGAGGCAUCGAACGCCUAGGAUCUUGCUCCUCCUUCCUGCCGUACCUUUUUACCAUUCUACACUUUACUCUUUACAGUUCUUUUUACCCGAUCCCAAAUGUAACUCCGGCCAUCCCCUUGCGAUAUAAAAGGAGGAACCCAGGGUCGGAGAGGGGGAUCGAUCAGCUUCUUCUCCCACACGCCAUAGUACACUACAACUCUCCCUGAGAACGCAAGCACCAAAGAGACUUGGGACCAGUCCCUCUCUCGUCGAUCUGUAACCCCCUACUACAGAAUCCCCGCGUGGGCAACACGAACAUCCCCGAUACUGGACGUAGGGCCUCCUUUGCCCGAACCAGUCUAAAUCUGUGUCUCCCACGCAACCACCUGAGGCUUACGCGCAUAAAAGAAAUUUACUAGUCUAAGUCUUGAUCCGCUGAUCUUGACAACGACAGCAUGGUACCCAGCGUACCGGCAUAGAUCAUUGAAAGCCUGCGCAUAGUGCAGGACAUCUCGAUUUCCCUGGGUAAGGGACAGGAACUCAUUGAGCUUACGCUCCAGGAGACCUUCAGGGAUAUGAUGGCCCCUGAACUCCGUCUUAAACUCCUCCCAGCUGACGACGUGGUCGGCCGGCUUCAUAGCGUGGUAGUGAUCCCACCAAAGGAGGGCAGAACCACGCAGUUGCUGCGCAGUGAACCGGGCCUUGUUCUCCUCCGGGCAAUGGGCGGUGAGGAGGGAGAAUUUGGAUUCGAUGGUACGAAUCCAGGCGUCGGCGUCGAGCGGGUCUUGUGUCUUCUGGAACAAAGGAGGUUGCGUGCUCAAGAAGUCCUCAUAAUGAGCAACUUGGGGUUGUUGAUGGGCUCUCCCUCCAUGGGGCUGCUGUUGUUGCCCCUGUACAAUAUGCCUCAGCAGCUCGGUUUGAGCCACUAAGAUCGCCUCCAGCGAAGGCGGGGGCGGGGGCGGGGGAAGAUCCUGCUCUGCUCGCUGCCACUGGGCACAGAGCCAGAUCGGGUGCGAUGCGCCAUCUGCAAGAGUCAACGUCCCAUUAAUUUCAUAACCUCAGAAGUAUUCCAACUAUGUGGGAACGCAUAUGUUAAAUCCUCAAAUGCGACUCUUGCCGAUAAGGCAACACAACCACAUCUCUUAUUAAGGAGAUAUACACAUCCUCUGGCCAUCUUAGUUAGCAACUAUCUUAGUUCUGCACACAACUUCGGGCGAACCAUAACCAUAUCCCAGGAGUUCCACUCUAUUUGACCUUAGACCAAGGGGUCGGGCUAAGCGAAACAGUGCAACAAGGGGUCAGGUGAAGCGAACCGCACAAGAAGGGGUCGGGCGAGGCGAAGAAUUGCCUCGAGGGGUCGAGCGUGUCCGACCUUGCGGCUCGGGGUCGGCCAAGUUUUGGACAGACCCACAGAAAAAGGGGUGUGUGCUCAUAGCACAAACUCACACAAUCUGGCAUCCAAAGCGUGUCGCAAAAGAGUCAAGGUUAAGUUAAGAUCUGAUUUCACUAAGGUCAUUACAUUGUGGUUCCCCAAAACACAGAAGGAAUAUUCAACUCAAGGCUAACCUAUUACAUCACUAUCCAAAACUUAGGUUGCCAAGGAGUACAACAAAAGAUGAGAUUCCUAUAGCUCUCAACCUACGAGGGAACACUGUGAGUUGGAGAAGGGGCAUCGCCAUCCUCAAUGUCCAUGCUGGACGCUCCCAUGACUUCCUCGGGAUCUUCUUGCUCGUCCAAUUGCAUCUCAAGGGCAUGCAUAGCAUCGAGCUCGGCGUGGUGCUCGUCCAGAUGAGCAUUAGCAACUGCUAGCUCCAUCUCAACCUUCAUCUAUUCUUCGGAAAGCUCGAUCAUGCCAUCCACCAGGUCCAUUACUUCUCCCUCGAGUUCGGAGAUUCGGUCUUGCAUGUCAUGGAUCUGUAUGCCUCUCUGGAUGAGUUGAUAUGUUUGUCCCACCAAGUCUCUCUUGGCGGCGUUGAAGUGCCCUUGGGGUGUCUAUGGCUAUCCGAGCCAAGACAGCCAUUGCUCGGCCUUGAAGCUCGACCAGCCGAUAUAAGGCUGACAUGCAUCUGGUGGUGGUAGAGAUGGUGACUAGCGAAUGGGAGGUUGCCAACACCUCUAUGUUGUUGACGCGAUCAAGCCAAGCCGGGUCCAUCCGGUCCCUGGCAGGAAACAGGCCGAUUGGGUCCAAGGUGACCUCAAGCGGGUGUAACCGACAGAACUGGGUGAGGAUUUGUAGAGCAGCCGACUCCCAGGUGUCCUCCAGAGCGUGUCCGCAAGAUGAGACUCCGAGCUGGGGGCACUCGGGCCGCACAGGGGGUGGAGGUACCACCGCCUGCACGUUGCACCUCUGUACUCCGUGCUCCUGGUACAUCCGUCCCACGUACAAAGGCGGGGACUGAUACCCGAACCACCUUAAGGUGUCCCACAGAAUAGCAGGAAAACCCUCAAAGUGUAAGCACGUCGAGUGGGAAAUGCCAUUAGUGCCGUACAGAACGUGUCCUGGAGCAGCCAUCUGGAACCAAAACCAAACUGACAUGAGAUAGAAACUCUAAGAAGAAGAACAGGUCAGGAAGAAAAAGUACUCGGAUUGACUUUGCCCAAGCUGGAAAGGAAGCUAGAAAUCCUUAAAACCGAAGAAGAGCUUUUCCAAGGCAAGGUUGUUUUAGGGAGGUGGUUUCACAGAUUUUAUUUGAUGACGCAUGCACGGCCUACCUCGUCCUCUCAACCAAAACAACUUCCAAAACUUUGGUCUUACGCAGUCAGUGCCGGUGGCAAGGCAUACAGUACGUCUCUCCCUAUAGUAUCUAGUCCGGUUCUAGUAGCGUCUCCUAAGCGAGCGCGGUUAGUGUACCUGCAGAAAACACAACCACAUGAACCUUUCGUGCCAGCACCCACGAAAGCGUCCCCAAGCAUUACCGUUCACUAUAGAAAUGGCACCCAUGCGUUUAAGGCUACAUGGACAGCACAACAACCGUGGAAAUAGGUCCCCUUUGAAUGGAACCGUAUAACCCUUCGCAUACUCGUGAUGCGGAAUCUGCGCACGUAUAAUAGACGUGGGCGAACAACCGUGAUGAUAGGUUCAUUGGAAUCAAACCAUACCACCCUUCGUAUGAAUUAGCAUACGGAACCUGCGCACGUAUGAUAAACGUGGGCGAAACAACCGCGAUGAUAGGGUCCUUUGAAUAGAACUCCCUAUCAACCCUCACAUACUCGUGAUGCUGAACUCGGCACACGUAUGAUACACGUGGCGAAGUGCUGGGGGUUAGCAAAAUAACCAAUAAGUAGUAGCCACCUAAAACAACCCAAAAUCCCCUAGGGCCUCUCGUGCUAAAGUCAUCCUUAACGACCGUACGAGAUUAACAGUUUUCUUUUUGCAGAAUUUUAUUCAAAAGAAGUGUUUUAGGGCCUAUUAUGUUCUCUGUCUUGCUAAACCAGCUCUGGUACCAGCUGUGGCGGAUCCACCUUGGAUUACCUUGAUUAAAGCAUAGUUGAGUCGCCUGACAUGCGACACUCAUGCCUUAGUCAAGUUAACUCGAAGUGCCGUCGGAUUUCAUCCGAUUAAACCACUUAACAGGACCGAGUUUAGCAAACUCACACGAAGGUGAGUGGUUCCAGAGAAUACAGCAGAUCCACCAAAGAUUAACAAGUUGUUACACACUUAGUUGUAAAUCAGAGUUUAACAAGUUCUGAAGAAAACAGACAGAAGGUAAAACAAGCAGAAGCUAGCGCCGGGGUUGGAUGUCCUUGAUGAGGCUAGCUAGGACAUCAGUGAUCCCUCUCCUCGCCGUCCGAGGAGGGAUCCCACUCGACCGUCCAACCCGGAGGGAGCUGGGGCGGCCAAGUGCCAACUGGAACAAACUCAGGAGCGGCGACAUCACCUGAAAAGAAAGCCACAAACAAGGCUGAGCUGCUAAGCUCAACAAGACUUAACCGACCGGUGGUAAACUACUCCACCACUUCUAGACAUGCAAGGCUCUUUGGCUGCGGGGUUUUGUUUACCAAAAGAAACUACAGUGGGUCCUUGCUUUCAAGUUUUAGCUCAAGUUCUAAGUUCAUUAACCAGUCUAUGUUGGCGACUUAUGCUAAACAACCAUAGUUUCCAACAACAAAGCAUAGAACAAGCAUCGAGUUCAUAUCAUCAUCAUGUUCCAUCUUUACUCAGUGUAGCAUAGCGAUCAAGCAGUCUCAAACUGUGAGAGGCAGACGAAUCGAUUCGAGUUUCUUAACCAUGCAUGGCGAACCUAAUCUCACCACAUCCGCGCACCACAAGGGUCGCUUUCUAUGUUGGCCGUCCCCAUCAAUUCCCAGGCACGUGUCAGGUCCAAACUUCCCUUGGCAUGCAAUGCUCCACAGUCCCGGCCUCUACCGUACUGUGACCGCACUUGCACCCACAUGAUGCACCAUGGGAACCUCGUUCCAGGGACAGCAGGGGUAUAAGCCACGCCCUAGUUCAAUCAGGUACUAGGCUUCCCCAUCCCAUACUAGGUAUGAGAUUAGUACUUUCAAACACUUGAUCACGAACACCAACACUUUUCGACCUUAAGCAACUUCAUAUAGACAGACAGGGUAAUCCACCGACCACCAAAAGAGUUCACCAGGCCCUGCCCCGUCCAUCGUCCUUAUAGUUGUAACCAGAAGCAGAACAACCAGCUCCUAUAACUCGCGAGUGAUAGGAAAUCACUUGACUUUUACCGAGUCCUAUUAAGCAAUGCAACUACUCGGACUCAUCAGGCUAGUAUUCAGAUCAAGGGAACUAAGUCAUGCAUCUAUGGUUUCAAACAACUCCUGUAACGUAAAUGCACAUACAAACGAAGGAAGGCAUGUGUAAGUUUAGAGAAAAAAUGGGUUCAUGCUCCGGGGCUUGCCUUCAAGCGGAGGGGAGGAGAACUGGUCCUCUGAGGGUUCUGCUGCAGCUCCUGCGGUCGGCGGCUCAGCUACUGCUCCAUUUUCUGGCACCGAAUGCAGUUCGUAGACGCCGUCGGCGAGAUUUAGCUCUACAUGAAUGCAAAUGCAGGAGUUAGCACUCAGAUAGUUAUUUCAUCAACACUUGCAGUUAAAGCUCGGACACUGGUAGCAAGGCUACAGAAAAGGUGGGGAGAGAUUACUUUAGUUGGGGGAGGGCAAGAUCAAAGGGUCGGAUGGGGUAAACUUAUGAUCUAACCCCAAAACUUUAGGAGAUAACUGUGUUCGAGGUCCCCAGACUUAGCGCAGAGAAGUCCCUGAUUUUUACACAUAUACCCUCGGGUCAAGGAAAAAGGAUACAGCCCAGUCCUCGGGCGAGGCGGAAAAGGGUCGGCUAACAGACAGGGUCGGGCGAGACGGAAAAAAAAGGUCGGGCGAACAGAUAGGGUCGGGCGAGACGGAAAAGGGGUCGGGCGAAUAGAUAGGGUCGAGCGAAACAGAAAAGGGGUUGGGCAAACCAGACAAGGUCGGGCGAGAUGGAAAAAGGGGUCGGGCGAACAGACAGGGUCGGGCGAGAUGGAAAAAGGGGUCGGGCGAACAGACAGGGUCGGGCGAGACGGAAAAAGGGGUCGGGCGGACCAGACAAGGUCGGCAGUUUACCUUUAGGCCUACUGGUGACGUCUUGGGGUCGGAAAGAAUGGCUCAGGAGGAGCGAUGAAAGGUGCUAAGGCUUGGGCGGCGGCAAUGUCCGGCGGUGCUCCGGCGGCGGCGGAGCUUCUUGUGAGCAGCAAGGAAGCUCUAGCACUGCGUGGAGGAGUAGGCGGCUGGGUGGAUUGGGAGGUGCGGGUGUUGAGCGAGGAAUGGGAACUCUCAGGAGGUUCUACGGGAUUUGCUCAAGUGCUCGCAGAGUAGGGGCGGUGAAACGGCAAGGGCGAAGGAACUCCGGUGGGACUCCGGCAUUCCUUUUUAUAGCUCCACGGGAGAGAGAGGGUUGGAGCAGCACGAAGACCGGGAAGGAAAGGAUGGAGUGCGCUACCAUGGCGGCGAUUGAGCGGCGAUGGGCGGCGGAACAGGACUUCGAAGAUAGCGUCUUCGGCCAUUGGGCACUGGAGACAAGGCGGCGCAGGCACAGUUUUGCUGGUGGUUGAGGUUUGGCGGAGGCGGGCGUCGUCGUGCGGCGGAUCUGAUGGGUGUGAUAGGGGGAACGGCGCUAUAAGCGAGGUUGCACAGGUGAUAAGACAGGCGGGCUGCGGCUGCGAGGGCGAGCGCGAAGCAGCGGUUUGCCAGGCACAGUUCUGGCAGCAGAAAACGAGCUGUCACGGCCGGGGUCGGGGUUGGGGAUGGAGGAAUCAUGGCGUAGCGCAUUCGGGGCGGCGCGACUGUGGAGAGGCGGCGGAAAAGCCGGAAGGCCUCGGGCCUUGCAGCAGGGGAUCCGACGAGAUGAUGAUGGGCGCGAGCAGCGAGGUAGUUUGAUGCAGCGGGCAAGAAAGCUCUGCCACAGCGGUGACGGGGCACCAAGGCGCGGCCGGUGAGGGCGCGAGCGAGACGGGGCGCUGCAGAAAGGGUCGCAGAGGAGCUUCCGCUGCGAUUGGGGAGAAGGGCACGGGAAACCAUCCGGUCGCGGCCGGCGACAGGGCGAAGCGGCAGGCGUCGGGGAAGUUGAGCCACGUGGCGGGGGAGCUCUGAAGUGGUGCAGGCUGCUCGAGUGCGUCUGCCUCGGGAGAUCCGGGGGAAAAGAUUACGGGUCCACCUGUCAGUCUCGGUUUCUCCUCUGCCCACGAUUGAAAGGGACACUGUGGUGGAGACUUAGAAGGAACCGGCGGGGUGCGUUGGGGUCUUCAUGGGUCGGAACUGGGAACCGGAGGUUGAGCGCUUAAACUCGGGGGAGCUGAGUCAGCGGAAUUAGGGACUCGGAUUAAGAUUAACUCAAAAGAUUUGACCAGGGCCGUUACAGUUUCGACCUUAGUCCAUUUUCAUUUAGACAGACGGGGCAAUCCACCAAGUAUCGAACAUAAGCCUGACCCCGUCCGUCGUCCUUAUAGUUGCGACAUAACUGAAACAUUCAACUCCUAUAACUCGUGAGUGACAGGAAAUCACUCGACUUUUACCGGGACCUAUUAAGCAUGGCAACUACUCGACCUUAGUAACUAGUAUUCAAUUCAAGGUACUAAGUUCAUGCAUCUACGGUUUCAAUCAACUCCUACCAACGUAAAUGCACAAUCAUAAGCAUCAAUAAGUGCCAUAAAAGUAAAACAGGGAAUUCAUGCACCGGGGCUUGCCUUCAGGAAAAGCAAGUGGGUCCUCGGGGUCUUGCUCCGGUUCGUGCUCUCCUUCGAAGGGGUGAAGCUCCUCAGCGGGGUCUUCUUCCGGUGCCGGGUGGAGCUCGUAAGUUCCGUUGGUGAGAUUUAACUCUACACGGAAAUGCAAUGCAGGGGUUAAACAUUUUAGAUGGUUAUUUCAACAUACUCGCAUGUUUUAACUCAGACACUUGUAGCAAAGCUACAGGAAAGGUGGGGAGUCAAACUUCAGUUGGUGGAGAACCGGAUAAAAGGGUCGGAUUUGGGAGAAACUUAUGGUCUGACCCUUAGAUUUAAGGAAAAACCGUAUCGAGGUCCUCAGACUCAACAUAGAGAAAUCCCCAAAAAUAUUUCACCGAUACCCUUGGGUCAAAGAAAAAGAUACAGCCGAGCCCUCGGGCGAGGCGGAGAAAGGUCGGCGAAACUGACAGGGUCGGGCGAGACGAAAAGAAACGGGGUUGGGUGACACGAAAAGAAAAGGGAUCGGGCGAACCGAACAGAAAGGGGUCGGGCGAACCGAAACAAAAGGGGUUGGGCGAACCGAAAUGAAAAGGGGUCGGGCGAACCGAUCAGAAAGCGGUCGGGCGAACCGAAACAAAAGGGGUCGGGCGAACCGAACAGAAAGGGGUCGGGCGAACCGAAACAAAAGGGGUCAGGCGAACCGAACAUAAAGGGGUCGGGCGAACCGAUCAGAAAGGGGUCGGGUGAACCGAACAGAAAGGGGUCGGGCGAACCGAACAGAAAGGGGUCGCGGCUUACCUCCAGGUCUACGGUGAAGCCUUGGGGUCGAAAAGGAGUAGACUUGGGUGGAAGGUCGUAUGCACUAAGGCUUGGGUGGCGGCGAGGCUUCGACGGUGCUCCGGCGGUGGCGGAGCUUCUUGUGGACAACUAGCAAGCUCUAGCACCGUGCGUAGGAACAGGCAGCUCGUGGGUUGGGAGAAGCGGCUUGAGCGGAGAGGGGAACUUUCUCAAGAGUGUGGCGGCGAAGUCGCCGGAGUGUGGGGUGGCGCAAAGGGGUGAGCUCCACAGAAGCUCAGCGGCGGCGCAGAGGAGAAAGCGAUGGCGCGGGUGCGGGCGGUGGCAAGGGGUGGCAUUGCCGGUGAGGGGGUCCCUUUUAUAGAGCCGUGGUGGGGCGGAGGGUCGAGGCGGGGCUUCGGUGGGGAAGGGAUAAGGCCGGGAGCGGUGACUGCGCGGGCAAGGCGGCCAUUGGCCAGCGGCGCCAUUGGGCAGAGGAGGCGGAGCUCCGGGUGGUCUUCGGCGGCGAUUGGCCUUGGGCGGCGCGCGUCUAGGGCUUCCGGUCUGUCGGGUGGGCGAGGCGGAGGGCUACCGUGGGGAUUGGGCGAGCAGGCGGAGGCACGGGACGCCGUGCGUGUGGCAGCUUUCUCGGCGGACGGGCGGAACGGGGUUGGCGGAGCAGAGCCGUGGCAGGCGGAAGGCGACACGCGUGCGGCCGGCGGUUGGCUAGCCCGGCGUUCGCCCCGUCCUGUCGCGGGCGCGGGUUGGGCGCCGUGGCCUUCGUCCUGUCGUUGUCGCGCUGGUGAUAGGGCGCCGGUGAGCUGCCGGUGGUCGGCGGCCACGCGGCGCGCGAGCGAACGUGCUCUAGCGUGCAGGCGUCGAGGCUCCCUUCGGGCAGCAAGCCCGACCAGCUUUGGGGAGAUCUUUCUCCGAAUUUUCCAACACAACUUCCAAAACUCUUUUAAACAAACUUGCUCAACUCUGGAAGUCCUUUGAACUUUGUUUAAGGUGUCGGUUCAGAUUGUGAAAGGAUUUGAAGAUAUUUCAUGCCAAAGUUAGCCAAAAAUCAGGAAUCCCAGACUUAGGAUUUUAAGGCAUUAGGGGUGAGUUGACUGUUUCACCUCACUUCGACCGGGGUUUUGAACAGGUUCGGGCCCGAUUUGGAUAUGGGUUUGUGUAACAAAGUUGCAACACACUCUAGGUACUACAACUUUCAUUCACGCCCUGAUUUGAGUUUAGAUAGGAAUUUGUGAGAUAAAAGCUUGCAAAGAUGAAGGAAAACUCGAAUUCCAGGACUUAAGAGAUUUUUAGGGUCCUUUAGUAAACCGGUUUUGAUUGCUGUUUUUGACUUCCUUCCACUCCGAAUUAGUCUGGUGGUAGUUGAUAGAUUCACCAAAUAUUCUCAUUUCUUAUCAUUGAGCCAUCUAUUCACUAUUUCUAACGUUAUCCCAUUACUAACUGAUAAUGUAUUCAAGUUACAUGGGCCACCCUUGGUUAUGAUGACAGACAGAGAUAGGAUUUUUACAAGCACUUUGUGGCACUCUCUUUUCAAAGCAAUGGGAAUCAAAUUACAUCUCAGCUCAGCCUACCACCCACAAACAGAUGGCCAAACUGAAAGAGUUAACCAGUGCCUAGAAAACUAUCUUAGAUGUAUGUGUCGGGGAUACAUCCCCAGUACCCGCAAGGAAGGAAGAGGUCAGACUCCUACUAGGAUUCCCCUGUAAUCCGACUAGGACUAGUCCUGAGUACUCCUACUAGGACUCCUCCUUGUAAUCCGACUAGUACUCUGCCCCCUGGAGUAUAUAAAGGAGGGCAGGGGUACCUAGCUCGACAGGUCAGACCUCGAGGUCGUACCUCAACAGAUCCUUCAGGACCAGAACAUACAUCAAUACAAACCAACACACAGGACGUAGGGUAUUACGCGAUCUAGCGGCCCGAACCUGUCUAAAUCGUGUUCUUUGCGUCACCAUUGAUUCCUUGAUUCUCGACGACCCUUACCGCAUAAAAGACCACCUAGGGUACCCCCUAGGCGGGUUGCCGGUCUAAAACACCGACAGUAUGUGCUUCUCUGCUCCAAGAAGAUGGUUUUAUUGGUUAUCUUCUGCUGAAUGGUGGUACAACACUUCCUAUCACACCUCCCUGAACAUGACACCCUUCCAAGCUCUCUAUGGUUUUCCCCCUCCCAUGGUGGCUGAGGUUAUCUUGCCUGAUUGUCCAGAUGAUAAUGCUAGGGAAAUUCUACAAAAUAGGCAGUUGGCAAACCAGUUAAUCAAAGACAACUUAGCUAAAGCUCAAUCAAGAAUCAAGCAUCAAGCUGAUACGCAUCGAUCUGAAAGGGAAUUUGAAAUUGGGUCUAUGGUUUAUUUGAAGAUACAGCCAUACAGACAUACUUCAUUGAGUUUACAUAGCUCUUUGAAACUACACUCUAAGUACUAUGGUCCAUUUCAAGUUCUAGACAGAAUUGGCAAAACAACUUACAAAAUCCUAUUGCCAGAUCAUUGCAAUUUGCACCCAAUUUUUCAUGUCAGCCAACUUAAGAAGUACAUUGGACAAACAGCUGUACCUUCACCUGAUUUACCACUCAUUGAUGACAAGGGCAACAUAAAGGUAGCACCUAAAACUAUCUUGGACAGGCGUAUGAUUCCAAGAAACAAUGAACCUAUUGUGCAGUGGUUGAUUCAAUGGACUAAUCUUCCAUCUUCAGAAGCAAUCUGGGAGGAUGCAUCUUUCAUUCGUCAAGUGUUUCCUUCUUUUCAUCCUUGAGGACAAGGAUCUCAAGGGAGGGGCAAUUGUCAGGAGACUGAGUCGCCAUUCAGUAAUUCCAUCAUCAUUCAGUAGCACCAUCGCCAUUCAGUUAACUGGGCACUACAGACUGAAGCCGGCAUUGAUUGUAACGGUUCGCCGAGUUCACCUAGAGGUGUUGAUUUGCCAUCCAACGGCCAGGGUUUCUUGCAUCCUUUGGGUGAUGGGCUACGGUCUAACCUGACGGGAAAUAGUCUUUACUCUUUGCUUACUGCUAUUAAAAUAGCUUAGUUACUACUCUGUAAUUUUGCGUUAUGUAAUGGUCAGGACCUGGUCAGUUGGAUCUUAUCAUCAAACAAGAACCCUAUCGUUUCUUCUCUAGAAUAGCUUAGCCUUAGGCGGCGCCACCACCAUGGGGUUGGCUUAUCUGUACUGAAUCUGAAUCCUGAGGUUGGAGUGAAAGGGGCUGCAGUUGUUCUUCGCCACUGGUUAUCGUUUCUUUCUCUGAACUUGCUCGAUUUCCUUGUUGUUUUCGUCGCCCCCUUGCCCAGUUCUUGGUGCCCUGUCACGCCCCUCCACACGGCAGCCGCGAUCGAUGACUUCUCGCCCCCAUGCGCCGCCGUCGCCCACCAGCCUGACAGGGGCAACACCGCCGCCGCAGGUACAUCUGCUCCCUACGCUCUCUACGUUCUAUUGCCCAAUGUCUCGAGCUGAAAGACGAGGUCGCGAAGCACCAGCCAGUUGUGGUCCCCCAUGGAACUACCCGUCGUGGAUCCAACUCUACUUACGCCCUCCGCCCCAGGCCUUGUCGGCUCCUCACUUGUCCACGCCUGCUUGACUUCGGUGCCACCGGCAUCGCCCACAAUAUGUUCGAUGUAAUGCCACAGUGGGGGAUUGUUGGCUGGAGCGCUCAUUGAGGCCACAUGGCAUGCAACGACGUCGAAUCGUCGAGGCGUGUAUGGUGUGAGGCACUACAUGUGUUUGGUUGCUUGUAUCAUUUGAUUCAUGUAUGGGAUCGUUCAAAAUAAUAAUGACUAUUUUAUUUAGUUGGGUGAAUUGUACCAAUCUAUCCAAGAUGAAGCCAUCCCACUUAAUCUAUUAUUCUACUACUAAUAAUAGUGAACCAUACGGUGCAAACAAAUUGGUUGAAUCCCACCAUCCAGAAUCCUUCAUACAUGCAUCAAUUGGUGCAUGUACACCUUAUAUCUCUGCCAUAUACACAAUAAUUCGUUCGGUACUUUUGUUUGGGACUCAAGGAUCCAUUCAUGUCUUUAGUCAUAAAUUUUGUAUUGGUCUUUCCUGAACGCACUGAGAUCUAACGGUGGUAGCAUGCAGCGAUAAAAUACUACUCCAUUAUUUUUUUUCAAUCCUAUAAGUUGGAACGAUCUUCUUUAAGUAAAUAUUGACAGCAUUGCUCGGUGUACUGGGCUAGCUCUUUCCGUGAAUUCUUUCUUUUAAGUCUUCGUUCACGGGGUAGUACUGAUGAAUAGAUGAUGUUUCUUUUGACUAAUAAAUUGUUUGCACGAGGGGUUCAGUUCAAGAGUCCAGGUCAUGCUCUGGCAAAGAUCUGAAUGCAGUGGCGAGGAGGAGGAAGGAGGCAUUGGCUUAGCUUGACAUUGGUGUUCACUGUGAAAUUUAUUACACGAAUAUUUAAAUCUAUUACAAAGUAUGAGAAACCUAUGCAAAAUAUAAUUCAUGCAAAAGAAUUAUUCAUGUAUGAAAAUACUACUUCUACCUUGUAAUCAAUGUAUAGAGAAAGGGAUCAUUAUUUUGAAAUCUCAUUUGCAUGAAUAAUUCUUGUUCUCUAAUAUAAAUAUAUAAUUUUGUUUACUUUUUUUGGAAACACGUGCAUGCCAGAAAUUAAAUGAAUGGUUCACUUCCAACCAGACAAUUCGAUCCAGCACUUCCAAUUCGGAGAACCAGGGAUGGCCCGGCCCGGUCAGCACCGCUAAAGCGCGCGUGACUCGGAACCGUCGGAUGGUUUCCCCGUCCUUCUUCCCCUCACCUUUCCCUUUCGAUUACGGCGGCGCCGCCAUCGCAUCACCUUCAUCGCAUCUCGCCCUCGAUGGCUAGCAUCUCGCUCUCCAAUUGCGUCCUCCUCCACGCCGAUGGCUUCCACGGCAGCUCCUUGCAGCGGAACGCCACCACCGCCAUGGCCUUCACCAGUCGGGGGACCAGCAUCGAGGCAUCCUUAAGCUGCCCCGAGCGUCCGCUGCUCCCCACAAUCCUCUUUGUGGAAUGCUCCAGCGUUGACGACUUCACCACCGAACCCCCACGCAUCGUCCGCGCGGUUGAAGACAUCAUCGUCUUCAGCGUCCUCAUCGGCCCUCGACUCCGCCCAGACGUCUCGCCGUGCGACUACGACUACUUCAUCUACCGGGUCGGGGAGGUUCCGUCGCUUCAGCUGCUGCCGCCCCCGCAUCCCACCUUCCAAGACGAGGAUGCAGGCCUCCUUCUCUGCGGGGAAGACGACUUCAUUGUCGCCGCGUUGAUCGCUACAAACAAAUCUGGAGUGUACGACCUCCACCGCUUCGACUCCAGGAGUUGGACGUGGAGCCAGGAGGUGGUGCCAUUGGUGGCGCCGCAGGCUGCGUUCCCCUUCAGGAUCACUCUGAACUCAAUCCGGCUUGGUUACCAUCUCACGUCCACCGUAAUCACCAUCGGAGGCGAAGGUGGCACGAUGGGCUGGGUCGAUCUCUGGCGUGGCAUCCUGAUCUGCGACGUGCUCCACCGGAAGCCCGAGCUCCGUGGUGUGCCCCUGCCGGUGCCGAUGGAGCUGCUGACAUGCAACAAUGGUCGGGGGGCUGACAUAGGAGGCUGCGGAAAAUCCCUCCGCGGGAUUGCCGUCAUCAAUCAAAGCCUCAGGUUUGUUCAUUUGGAAGCCAUCGUCUCCACCACCUCCAAGACACUGCCUGCUGCAGAUAGCGACAGCGAUGAUGAAGAACCUGACUCGCUCAUGUCUGACUGGGUGAUCACGACAUGGAGCAACUCCAAGAUGAGUACCUCGUGGGAUGACUGGAUCAAGGACUGCGAGGCCAAAGCAUCGCACACCACGAUCCACAGCAAGCCCAAGUCAAAGAUGCUCAACUCUGGAUUGCUGUCACCUGAAGGAGCAAAUCAAGAGCGAGCCUUGCAGAACCUCUGGGUGUCCCACCCAGCUCCUGGCAUCGAUGAUGGUGUCGUUUACUUGCUGGCCAGAGUCAGAUUCCAGGACCCGAAGGCAUUCGUUAUCGCUCUUGACGCCAGGAAGAAUGUUCUGCUAGGCUCAGCUGAGUUCGCGACUGAGAAGAAACGCGGUGAUGGCGUCAUGUAUUUCCCAAGUAACAUCUCAAAGUACAUCGCCCCAGAGGCUAGGGUUCUUCCUAUUACCACAGGUACUGCUCUAAUUAAGUAUUGCAGCUGCAAAUUAAACCCUGCUCCAAGAUAUGGGAGUGGGUCUACAAAGAUGAGCUCUAAAUUAAUGAGAAUACCUGAUCACUGAACCAUGGCCUGUGUCAGUCCACUGCAUAUUUCAGUUAGCUUGCAUUGAUUCGAUAUGCCCAUAUUUUCCUUUUUGAGUUUUUUCACCUGCUUGGCUGUUGAUAAUUAUCCGCUGUAAUUAGUCACUUUGAUUUCUAUUGCAAUUAUAGAUUUGGGGAAAAACGGGUAGAAACAUAGCUAGGAUCAUCUCAUCAGCCGUGCGGUUAGUGGGGGGAUUGGGUGUUGGUGGAGUUAAAACCUGCCCGUCGCACUUUGCCUAACGGGCGAAAUCCUUCACCCUGCACCCACGGGUGGUUUUUUGAACCCGUACCCAUCCCGGUGAGGUUUGAGUUGGAUUAGCAUCCCUGUUAGUUAGAACAGAUAGAGCACCUUGCAUUUCAAACACACAUGGGUGAAACCACAGCACCGUACCAGCACUUGCAGGGUGGAAUUUUACACCUGCAAGCAUGGGCUGUAGUUGUCUGUUGUUACAAAAUGGGGCAUUUAAAGUUUUUCCAUUUUAUUAUAACAAAUGAAUAGGCGACCAGAGUUUUACUAGCAAAUUUUAUGGGGAAGGUAAGGCAUAAGCAUCAAGUAUGAAACUAUUUACCAGGGAGGCCGGUUCGUUCAUCCUAUUCUGAUAUUCAGGACCAAGAGAUCCUGGAUUCUCUUUCGGAUAGGCCCCGAAUGGAGGGGAACUAAUUAAAAAUAUUUGAUUUUUCUCACUGGAUGCUGUCACAUGUGUUGAAGAUGGAUGGGAGGAGUCAAGCCUGCACGAAGGCACUGAAAAUGUAGAGAUUCCUAGUUUACCAAUCUACUUCCCUGGCUACGGGUUUGAAUGAUGAUAAGUGCUCGAGUUGUUCAGAUCAUCUCAUGUCGUUUGUGACCUGAGUACAUAUGUGCUACAGGUCUUGACAGUACUUGUGCCCUGUUUGUUUAUCUAGCUACAUACUCCAUUAAGCUGUGUGCUGGUUGGCAAUCUAGAUUAUCGGUGGUUUGGAUUAUUUAGUUUUGAUGAAUGAUUAUUAUCUGCAGUGCCCUUGCUUAUACCGCUGCUUGCUGUGCUACAGCUUAGCUUCUCACUGCUUGGUGCUGCCGUUCAAUGCUCGCUGUGCUUGCUACUGCACGCCGUUCAAGUAAUCGUACAUUAGUACUUGUGGCACGGAGAAUUCUAUGGUGUUUUAGAUUAAAAAAAAGUGGCAAGCGACGACAUUAAUUAGUACUUGUGUCCUUGUAUCUAUGCAUUGCUGUACCUUUGCUUUUUAAUAUAAUACAAAAUAAUGUCUCAUUGGCACCUGGACAUACUUUUUCUGGUAAAAAUGUGUAAUAGUAAACACCAAGCUAGCAAAUGUCGAAGGGAUGCUCGUAUUUUUUCGAUUAAUUGUUUUUACAGUGUUAAUUUCUGUUGAUAGUUGACUCCAUUAAUCUUGGGUGUGUAAAAAGUAGCAGAAGAAGAACCGGGAGUUUUGGUAAAGAAGAAAGGAAUGCUGAGGUUUUUGGCCCAGGUCAGCUAUCGUGACCGGGCCACGAAACAGCCCACAUAAAAUAGGCUACGGCAUGCGGCCCGCCUGCUAAAAUUUUGCACGGACAGCCGACGGCCCGCCAAAAGUCACGCGACCGGGACCGGAGCGCCCACUGUCUUUCUACACCGUUUCCCGCCGUUCGCCGGUCAAACUGGUCAGAGUCAGAGCCGCUGGUAGUAUUCGGACCCAGUACAACUCCGCUCGCGUCGGCGAAAAUCCAUGGGCCACGGCACGACGGAACAGCGAGGAGCGCCGGCGUUUAAGUUCCAUCUCGACGACAAAGAACCCAACCCGAUCGCCUCACGCGAUCCUGCUCUCACCGUAGCGCGCCGCUGGUCGCUAACAAUGUCCAUGAGCAAGCUCGCCGCCGCCGGCGACGGCUGGGCCGACCUCCCUCGCGACCUCCUCGAGUCCGUCCUCGCCCGCCUCCCCGUGCCGGACCGUCUCCGCUUCCCCGCCGUCUGCACCGCGUGGCAGUCGGCCGCCGCCACCGGCGCCUCCGGAAGCAACGCGCCGUUGUCGCCGUGGCUCAUGCUCCCCUUCAACCCGACCGCGCGCGGGCGCCCGCGGCGUGGCGGCGGCGGCGACGCCAGGCUCCUGAGCCUGGCGGAGGGCAGGGCCUACGCCAUCCGGCACGGCCGUCUCCGAGCACGUCUGCGUCGGCUCGUCGCCCGACGGGUGGCUCAUCACCGCCGACGCCAGCUCGGAGCUGCAUCUCUUGAACCCAGUCACCGGCGCGCAGGUCCAGCUGCCGUCCGUCGCCACGCUCCCGUUCGUCGACGCCACCCGCGGCGCGGACGGUUGUGUGGAAAGCUACAGCCUCCGGCGCUGCUUCGCUGACGACGACUGCGACGACGAGGUGCUGAUCCCGCCGGAGACGCUCGCGCCCGACAGGCUCCGGUACGAGGUCUACGAGAAGGCCAUCGUCGUGUCCGCGACGCGGCGGCUGCCUCGCCGUCGGGGGAGACAUGGGGCGGCUACGCCUUGGUGCUCAUCUGCCAGCCCCUGUCCCGUGUCGCCGUCGCCCGAGCAGGGGACGCGGGAUGGACCCAGCUCGACACGCCCGCGCGCUGCUGGGUCGACGCCGUGCGCGCGGCCGGAGCCGACGGGGUGGUUUACGCGAUGGACACCGCGGGGCGCGUCGAGGCAUGGGACAUGGACGCGACGCCGGCGCCGGCGCCAUCUCGGGCGGCGAUCGCGCCGCCGUGCCGCUGCUCUGCGCGCGCGUGCGCCAUGUUUGCGGUGUGUCGCAGGUACCCCAUGGAGCUCGCGCCCAAGUCAAGAGUAUGGCCAAGUCCCUAUGCAGGCAAGUGCUAGCCAUUGUGAAGUCAUUUUAUUCAAAAGUCGAUCUGUCCAUGGUUGCCGAUGGCAUGGCUGGAGAUUGUACCGAUGAUGCGUACAUCCAAUAUCAAGAGGAGUUGGAGCCGGUGGCCGAGAGAGUUGCAGAGUUUGUUGAUCUUGAGUAAUCAUGGUUUGCUGCCUUUUUUUGUAACUUAUUGGUAAACUCGAUGUACCUGAACAAGUGUCUUUUGUUUGAGGUGUUGAUCAUCAUAUAUGCGAUGAGUACUAGCUUGUCGGUUUACAAUGAGUAGUCUUGUGGGUAGUCAUUGAGGUGGCGGUAGUCUGCAUCGUGGACCCCAAUUAUUGCAGUUAUUUGUAGAGGACGUGCAUGUGAGUAAUGUGUCCUUUGCAUUAUUGCUUUGUACUGGUGAGGACCCACGGGAGUACUAUGCAAGAUUUAUUGUUUGUAGCCAGAGUUAACCAUAUGUGAGCUUUGAUUCCGCGCAGAUAGGCUUUCACGUGAAAGUUAUCAUUGCUUAGGACAAGUCGAAUUACUGUGUAGUCACGGUGCGCUAUGUUGCCUAGUCUUUCGGUUUAUAAAUAGAGCCCCAGCUGCCGUUGCGGAAACAUGGAUCCGAUUAUAGCAAUGGUUGGCUUUAGGUCGCUUCUCUUUGACAGUAGCAAGUUUCCAAUGAGCGCCCUGGUUCUAGAAGUUUACUCGUAGUGAGGUUCCACAUUCCUUCCACAAAUCUUCGCGCUAGAAAAGAUUGCUCUGAUGCUAGAAGAAUCCUCAUAGGAGGAUUUCCCGUGUGCUCCAUCUUUUCCCCUGCUCUCUGGUAAUAACCAUGCUGGAGCUCGCAAGUGAAGGAUGAUGAGCUUCAUGGUCUUUAUCCAGUUUUCUGGCCGAGGAUGGAAGCGUGGUGCCGACUGCUCACUUCCUCUGCAACGUCUCGGGAUGAGACUCAAGUGCACGAUGUGUGCUUGAAGUCCAGUUCCGAGUAUUUGUAGAGGGGAAGGGGUGUUGAUGAAGGGUAGCGGGACUGGAGUACGUGGAGCCCCAGUCUCUGUCUAUGCCACCGCCGAGGGGAGGAGAAGGGCACAACUGCCUAGUGGGCAGCUUCCUUGCUUGCACUUCCCGCCUCUUGGCAUUUCUUGCUCCUGAUCUUCGAGUAGUCGCUAGGCUCAAGUGUAUCCUUGUGAUAUAAUAAAAGCCUGGGACUUCUAUUGUGAUUGCAAGUUGUCGGGAAUACACCCCAGGCCCACGAGUAGACCUUGGACAGCCCACUAAGGGACGUACUCGGACACGAUCAGAAUAAGGAUAGGCGCAUCCUACUCGGACUAGUCAAGUAUGUUUAUGGAAAACUACUCGGGCCUUACCGAGUAGAACUCUGUAAUAAUACCCGACUAGGACUCAGACUUGUAACCCUGCCCUACCGUGUAUAUAAGGGCGGGCAGGGACCCCUCUCAACAACAACUCCAGUUCAUCAAUACAAACCAACACACAAGACGUAGGGUAUUACGUGAUCUAGCGGCCCGCACCUGUCUAAAUCGUGUUCCUUGCGUCACCAUUGAUUCCUUGAUUCUUGAUGAUCCUUACCGCACAAAAGACCUCCUAGGGUACCCCCUAGGCGGGUUGUCAGUCUAAAACACCGACAGCUGGCGUGCCAGGUAGGGGGAACUCGUCGAGUUUCUAAGCGCGAACUCAAUGGCAAAGGUCAUCAUCAGGCCCGUUUUCUUCAUCGAAGCCGGCGCCACCUUCAUUUUCGGAUCCUGGUUUUGCGUCGCUGACGGCUCGGGUUUGUUCCAGCGCUAGAUCGUCGACGUUCAGGAGAAGAAACCAGGAAAUAUGAUCAGAAAAAAUCAAAAUUUCAAAAUCGACGAGUUGGAGUUCGACUAAGCGUCGGAUUCGACUUCGCCUCGGACUAGUCGGUCCCAGCCAGUGUCCAAGUCGGUUUCGACUUCAAAGCGGUUCCCGCACGGACUCCACAACGCAACCAAAGUUCAGCAAGGCUUUCUUACUCGAACCCUAUUUGAACUCGGGCAUGACAAAGACGUCGACUCCGACUCGUCUUAUUCGCUAGAGAUACCAUUAUCUGGUCCAGCCCAAGGAUUGGUAAUAACUUCAACAUCACAAGGCAGAUUCGUCCACUGGCCGGGAUUGCGACCAUCUCUUCUUGACCGCGACUACGACUCGCGCCUUGUCGCCCAUGUAGACAAUCUCCCAUAUCAAGAAGGCAUUCCACUCACGUCCAACCACGAGGAAAGCUCUACAGAGAUCGCAACGUCAAGCUCCGGAAGCUACUACCUGGACAGGGAGAUACUUGUUAUUACUCAGAAUAACAACCCGGGUACUAGCCAGAACAGAACCCCCAGGAGAUUAGCACAACUCGACAACAUCUCCGAAGAUGAGUCUACAGCUGACGCCCCUCACGAUGAAACCUCCGAGCAACAUAACCAAAGAAGGACGUGCAACGCUACUCGAGCCGAGCGACGACAGUCGAUGGCUACAAAUAUUCCCAUUACAAAUCUUGAAAGGGCUUUCAACGCAGUUGUAACACCUUCCAUUUUAGUCAUUAAGGUAACUCUGAAGAAAUAGAAGCAAUUCAUGAAGAAAAGGAGAAGAAAUUGGCUAAAAAUCAAAUUCGGGUCAAAUUUGACCGAAAUUUGAAUUUUGAAUUCAAAAUUCAGAAAAAUUUGGCAAAAAUGUGGAAUGGAAGUGUAAGGGUGAUUAGAACUUGAAGAUCAAGCUUUGGGACAAGAUCUGGUCCUAAAUGCCUCAAGAAAAAUCAAAGAAAGAAAUUAAAAACCGAAGUUACUAUUCACCAUCCGACAAUAGAAGUUCAGAAAAACAGCAGCAGAGUCCAUUUUGGAAAUUAAUUUCCGACCAAUUUUCCAAAUAAGUGAACCAAGACAACUAUACCAUAUUAAAGUAUGGAUUUUGGACAAGUAUCUUCAGGUGUUGUUGAUCAAGAAUAGUUGAGGGAACCAUUUCAAAUGGAGGCCCCAAAGUCAGCACCUUGUCACGGUAGACUGCACUACUGAAUUUGACUAAGUCUGAAACAGCAAUAUGUAGCCAAGUUUGGAGCCGAUUUCAGAGAAAUGUGGAGUAAAAGGUGUAAGUGUUUAUGGGCAAAAUGGAAUCCUUGGAUGUUGUAGAACACAAAUGGGGAGUAGUUGGACUAAAAGGAAGGGAUUUGGACCACUGAAAUGGUUUACAAAGUCGGGUGAAUGACCACCUCGAAUGACUGACGAACUAAAUGGGAAGAACAGAAGGGUUCAGUUACUUGCCAGAGAAAAACUUAAAUUUGAAAACUUUUGGAUGCUUAUCUCGGGCAAAGGUUUAAAUAUGAAUUGUAGAGCUCAAGUUUAUCUACAACUUUGUUUAAGUGACUUGUGAACCGUCGGAUUCGAAAUCAGCCGUGGUGGAGCUCUAAAUUUCGGGCGUCAGAAAUAAAGAGGGGGAGAGUGACAGAGCCGAGCUCGACGUGUCGCCGCCGGCGUUCUCGGUCGCCCACCAGCGCGGCAGCUACGCCACCUCCUCACCACGCAAGCCUACGAGUAGACCACGGUGUCGCCCAUGCGUGCAGUAAGUCUUUCAUAUAUCUACCGCUCCUGCGCCGCCCCUUUUACCGCCGUUCCUUUUUACCGCCGCCGCUCUCUCUGUCAAGCCAUCGCAGCCGACCAAAUUCCGUUGCCACGCCUCACCUCCCGUCAAUUCCUCUCGCCCACUCCCCCACAGAUACCCCAGCUACACCCCAGUCGAGUUGUUGUCCAACAUCCUUGCCGGAAUACCCUACACCGCCGUCGUUUCCGUCCGCCGUCGCCGCACCUCCUGCUCACGGUGAGCACCUCCUUGCUCUUGUUCUCUUUCUUCAUAGGUAGUCGUAGGCGGGUCCUUGGGGUGCUUGAAAGCUGUAGAGGGAGUCGUCGGGAUAAGCUAAGCCGUCGUUGUGCUUAGCCACGACCGGCCAUAGGCGCCGCCGCCCGCCGCCGUGGAGGGAGUAGCUCCGGCCGUCUCCCGGGAAGCUGUCACCGUGCACGGGUGCGCUAGGGCAUGGGGAUGCUUUCCCGGCCUAGCCCCGUCGCCGGUAGGGCGUCGGCCGGCAAGCCGCGCCGCCCCCUAUUGCGCUCAGGAUUUUGGCGGGAGGAGGAAGAAGGCACUGGAGUCGCGGGCCCGCGCGUCAGGAAGAAGAAGAGAAGGAGGAGGCAGGCCGGGUGACGGUUUAGGUGGGCCGCGAGUCCAAGUUGGCCCAAGUGCCAGCGCGAGAGAGGGGCCGGUGGGAGAAACGGUCGGAGGCCCAGGAGAGAAGCAGGUCGGUCUCGCGGGGGAAGAGAAGAAGGAGAGAUGGGCCAUGGGCCAGUGCCGGUCUGGGAAAGGAAUAAGAAAAAGAAAAAUGGCCUAGGGAGCCCAUCAGAGGAAAGGGUAGGCCGACGGGUGAGAUGAAUAGGAGAAGGGGUGGGUCCGAGCCGCGGGUCCAGUGUAAGAGAGAGGGGGUAGAGUAGAGUCGCGUGAGAAAAGUAGCCGGGGGUGUUUUUCGGGAAAAGAUAGAUUUCUUUUAUAGAAUAAUUAGUUUAAAUCCGAAUCUCACCAUUUAAAUCCCAGAAAUUUCUAGGAGUGUCCAAAAUUAGUGAAACCAAUUUUGUUAGGCUUAUGUUAUUUUCCUUUAUGCAUUAAAAUUUUUAUACCCUAGAAAAAUAAUAAAAAUUUGGGUAUUUAUUUAAUGCCUUUCUUUUAAGGUAUUUAAUAAAUGCUUAAUCUUUAUUAAAUGCAUAAAAUAUGAAAUAACCUUUUCAUAAUUAAAAAUUAUUAUUAACUCAUAGGAAAUUAGAUUUUAAGACUAGAAAUAAUUAUAACAUUUUCUAAAAAUAAAAGAAAAAGGCCCUAAGUAAGGUUAGUUAAGGAAAUAAAAUUGUGGGCUAAUCUUUUCAGGUUUUUGUGUGUUGGCUUGCAACUUUAUCAUGAUAAAUUGAAUAGUCCUUGUUGGCUUGCAACUUUAUCAUGAAGGAAAGUUGUAUAGUCUUGUAUUCAAAAAGUUGCAUUCCUAACCCCUGCAUAUGUUGUGUUAUAGACACCGAAGCACCAGAAGGAGAUUUCUCGGAAUAUUCAGAAGGAUCUUCGGAAUUUGAGGAAGUCUUUGAAUUGGUCCCCUACGAGGCCAACCCUUCAGACAGUGCUAACUUUUUUAGCGAACAAGGCAAGCCCUGGUGCAUUAUACCUAUUAUUUUGGAGUCAAUAUUUCAUGUGUCCAAUUAUCGGUUAUCUGCUAUAUGUAUGCACUAAGUCUAGGAGUUGCUUGAAACCCAUUCUUGUGCAUUAUCAUACCUUAUUUUAAGGACAUCUUUGCCACUUGUUCAAACCUUUAGAAAAUAACCCAAGUCUAGAAUUGCUUAGUUGCUCAAACACUUGCUUUACCAAACCUUAAGGUAAAUAUUGAGUCAUGCAUGUUAAUUAUGGAAAGAUAACUUGGAAGUCAAGAAGCGGACAGAAGCUAGGGAUGUAGUUCUGUCUGCUAGAUUAAUCUGGUUAAGGCCCGAUUCAUUGUCUUAACCUUUGAUCAAGUGAAAGACAUCUGAUCACUUACUGGGUAUGGGACCAGCAAAGCCCAGUAGAUUAGUAAACCCUCUGAUCGGGAAUUCCUCAUACCCGCGCUUGACGUGCUGGAGAUUGGCAGGGGCGUAGCCUGAAACUCACAUGGUGAUCGGGCCAGACGUGGGGUCCCAUGUGGGGGUGCGUCUGUUGGGACUACUCCCCGGACCCACGAGUAGGCCUUGGGUGGCCCACUAUGGGACGUACUCGGAUGUGAUCAGAACAAGGAUGGGCGUAUCCUACUCGGACUAGUCUUGUAUGUUUAUGGAAAACUACUCGGACGAUACCGAGUAGAACUCUGUAAUAGUACCCGACUAGGACUCAGACUUGUAACCCUGCCCUCCCGGGUAUAUAAGGCCGGGCAGGGACCUCCCUCAAAACAGAUCCUUCAGGACCAGAACACACAUCAAUACAAACCAACACACAGGACGUAGGGUAUUACGCGAUCUAGCGGCCCGAACGUGUCUAAAUCGUGUUCCCUACGUCACCAUUGAUUCCUUGAUUCUCGACGACCCUUACCGCAUAAAAGACCACCUAGGGUACCCCUAGGCAGGUUGCCGGUCUAAAACACCGACAGCUGGCGCGUCAGGUAGGGGAACUCGUCGAGUUUCUCAGCGAGAACUCAAUGGCAAAAGUCAUCAUCAGGCCCAUCUUCUUCAUCGAAGCCGGCGCCACCUUCGUUUUCGGAUCCUGGCUCUGCGUCGCCGAAGGCUCAGGAUCGUUCCGACGCCAGAUCGUCGACUCUCAGGAGAAGAAACCAGAAGAAGUAACCAGGAAAAAUCAAGAUUUCAAAGUCAACAAGCCCAAGUUCGACUACACGUAGGACUCGAUUUCGCCUCGGACUACUCCAACGUCUCGCUCAAGGGUUGGGCUCCGCCGACCCCAGGCCCUGGAGUCGGGCGAGGCAAAGCCACCCUUCCGCAGGGUCGGGCUUCGCCGACCCCAGGCCUCGGGGUCGGGCGAGGCGGAGCCACCCUUCCGCAGGGUCGGGCUUCGCCGACCCCAGGCCUCGGGGUCGGGCGAGGCGGAGCUACCCUCCCACAGGGUCAGGAUCUCCCGACCCUAGGACUUGGGGUCGGGCGAGGCGGAGCUACUCCCUCACGGGGUCGGGCUUGGCCGACCCCUGGACUCAGGGUCGGACUCGCUUCGGAUUCGUCGACCCCAGUCAGCAUCCAAAUCAGUUUCGAUUUCAAAGUGGUUCCCGCACGGACUUCGCAACACGACAAAAGUUUAUAAAGAUUCUCUUGCUCGAACCCGAGUCAAACUCGGGUACGAUGAGGACGUUGACUCCGACUCACCCUACUCUCCAGAAAUACCAUUAUGCGGUCCAGCUCAAGGGUUGGUAAUAACUUCGACGCCACAAGGCAGAUUCGUCCAUUGGCCGGGAUUGCGACCAUCUUUUCUUGACCGUGACUACGACUCGUGCCUCAUCGCCCAUAUAGACAACUUGCCAUAUCAGGAAGGCGUUCCACUUACAUCCAGCCAUGAAGGAAGCUACACAGAGAUUGCUACAUCAAGUUCCGGAAGCUACUACCCGGACAGGGAGAUACUUGUUAUUACUCCAGUUAACAACCCGGGAACUAGCCAGAAUAGAACCCCCGGGCGACUAGCACAAGUCAACAACAUCUCUGACGAUGAAUCUACAGCCGACAAUGAAACUCCUGAACAGCGCAAGCAACGAAGGGCGCGCAAUACUACUCGAGCUGAGCGUCGAUAGUCAAUGGCUACAAAUAUCCCUAUUACAAAUCUUGAACGGGCUUUCAACGCAGUGCAGGCUCAGGAGCACAACACUCGACUCGCGGCUAUCGCUUCCAUCAACAUUUUGACGACAUUGAUGCCUCAAGAUAAUGAUAACGCAGCCACAGCUCAACUCAUGCAGCGUGGCAACGGACUAAUUGCACAACUCGCGGAGCAAGCCUACAAGCUGCUUGACAAAGAAUCACCAAUCCUGUCCGUUCCCUGCAUUACAGAAGGAAGCAGGGGGGCUGCAGAUAAAAAUGUUGCUCCGCGAAACAACGAUGUAGUCAACCAGCCUCGGCAACACAGCCAAGGUCCAAGCAAGCAUAAAGUUCCUACUCAACAGAAGGAUGUAGGUGAAGCCAGCUGCACCAACUCGGUUAAAAGUGUUCGCCCUACUCGCAAGAACCGCGAGAUGUCCAACAUCAGCGAUCUACGAGAAAUCCUUAACAGUCGGCGUGAACGGGAAGUCGACAGCUACAACCACUUUCCUGCUUUCACAAACCGGGUAAUGAAAACAAAAUUACCCGAAAAGUUCAAACCGACCGGCAUUACCAAGUACGAUGGCAAGCAAGAUCCAAUUCAAUGGCUACGCUGUUUAUUCUGAAUCUUUCUAUUCUGAAUUCAGUUAACGAUGAGAUUUAGUAUCUUUUCUUGCACUUUCAUAACUCGUGAAAUGCCGAGUAGGCACGAAUUCCCCCAAUUUGCGACCUACCAUAGGAUUUGUUAUGUAAAUAGGUAUAUGUUCCCUUCCAUUAUGAAUCGCGAUUGUAUGGCCAACCAUUGCGAGAGGCGAACUCUGUAAUUCCCCUCCUGCAAAAGUGAUAGCGGCUGUAGCAUCCGUGUGGAAGAGGGUAAGCUUUCAGCAACACCUUUUUCAGAUUGGCUCAUCAUCUUUGGUUUCUUACUUGUUCCAAUAGAUAUAUACCAGAGGCUCGUGGUUACUCGCUAGCCGUCCAAGCAGCCGGAGGCAACAACGACACCAAAGUCAUUCAUUUUCCCAUAUGCAUGGAACCCGCACCACUGACCUGGCUCGAGUCACUCAAACCCAAGUCCAUCGACUCUUGGGCAGACUUGACAAAAGCUUUUACCAACAAUUUCGCCGGCUCCAUGGCUAGACCAGGAAACAAGAUUGACUUGCAACAAAUUAAGCAGAGAGAGGGCGAAACCUUGCGCGACUAUCUACGACAGUUCUUCGAAAAGAAGGCUACCAUAGUAGACAUCUCCGAAGCGGACGUCAUCGAGUGUUUCCAAAACGGACUCUACGAUCGACGAACAUACCAAGACUUCGGUUGCCGACGGCCGGCCGAUGUCAAAGAACUCAAGCUCAUGGUGCAACAGUGGGCCGAUGAAGAAGACAAAGAACGCGAACGGUUCGGUUCCCACCGUAACCGCGGACGCGACAACAGCCACAACAAUGAUACAGAUAAACCUCGUCAUAACGAUGCUCGGAAUUCCUAUCCAGGUAAUCAUAAUCACAAAAGGAAGCCUGACAACACUGUUGCAGCAAUGACCAACUCCGGGAAAAAAGGACAGCGCCGAAACGACGAUGGACCAAACCUUCACGGAGCUACUCAAAAAGCAGUGCCCAUGUCACCCGACCAGCAAGCACUCCACACUGGACUGUUACAGCAUGCGCCGAGUUAUGCAAGAUUUACCAGCACCACCAACUCCUGAAGAGUACGCCAAAAACAGAGACAAGGGUAAAAACAAAGCCCGCAACGAUGAAGAUGAAGAUGGCGAUUUCCAACCAGCUUCAAAAACCGUCAACGUUAUUUUUGGAGGCAUCCCUGGCACAGCAUCCAAGCGGGCCAACAAACUCGUACUCAGGGAGAUCAUGGCCAUCGAACCGACGGACCCCACACCGCUAAAGUGGUCGGAAGUUCCAAUAUCUUUCAGCAGAAAAGAUCAAUGGACAAAAUUUUCAGAACCCGACCGUUUUCCACUAGUCUUGGAUCCGGUCGUGGCAGGUUCCAAGUUAACAAAAGUACUCAUCGACGGCGGGAGCGGUCUCAACGUUAUCUUCACCAAAACAUUAAGGAAAAUGUGCCUCGACGUCACGGGCAUGCUCACUCCAACGUAUUCCCCUUUCUACGGCAUUGUGCCUGGAAACGCGGCCAUACCAUUGGGGCAAGUUGUCCUCCCAGUCACCUUCGGAACUAAAGAACAUUACCACACUGAGUACAUCAGAUUCGAGGUCGCCAACUUCGAGACUUCUUAUCACGCCAUACUCGGACGGCCGGCACUAGCCAAGUUUAUGGCCAUACCACAUUAUGUCUACCUGGUACUCAAGAUGCCAGGUCCCAAAGGUGAGGUCACGCUAUGAGGAGAUCUCCAGAGAUCCUACGAGUGUGACACCGAAGCCGUGGAAAUUGCUGCGACUACUCAAUCUCCUAGUCCCAUGCAACAAGUCUUCACCGCUUCAAAGAAACUCCAUCCAACUGAACUCGAGAUCCCCAAAAACAAGUCGGGCUCCACAAAGGUGAAACCCGCCAGUGAGCAAGACUUCAAAUCGAUCAACCUCCAGACCGGAGAUCCUUCCAAGACAGUCCUGAUCGGAACAAGGCUAGAUCCUAAAUAGGAACUCGCGCUCGUCAGUUUCCUUCGGGCUAACCACGAUAUCUUCGCUUGGAAACCGGCCGACAUGCCAGGUGUGCCCAAGGAACUGAUCGAGCAUUCCCUCAACGUUGAUCCCAAAGCUACUCAAAAACGGCAAUGACUACGCGGCUUCGCUCAGGACAGACGCGACGCCAUCAAAAAAGAACUCGCCAAGCUACUCGCGGCAGGAUUCAUCAAGGAAGUUUUCCAUCCUGACUGGCUCGCCAAUCCUGUGCUCGUUCGCAAGAAAAACAACGAAUGGAGAAUGUGUGUCGACUACACCGACCUCAACAAACACUGCCCAAAAGAUCCUUUCGGGUUACCUAGGAUCGAUCAAGUGGUCGACUCCACCGCUGGGUGCGCCCUGCUCUGCUUCCUCGAUUGCUACUCCGGCUAUCAUCAGAUAAGCCUCAAAGAGGAAGAUCAAGCCAAAACAGCUUUCAUCAUGCCCUUUGGAGCUUUCUGCUACAAAACAAUGUCCUUCGGACUCAAGAACGCAGGAGCAACUUACCAAAGGGCCAUACAGAUGUGCUUUGAAAAACAACUUCAUCGCAAUGUCGAAGCUUAUGUUGAUGACGUCGUCGUCAAAACAAGACACCGGGAGGAACUCAUUGCCGACUUGGAGGAAACUUUCUCCAGUCUCCACGCUUUUCGAUGGAAACUCAAUCCUACUAAGUGCGUCUUCGGAGUACCUUCCGGCAAACUCCUCGGGUUCAUCAUUAGCCAUCGCGGCAUUGAGGCCAACCCGGAGAAGAUAUCUACCAUCACAAACAUGCAGGCUCCAGCCAGCAUUAAGGAUGUGCAGAAACUCACAGGUUGCAUGGCCGCUCUCAACCGAUUCAUCUCGAGACUUGGAGAACGGGGACUACCUUUCUUCAAGUUUCUCAAAUGCCAGGACAAGUUCAAAUGGACGGAAGAGGUAGAUAAGGCAUUGACACAACUCAAAGACUUUCUGUCAAAGCCUCCUGUACUCACCGCUCCCUCGCCGAACGAGGACUUGCUCCUAUACAUCUCCGCUACCACUCAUGUCGUCAGCACGGCAAUGGUAGUCGAACGGUCUGAACCGGGCCACGCCUACAAGGUUCAACGACCUGUCUACUUCGUCAGCGAAGUAGUCUCGGACUCCAAAACUCGGUAUCCACCGAUACAAAAACUCUUAUAUGCUAUUCUGCUCACCUCCCGGAAGCUACGCCAUUACUUCCAAGAGCAUAGCAUCAUAGUCAUCUCCGACUUCCCGCUUGGCAAAAUUCUCCACAACAGAGAUGCCACGGGUAGAAUCUCCAAAUGGGCAGUCGAACUCGGGGCUCUUACUUUGAGCUUCAAGCCAAGGACAGCCAUCAAGUCUCAGGCUUUGGUCGACUUCAUAGCCGAGUGGACCAAAAAUCAAAUUCCAACUCCAGUUGAGCGACCAGAGCAUUGGGUAAUGUACUUCGACGGAUCCCUCAAACUUGAAGGGGCCGGCGCAGGCGUCUUACUCAUCUCCCCCAAGGGAGACCAACUUAAGUACAUGCUGCAGAUAUUCUGGGAAGCAUCCAAUAACGAAGCCGAGUACGAAGCAUUGCUACACGGCCUUCGCCUUGCGAUCUCCCUCGGCAUCAAACGACUACUGGUGUAUGGCGACUCCCUAGUCGUCAUAAACCAGGUCAAUGAUGAGUGGGACCGCAACAAAGACAACAUGGAUGCUUAUUGCAAAGAAGUCCGUAAACUGGAAAACAAAUUCUCCAGCUUGGAGUUCCAUCACAUCGUCCGCGACAACAAUGUUGCUACCGACGUCUUGUCCAAAAUGGGCUCAACUCGUGCAGAAGUUCCAGCAGGAAUUUUCGUACACGAACUACGCAAGCCAUCCAUACCUGUACAGGUCACACCACCAGUAGUCCCGACUACUGACGGCUCUCGAGAGAUCAUGAUGAUAGAAGUCGACUGGAGGACACCCUUCAUCGACUACAUCAAAGAUCACUAGCUACCAUCUGAUAAGAAUAAAGCCGAGCAAAUCUCCUGAUGAGUAAAGAAUUACGUUCUAGUCGGAGACAAGCUCUACAGGAAAGGUACAUCAUCUGGAGUACUCAUGAAGUGCGUCACCAGAGAAGAUGGCCAAGAAAUCCUAGAGGAAAUACACAGAGGAAUCUGCGGCAACCACGCCUCUUCGAGGACACUAGUCGGCAAGGCCUUCAGAGCAGGAUUCUACUGGCCCAUGGCUCUGGCCGACGCCAAGCAACUCGUCCAGAAGUGCAAAGGUUGUCAAUUCUUCACAAAACAGCAACAUGUGCCGGCUUACAAGCUGGUCACAAUACCUCCACCAUGGCCAUUUGCCUGCUGGGGGCUCGACAUGAUCGGCCUAUUACCAACUGCGCCAGGAGGAUUCAACAGAGUACUCGUGGCAAUUGACAAGUUCACCAAGUGGAUCGAGGUCAAACCAGUCACUUGCCCAAAGGCAGACCGAGUCCUCGACUUCUUGGAUGAAAUCGUACAUCGUUAUGGUUUUCCCAAUAGGAUUAUCACCGAUCUCAGGUCAAACUUCAACAAUCAUGACUUCUGGGAAUAUUGCGAGAACAGCGGCAUCGACGUCCGCUAUGUCUCGGUUGCUCAUCCGCGAGCCAAUGGUUAAGUCGAGUGUGCCAAUGGCAUGAUACUCGAUGCUCUGAAGAAACGACUACAUGACGUCGGCAACACCAAAGGUGGCCGAUGGCUCAAAGAGUUACCCAAUGCCUUGUGGGGCCUAUGUACCCAACCAUGCAAGACUACGGGGCUGUCACCUUACUUCUUGGUAUAUGGCUCAGAAGCCAUACUACCCGCCGACAUCAUGUGGUAAUCACCAUCCGUCGAACAAUAUGACGAAGAGCUUGCCAUAGAAACACGGCGAACGGAGAUCGACAGUUUGGAAGCGACAAGAUGCGCAGCACUGGUGCAAUCUGCCAGAUACCUUGAUGGUUUAAGGCGUUAUCACGAUCGCAACAUCAAGGAAAGGUCUUUUAACUUGGGCGAUAUGGUCCUUAAGCGUAUUCAAGACACAUCAGGAUUGCACAAACUCAAUUCACCAUGGGAAGGUCCUUACAUUGUAUCAAAGGUUACAGGACCUGGAUCUUACAGACUCCAAGAGCUCUCAGGAGAACAGGUCCCAAACUCUUGGAAUAUAGAACACCUUUGUUGCUAUUACCCGUAGCAGCACUCGAGUACUCACUUCCAGGCAACUACUCGGGACGACUACUCGGCUAUCGGCUUCAAGGGGUGUUCGCUUUAAUGCGCUAUCAAUACAACAACUCUUUAUUGAAACAAGAGUACAUCAAAUUACAUACGAGUACAAGGACUCAGCUCAACAAAGACUACAAGCAACUGCCUACUGGCGGGCUGCAUUUAAGUCUCAGGCUUUUACUAUAUCACAAGGCCACUCAGGUCUACCGACCGUAGGAGGGGCCCACACGCAAGGAAGCUGUGCAAAACGCAGCCAUGCCCAGGUAUCCUACCCAAGGCACGUCCAGGUACUCCAUUACCGCCAUCAUCAGGACAGCGGCAACGUCAAAACCGGGAAGACGCGCCUAGAGGGAACCAAGGCUGCUCUUUUGCUAGCCUUGCGAAGCCUAUCUACUCUAUGGCCGCACCUCCACUAUCUUUCAGAGCGGGAUGAAGACCGCGACACUCGUCACCCAUCACUCGCUACGAGUUCCAGCGCAUACUCCACUGGAUCAGUAGCUACGGGAUGAGGCAGGCGACGAACCCUCCUACGAGGAUUCUUCUAACAUCGCGGCUAUCCCUACGAGCGCAAGAGCCUGUGGAGGCAAGGUGGCCUUAAUCUACGAGGAACCUUCUAGCACCGGUGCGCUCUUCUCUGGCUCUCUACACUCAAACAGAAGCAACCGCAGGCAAUCCAUUGCUACUCAGGAGCUUGAGUUGGCUCGCCCACCAGAUGGCCCUAUUUAUAGCCGAAAGCUCCAACUACCACCGGCCCAAGAGUUACUGUGCACCCGUGAUCAAUAGGUCUGACAACUCCUGACUCUGCCCAUGUGACUGCACUCAUGCCGCAAUAGACAAAAAGAGCACAAUACACCCGUGUCUCCGCAAUGGACGAAAGAGCUCAGUACAUCCGUAUGGCAACAGAGGACAUCUGAGUACACUACACCCGUGUCCCUCAGAAGAGUACUCAAACAAAAUUACGACUACUCGAUACUUGGGACUACUACGAGCCAAGUUUGGCCUACACGACGGGGACUCCGACUACUCCGAUCCUGGGACCUAAGGUCGGGCGAGGCGGAGUUCCACCCGCGAGGGGUCGGACGCCUCUGACCCCAUGACUCAGGGUCGGACGAGGCGGAGUUCCACCCGCGACGGGUCGGGCGCAUCCGACCCCAGGACUCGGGGUCAGGCGAGGCGGAGCCACUCCUUCAAAGGGUCGGGCACAGCAGAGUUGCAACACUUCGGGAUUCAACAACAUUUUUUCGCAAACAAACCCCAAAUUCCAAAAUCUUGAUAUUCAGAAGUAUCAACAUACUCGGUACAGGAAUAAGGGUUAUACAAAAGCUCAAAUUUCUUCUAAGGAGACGAACUCUGACAUCUUGGCUGCGAUGGGCUCCGCCUCCUUGAGGUACCGCACAUAUGCUUCAUCUGUGCAGUUGCGAGCCAUGCCAUCUCCAGCUGCCGCCAAGUCUGCCCUCGGGUAAUAGGACUUCACAACUGCAAGAACCUGUUUGCAAACAGUCUUGCAGAGUCCCGCCACCUUACUCGAGGCAGCUCUUAGUCGCUCUACUAGCGAUUGCGGCUCUCCGCCUUCCUCCACGGGGGCUAUAGAAUUCACCAAGUCUUCGGCCGCUCCGGACAAAUCUUGGAGUUCACCCCGAAGCCUUCCCAAGGUCUGGGCAUGAUCUCUGCAUGCCACCAUGGCCAUGGCGAGCAUCACGCCGUUUUGCAUCUUCCAGUCUCGAUGACGCUCGCAAGCAGCCUUUGCUUCUGUGAGUGCGGCCCGAAGAUGUUCAGCUUCAUCCGCCACUCGAUCGUGAGCGUUCUUCCAAUCAAUAACUUGGCUCCUUGCAGCCGCCUCCUGCUUCUUGAGCUCUACAAAGGACAAGAACUCAGGUCACAUCCAACUACAGUGCGACACACCCAAAGUAGUCGCCAUGCUUACCUUCAUACUUCUUGUUCAAGGACUUGUAGCUGCUCUCCAGUUUCUCUUGCAGAACGGCGUGAUCCGUGCGUUCCACGGCAAAGGAUUUUGCCCCAACUUCAUGAACCCGAAGCGCUUCUUUCAGUCGGACGCACUCCUACUCCAGCUGGUGGUUUCUUUCCUGAAAAGGUCUGGGUGCGUUGUGGUAAGUUUCACGCCUCACGACUACUCGGGUCCUGCAAUAACAUCAGCAAUAUCUACCUGGAUGCCCCGGAACACAUCCAUGGCCCUCUGGAGCUCCAAAUCAGAAGGCGGGCUGAGUACCGGCCUUUGGGUACUCUCCACAAGAGGAACUGUACCUAGAGCAGCACCUACAACAUUCACCAUAUCAGCUACCAACUACAACUACAAUAACAAAAUACAGGCAUUUACCUGGAGCAGUCGCUUGCUUGGAUUUCUCAACUACAGCCAGCACUCCGCCAGAGGACGCGGAUAGGCCAGCACUUCCCGAGCCUGAUGUAGCAGCAGGCUCCUCUACUGAGCGAAUCACGUCUUGAAGCAUCGACAUCGUAGCUCCAAGAUGACCCGGGUCAACCUCGGGAACUUCUUCAACAAUCAUGUCCUCAAAAGGAACAGAUGUUGUGGCCAAAGGGUCCGGUACUACCCCUGUUUCUACAGGGAUAGUUUCCUCUGCAUCCCUGCACCGCCAAAGUGUUACUACAUGAUUUCCAGACAAUGCAACAUCGUUCAAAAGGACAAGGGCGCUCACCGAGUUGAACGUGGCGGCAGUCGCACACGUUUCUUCUCGGUAAUAGGCGGCCGAGUACUCGGAGCCGCGGGAACGGCCGCCAGCACUGUUUUCUCACCAAGACCUACAAAACCGAAGUCAAGACUACAGUACUACUCAAAUGACUACAUUUGACAAGGACAGCGCUUACCGCUGGCGAUCACAUUUGAAAACAAGGUGCCAGUAGCAAGUACUGGUGACACCUCCUUUGCCACUCCAGCAGGCAGCCCCAGUACCGCCUGAUCAGCAGUGGGCGGCAUGGUAGCUAAUGGAGUUGGCACGGUUAACUUGGGGGCUGCCACAGCUGUUGACGGCACUUUCUCCAGCAAUGUGUCAACGGCCGCCCCACCGACUUCAGGGUCGGACACGGCUAUCUCUUCAGAGACAGUCUCAUCUACAGCCUUCAUGAACCAAGACAUGAUUCACCACAUCAAUAAAGCAUCUCAAGUUCAUCAGUAACAUGCAAGUUAUCGAGUCCAUACCUUGGUACCCUGAGACUUCUCAGUGGUGGCAACAGACUUAGCCACAGCCAUCUUGCAGACUACUCUGCGCCUCUUGACAGGAGGAGAAGGUUCAUCCUCUGAUUCCUCGACGACAGUCUCUGACUCUUCUUCCGGCUGCGCCACAUAGCCGUCAAGUACUCGGGACUUCUAAACAACAAAAAUGGUGUCAGCAACAAGAAUCACAAGUCAACAGGAAACAAGUCAAGAAGGAAAUACUUACCACCUCUAGCUCGUACCAGGAUUCAUACUGGCGAAGGGCCGCAGGGAUUACUGGUACUCCCUGAUAAUUCCUGAAGAACUUCGUUAGCAGCGCCUCCACAUCAUCGUCAGAUAUGUCCUCCUCAGACAUACGCGAUGGAUCUUUCAGAGCUUUGUACUCACUUCACGGGUGAGCGUGUUUUUGAAGUGGCUGGACCCUUCUUUUCAGAAAGCUGGCUGCCACAUUGAUCCCAGUCAGACCAAGUGCUUUCAACUCGGUGAUCUGCUGCAUCUGAAGAUCAAGCUUCGGGGUAUCUUCAGGCUCGCUUAUCCAGUUUUUAGCAUGCUUGGGCGCGUGACCAGUCACCACAGGCAAGCGAGGAUCAUGGUUCCUGAUGUAGAACCAUCUUUUCUUCCAAUCCCCAUGGGAGUCGGUCAGAUUGUACUCAAUGUAUGCACUUGAGUUCCUAAGUUGGAACCCGACGCCUCCAAAGACCUCCGUCCGCUGGGCACUCGGUUGAGGCUUGCAACGGAACAGUUUCCUGAAUAGCUCAAGACUUGGAGGUACUCCCAGGAAAACUUCGCACAGAUGAACAAAGAUAGCCAUGUGCAGUACUCCAUUGGGAUUCAAGUGGACGAGCUGAAGAUUAUAGUACUCGAGAAUACCUCUGAAGAAGUCGGAGGUAGGCACGGCCAGUCCCCUUUCCACGAAGUGAGCAAGCAUCACCGUUUCCACCGGAUGUUCUUCAAACUGCCACGCAUUGGGGAAUGCGGGGUGCCACUGCACGAUUUCCUUCGGUUGAAGGAGCUUGGCAUCGACAAGCGCUUGGACUCCCUCUUCCUUCAUCACUGAGUGUUGCCAAGUUGCCCCAGGCAGCGGCGGAGCUGUCUGGUUCGUCGGCCCCACCUUCGGUGCCGGCAGCACCAACUCCUUCCCCUUCUUGGAUUUAACCUUGCUCGUCGCCAGAGCCUUGCCUUGGAUCUUCUCGGGUUUCUUGCCCAUCUUCUUGGAGCGCAUUCGAUGGAUUCAACUUCGCCUUAGGGAAGAGGCUUCCACUCGGAUCUAACUCAAAAAGCGGCAGUGGCAGAGGCGGCAGCACUGGCGGCAGUGACACAGCGAGCGAAAGCACAGAGGAGGAAGACGAAACAGAUCUAAUGCACGGCGUCACGGCAACUGCAAAAGGGGGCUUUCCAGAUUUAUUUCCACCGGCUCCGGAUUCGACGCGUUUCGUUGCGCAACGAACAGAUUAAAAUUGCGUAUAAACAUCCAACGGUUACUACAUUCAAUGGAUUGUUGACCACUUCAACGACAGGAAUCGCCUAAGUGCUCGGGGGCUACGGGUACCGUACCCGUUGGUCAGUUUUUUCUUUUUCAAAGAUCUCCGAGGGUAAAAUGGGCAAAAGAUGGUUUGACCCUAAGCCUGAGUCUUCGACUCAACCUAAGGCUCGGGGGCUACUCCAUAUGGAGUGCGAUUGACAUCGCACUACCAUAUAAAAACUACUCGGGAUGGAGACAAAUCGAAGCUGAAGAGAGUACGUUCCAGCCACGCGACAGUCCGCAAAACUACCCGGGUAGUGCCUGCAGCGCCCAAGACUAUGGCGCACGACUACAAAGUACUCGGGGGCUUGUCGGGACUACUCCCCGGACCCACGAGUAGGCCUUGGGCAGCCCACUAUGGGACGUACUCGGACGUGAUCAGAACAAGGAUGGGCGUAUCCUACUCGGACUAGUCUUGUAUGUUCAUGGAAAACUACUCGGACGAUACCGAGUAGAACUCUGUAAUAGUACCCGACUAGGACUCAGACUUGUAACCCUGCCUUCCCGGGUAUAUAAGGCCGGGCAGGGACCUCCCUCAAAACAGAUCCUUCAGGACCAGAACACACAUCAAUACAAACCAACACACAGGACGUAGGGUAUUACGCGAUCUAGCGGCCCGAACGUGUCUAAAUCGUGUUCCUUGCUUCACCAUUGAUUCCUUGAUUCUCGACGACCCUUACCGCAUAAAAGACCACCUAGGGUACCCCUAGGCGGGUUGCCGGUCUAAAACACCGACAGCGUCCCUGGGUCCGGGUAGUCUUAUUCCCAAUCAUUCAAUUUGCUAAUCGAAAAGUCGUUACGUACAACCUGGACAGUCGUAUAUAGUUGGUGAUCAGGGUACUCUCCUGUAUGAUCCGGAUCGCCGCAAUUCUCGGUUAUGAAUGCACUUGAUCACUGUUGAGCAUCGUAGCAUAAAUUCAUGAAUGCUAUAUCUUUCUACUAAUGUUUGGUGUAUGACUUAAUACCUUGUUGUUUGCAAAUAGUCUUUUAUCAUCACCUAGAAUGGUUAGGUAAUGCCUUAAUCCAAAUAAAAGAUAAAGCUAAGGUCUCACUUUUAGUAAGCUUUUUGGCAAAAAUGUAUCAGCCAAGUACACCGAAAAAGCUAUCAUGUACUUCCAAGAAAAACUAUUAUAUUGGUUAGUCGGGUAAGCCUUGUUGAGUACCUUGUACUCAGGGUUAUCCCUUGUGUCUAUUUUCAGAAGCACCGCAGGAGUCCACCGAGGAGGAAGCCCCGAAACCCUAGGGUGUUGUUAUGAGUCUCACAAUACCCUUAGAAGAAGUCUUAUAAUGCUCAUCUCCACCCGAACCGUUUAUGUUUUAAAUCCUAGAACUCUGUCUAACACUGCACUGUUAAAUUUGUUUCAAACUAUGUCUUGUAUUAACUCGUACCUCGUGUAUGUAUGUAAAAAUGUAAUAUUUGUUGAUGCUAUCCCAUCGCGGAUACAAUCCUGAUGUAUGGCUAUGAGACAUGACGUGGAUCUUUCGAGGAGUCCUAGGGACACUCGACGGACGACCGAACUUAUACUAUUUUAAGUGCGUUUCGGAUAAUUGCUGCAUCGGCAGCGAUUAGGCGCAUUUAAACCAGUUUAAGUUGGACGGUUCCGCCACAGCAGUUCAGGCUCAGGAGCACAAUACUCCACUCGCGGCUAUCGCCUCCAUCAACCUUUUAACAACGUUGAUGCAGCUCACCUCGUGCAGCGCGGCAACGGACUGAUCGCACAACUCGCGGAGCAAGCUUACAAGUUACUCGACAAAGGAUCACCAAUUCCAUCUGUUCCUCGCAUCACAGCUCACCAAGAAGGUAGAAGGGGAGCUGCAGAUAACAACAAUGCCCCAAAAAAUGGCAAUGAAGUUAACCAACCUCGGUAGCACAGCCAAGGUCCAAGCAAGCACAAAUCCCAAGCUCGCCAUAAGGAUGUUGGCGAGGUCAGCUGCACCAACUCGGUUAGAAGCAUCCGCCCUACUCGAAAGAACCACGAAGUGUCCAACUUUAGUGAUCUACGAGAAAUUCUCAACAGUCGGAGCGAACGAGAAGUCGACAACGACAACCACUUUCCCGCUUUCACAAACCGGGUAAUGAAAACAAAAUUACCCGAGAAGUUCAAGCCAACCGAAAUCACCAAGUAUGAUGGCAAACAAGACCCAAUUCAAUGGCUACGAUGCUACUCGCUAGCCGUGCAAGGAGCCGGGGGCAAUAACGAUACCAAAGUUAUUCACUUUCCCAUAUGCAUGGAACCCGCACCACUGACCUAGUUUGAGUCACUCAAACCCAAGUCUAUUGACUCCUGGGGAGACUUGACAAAGGCUUUCACCAACAACUUCGCCGGCUCCAUGGCUAGACCAGGCAACAAGAUUGACUUAAGUCAAAUUAAGCAAAAAGAAGGCGAGACCUGACGCGACUAUCUGCGACGGUUCUUCGAAAAGAAGGCUAUCAUAGUUGACAUCUCCGAAACAGACGUCAUCGAGUGCUUCCAGAAUGGACUCUACGAUCGAUGAACAUAUCAAGACUGUGGUCGCCGACAACCAGCUAAUGUCAAAGAACUCAAAGUCAUGGUGCAACAGUGGGCGGAUGAAGAAGACAAAGAGUGAGAACGGUUCGGCUCCCACCACAACCGUGGACGCGACAACAACUACAACAAUGACCAAGAUAGAACUCGGCAUAAUGAUACUCGAAACAAUUAUUCGAGUAAUCACAAUCGCAAAAGGACGCCCGACAACACUGUUGCUGUCAUGACCAACUCCGGGACAAAGGGACCUCGUAAAAACGUUGAAGGACCAACCUUCACUGAAUUACUCAAAAAGCAGUGCCCAUGGCACCCGACUAGCAAGCACUCGGCCAUAGACUGCUACAGCAUGCGCCGAGUCAUGCAAGACUUACCCGCACCGCCACCUCCUGAAGAGUACACCAAGAAAAAAGAUAAGGGCAAGAACAAAGCCCGCAACAACGAAGACGAAGAAGGCGACUUCCAGACCGCCUCAAAAACUGGCAACAUCAUCUUCGGCGGUAUCCCAGGCACCGCAUCCAAGCGAGCCAACAAACUCGUACUCAGGGAGAUCAUGGCCAUCGAACCAACAGAUCCAACACCGUUGAAAUGGUCAGAAGUGCCUAUUUCUUUCAGUAGAAAAGAUCAAUGGACCAAGUUCUCAGAACCAGGCCAUUUCCCACUAGUCCUAGAUCCGGUUGUGGCAGGUUCCAAGUUAACCAAAGUACUCAUCGAUGGCGGAAGCGGACUCAACGUUAUUUUUGCCAAGAUAUUGAGGAAGAUGUGCCUUGACGUUACUGAAAUGCUUGCUCCAACAAAUUCACCUUUCUACGGCAUCGUCCCUGGAAAUUCGGCUAUACCACUAGGACAAGUUGUCCUUCCAGUCACCUUCGGAACUAAAGAACAUUACCGUACCGAGUACAUCAGAUUCGAAGUUGCCGACUUCGAGACAUCUUACCAUCCUAUACUCGGAAGGCCAGCACUCGCCAAAUUUAUGGCCAUACCACAUUAUGUUUACCUGGUACUCAAAAUGCUAGGCCCCAAGGGAGAACUCACGCUGCGAGGAGAUCUACGGCGAUCCUACGAAUGCGACACCGAAGUCGUGGAAAUUGCUGCGACUACUCAAGCACCUAGUCCCAUGCAACAAGUCUUCACAGCUUCAAAGAAUCUCCAUCCAACCGAACUAGAGAUCCCGGAAAACAAGUCAGGGUCCACAAAGGUGAAACCCACCAGUGAGCAAGACUUCAAAUCAGUUGACCUCCAGACGGGUGACCCUUCCAAAACUGCCCUGAUCGGAACAGGGCUAGAUCCUAAAUAGGAAUUCGCGCUCGUCAGCUUCCUUCGGGCUAACCAAGAUAUCUUCGCUUGGAAACCGGCUGACAUGCUAGGUGUGCCCAAGGAGCUGAUUGAGCAUUCUCUCAAUGUCGAUCCCAAAGCUACUCCAAAACGGCAACGACUGCACCGGUUCGCUCAAGAUAGACGAGAAGCAAUCAAAAAAGAGUUAGCCAAGCUACUCGCGGUAGGGUUCAUCAAAGAAGUCUUUCAUCCUGACUGGCUCGCCAAUCCCGUGCUUGUUCGUAAGAAAAAUAACGAGUGGAGAAUGUGCGUCGACUAUACCGACCUCAAGAAACACUGCCCAAAAGACACUUUCGGGCUACCCAGGAUCGAUCAGGUGGUUGACUCCACCGCUGGGUGCGCUUUACUAUACUUCCUUGACUGCUACUCCGGUUAUCACCAGAUUAGCCUCAAAGAAGAAGAUCAAGCCAAAACAGCGUUCAUCACACCUUUCGGAGCUUUCUGCUACAAAACAAUGUCCUUCGGACUAAAGAAAUAAGGGGCAACUUAUCAAAGGGCCAUACAGAUGUGCUUCGAAAAGCAACUUUACCGCAAUGUUGAAGCUUAUGUCGACGACAUCAUCAUCAAAAUAAGAAACCAGGAGGAACUCAUUGCUGACUUGGAGGAAACUUUCUCUAGUCUACGCGCUUUCCGAUGGAAACUCAAUCCUACUAAGUGUGUCUUUGGAGUACCUUCCGGCAAACUACUCGGGUUCAUCAUCAGCCAUCGUGGCAUUGAGGCCAACCCGGAAAAAAUAUUUGCCAUCACAAACAUGCAGGCACCAGCUAGCAUUAAGGAUGUGCAGAAACUCACAGGCUGCAUGGCCGCUCUCAACCGGUUCAUCUCGAGACUUGGAGAACGGGGACUACCCUUCUUCAAGCUUCUCAAACGCUAGGACAAGUUCAAAUGGACGGAAGAGGCAGAAAAGGCACUAACACAACUCAAAGACUUCCUGUCAAAGCCUCCUGUACUCACCGCUCCUUCUACGAACGAAGACUUGCUCCUAUACAUUUCAGCUACUACUCAUAUCAUCAGCACGGCAAUAGUAGUCGAACGGUCUGAACCGGGCCACGCUUACAAGGUCCAACGACCUGUCUACUUCGUCAGCGAAGUACUCUCGGACUCCAAAACUCGGUAUUCACCGAUACAAAAGCUCUUAUACGCAAUUUUGCUCACCUUCCGAAAACUGCGUCAUUACUUCAAAGAGCACAACAUCACGGUCAUCUCCGACUUCCCGCUCGAUGAAAUCCUCCACAACAGAGAUGCCACGGGUAGAAUCUCCAAAUGGGCAAUUGAACUCGGAGCUCUCACCUUGGACUUUAAACCAAGGACAGCUAUCAAAUCCCAAGCUUUGGUCGACUUCAUAGCUGAAUGGACUGAAAAUCAAGUGCCAACACCAGUCGAACGGCCAGAACAUUGGGGUAAUGUACUUUGACGGAUCCCUCAAACUUGAAGGAGCCGGCGCAGGCGUAUUGCUCAUCUCCCCCAGGGGAGACCAACUCAAGUACGUGCUGCAAAUAUUCUGGGAAGCAUCUAAUAACGAAGCCGAGUACGAAGCACUGCUACACGGCCUUCGUCUUGCAAUCUUCCUCGGCAUCAAUCGACUACUGGUGUACGGCGACUCUCUAGUCGUUAUAAACCAGGUCAAUGACGAGUGGGACCGGAAUAAGGACAACAUGGACGCUUACUGCAAAGAAGUCCGCAAACUGGAAAACAAGUUCUCAGGCUUGGAAUUUCAUCACAUCGUCCGCGACAACAACGUUGCCGCCAACGUCUUAUCUAAAAUGGGCUACACUCGUGCAGAGGUUCCAGCAGGAAUUUUCGUACACGAACUGCGCAUGCCAUCCAUAUCUGACCAAGUCACACCACCAGCAAUCCCGACUGCUGACGUCUCUCAUGAAGUCAUGAUGAUAGAAGUUGACUGGAGGACACCCUUCAUCGACUACAUCAAAGAUCACCAGCUACCAUCCGACAAAAAUAAAGCUGAGCAAAUCUCACGGCGAGUAAAAAAUUACGUUCUAGUCGGAGACAGGCUCUACAGGAAAGGUGCAUCGUCUGGAGUACUCAUGAAGUGCGUCACCAGAGAAGACGGCCAAGAAAUCCUAGAGGAAAUUCACAGAGGAAUCUGUGGCAACCACCCCUCCUCGAGGACACUAGUUGGCAAGGCUUUUCGAGCAGGCUUCUACUAGCCAAUGGCUCUGGCUGACGCUAAACAACUAGUUCAGAAAUGCAAAGGUUGUCAAUUCUUCACAAAAUAGCAACAUGUACCAGCCUACAAGUAGUCAUAAUACCUCCAACAUGGCCGUUUGCCUGCUGGGGGCUGGACAUGAUAGGGCUGUUACCAACUGCGCCAGGAGGAUUCAACCGAGUACUCGUGGCAAUCGAUAAAUUCACCAAGUGGAUCAAAGUCAAACUAGUCACUUGCCCCAAGGCAGACCGGGUCCUCGACUUCUUAGAUGAAAUCGUACACCGAUACGGUUUUCUCAACAGGAUUAUCACAGACCUAGGGUCAAACUUUAAUAAUCAUGACUUUUGGGAAUAUUGUGAGAACAGCGGCAUCGACGUUCGCUAUGUCUCGGUCGCUCACCCACGAGCCAAUGGACAAGUCGAGCGUGCUAAUGGCAUGAUACUCGACGCCCUGAAGAAAAGACUACAUGACGUUGGCAACACCAAAGGUGGCAAAUGGCUCAAAGAGUUACCCAAUGCUCUGUGGAGCCUACGUACCCAACCAUGCAAGACUACGGGGCUAUCGCCCUAUUUCCUGGUAUAUGGCUCGGAAGCCAUACUACCCGCUGACAUCAUGUGGUAAUCACCAUCCGUUGAGCAAUACGACGAAGAACUGGCAACAUAAAUAAGGCGAACAGAUAUAGACAGUCUAGAAGAAACAAGAUGCGCAGCCCUAGUGCAAUCUGCCAGAUACCUUGACGGUUUAAGGCGUUACCACGACCGCAACGUCAAGGAAAGAUCUUUCAACUCGGGCGAUAUGGUCCUUAAGCGUAUCCAAGACACGUCAGGGUUGCAUAAACUCAAUUCACCAUGGGAAGGUCCUUACAUCGUAUCAAAAUUUACGGGACCUGGAUCUUACAGACUCCAAGAGCUUUCAGGAGAACAAGUACCAAACUCUUGGAAUAUAGAACAUCUUUGUCGCUAUUACCCAUAGCAGCAUCCGAGUAACUACUUCAAGGCAAUAACUCAUGAUGCCUACUCAAGCUAACUGCCCGACUACCGACUUCAAGAUAUCUCAGCUUUGACAAGAGUUAUCAACUCAACAAGGAUCACUGCACUGGUACAAAAUUCCCGUAAAGUAUCUUUACAGAACCGAAGAUACCUCAGGUUACAUACGAGUACAAGUACUCAGAAUACACAAAGACUGCAAGCAACUGCCUACUGGCAGGCUGCAUUUAAGCCUCAGGCUUUUACUAUAUCACAAGGCUACUCAGGUCUGCCGACUCCAAUGGGACGGGCCCGCUGUAACAACUCUACCUAAAUUAAGUACUUUUAACUAUAAACCAGUGAUAAAUCGAAUCCCUAAGUUAAGAAGUGAAAUGACCUUUAUAAACCUAAGAAGCUCUUUUUGGAGUUUGAAUUAAAGCUUGAAAUUUUAUAUACAAACUUAAGUUUCUGCCCAAAUAAGAGUUGUAAAACUUUUUAUUUCCAACAACUUUUGUUAAAGGCACUUUGACUUAUUCGGAGUGGAAGGAAGUCAAACAGCAACCAAAGCCGGUUUUUCUAAAGGACCCUGAACAUCUCUUAAGUCCUGGAAUUCGAGUUUUCCUUCAUCUUGCAAGCUUUCAUCUCCCGUUUCCCUAUCUAAACUCGAGUCAGAGCCUUAAUGAAAGUUGUAGUACCUCGAGUGUGUUCCAACUUUGUCACACUGUCCCAGAUCCAAAUCAGACCCGAACUUGUUCAAAAUCCCGAUCAAAGUGAGGUAAACCAGUCAACUCACCCCGGAUGCCUUAAAUCCUAAGUCUGGAAUUCCAGAUUUUUGGCUAACUUUGGCAUAAAAUAUCUUCGAAUCCUCUCACAAUCAAAACCGACACCUUAAACAAAGUUUGAAGAACGAUCAGUGUUGAACAAGUUUGUUUAAGGGAGUUUCGGAAGUUGUGUUGAAAGAUUCGGAGGAGGAUCGCUCCAAAGCUGGCCGGGCUUACUGCCUGAAAGGGGGCCUCGAUGCCCGCACGCUAGAGCACGUUCGCUCGCGCGCCGCGCGCCGCGUGGCUGUCGGCCACCAGCAGCUCGCCGGCACCCUAUCACCAGCGCGAUAGCGACAGGACGAGAGCCACGGCGCCCAACCCGCACCUGCGACAGGACGGAGCGAACGCCGGGCUAGCCAACCGCCAGUCGCGCGCGUGCCGCCUUCCGCCUGCCACGGCUCUGCUCCGCCAACCCCGUUCUGUCCUUCCGCCAGGAAAGCUGCCAUGCCCCCGACGUCCCGCGCCUCCGCCCGCUCGCCCAACCCCCAUGGUAGCCCUUCCGCGUCGCCCGCCCGACAGACCGGAAGCCCCAGACGCGCGCCGCCCAAGGCCAAUCGCCGCCGAAGACCACCCGGAGCUCCGCCUCCUCUGCCCAAUGGCGUCGCCGGCCAAUGGCCGCCUUGCCCGCGCACUUGUCGCUCCCGGCCUUAUCCUUUCCCCACCGGAGCCCCGCCUCGACCCUCCGCCCCACCAUGGCCCUAUAAAAGGGAACCCCCUCACCGGCAACGCCACCCCUUUGCCACCGCCACACCUGCGCCACCGCUUUCUCCUCUGAGCCUCAGCUUUCUUCCCGCGCCGCCGCUAAGCUACCGUGGAGCUCACCUCCUUGCGCCACCCCACACUCCGGUGACUUCGCCGCCACCCUCAAGCCGCUUCUCCCAACCCACCAGCUGCCUGUUCCUCUGCGCGGUACCAGAGAGUUUGCCAGUGAUCCACCAGAAGCUCCGCCACCGCAGGAGCACCAUCGAAGCCUCGCCGUCGCCAAGCCUUAGUGCGUACAACCUUCCGUCCAAGUCUACUCCUUCUACCCCAAGGCUUCACCGGUAGACCUGGAGGUAAGCUACUUAACCUCCCUGUCCGUCUCGCCCGACCCUUCCUUUUCGUCUCGCCCGACCCUUCCUUUUCGUCUCGCCCGACCCCUUCCUUUUCGUUUAGCCGACACCUUUGUUUCGGUUCGCCCGACCCCUUUUCCUUUUCGUCUCGCCCAACCUUCUUCCUUUCGCCUCGCCGACCCUGUCAGUUCGCCGACCUUUCUCCACCUCGUCCGAGGGCUCGGCUGUAACUUUUUCUUUGACCUGAGGGUAUCGGUGAAAUAAUUUUGGGGAUUCCUCUGUGUUGAGUCUAGGGACCUCAGUACGGUUUUCCUUAAACCUGAGGGUCAGACCCUAAGUUUCCCCCAACCCGACCCUCUCAUCCUGCUCUCCACCAACAGAAGUUGAACUCCCCCACCUUUCCUGUAGCUUUGCUACAAGUGUCCGUGUUAAAACAUGAGUGUGUUGAAAUAACCAUCUAAAAUGUUUAACCCCUGCAUUGCAUUUCCGUGUAGAGUUGAAUCUCGCCGACGGAACGUACGAGCUUCACCCGGCACUAGAAGAAGACCCCGCCAAGGAACUGCAUCCCUUCGUAGGAGAGCCUGAACCAGAGCAAGACCCCGAGACCCGCAAGCUUUUCCUGAAGGCAAGCCUCGGAGCAUAAAUUCCUAUCUUGAGUUCAUGCAAUUUUUUAUUACUUGAUUGCGCAUUUACGUUUCGAGGAGUUGUAAUGGAACCUUAGAUGCAUAAACUUAGUACCUUGUUUUUGAAUACUAGUUGCUAAGGCCGAGUAGUUGCAUUGCUUAAUAGGUUCGGUAAAAGUCGAGUGAUCUCUUGUCACUCGCGAGUUAUAGGAAUUGAAUGUUUCAGUUAUGUCGCAACUAUAAGGACGACGAACGGGGUCAGGCUUGUGUUCGAUACUUGGUGGAUUGCCCCGUCUGUCUAAAUGAAAAUGAACUAAGGUCGAAACGUGUCGACGUUCGUGAUCAAGUGUUGGAAAGUACUAAUCUCAUACCUAGUAUGGGAUGGGGAAGCCUAGUACCUGAUUGAACUGGGGCGUGGCAUACCCUCCGGCUGUCCUUGGAACGUCGUUCCCAUGGUGCAUCAUGUGGGUGCAAGUGCGGUCACAGUGCAGCAAUAGGCCAGGACUGUGGAGCAUUGCAUGCCAAAGGAAGUUGGCCCUGACACGUGCCUAAGGGAUCGAUGGGGACGGUUGACAAAUGAAGCGACCCUUCGUGGUGCGCGGAUGUCGUGAGAUUAGGUUUGCCAUGCAUGGUUAAUAAAUUUCGAAUCAAUUCGUCUGCCUCUCAUAGUUUGGGACUACUUGAUCGCUAUUCCGCACUGAGUAAAGAUGGAACAUGAAUAUGAGAUUAAGUUGAUGCUUGUUUGUACUUGCUUGGAAAUCAUGCUUGUUUAGUAUAAGUUGCUAAUCUAGACUAGAUAAAGAACGUAGAACAUGAGCUAAAAUGUUGAAAGUAAGGACUGACUUUGGACACCUUUGGCAAGAAAACCCCAGAGCCAGAAAGCCUUGCAUGUCCAGGUCUUGGUAGAGCUUUUUCACCCGGCGGGUCAGUCUUGCUGAGUACUAGUUGCUCAGCCUUGUUGUGGCUAAUCUUUUUCAGGUAAUGUCAAUAGUUUGGUUGCGGGUACCACUUGGCCGACCCAGCUUCCUCCAGGCUGGACCGUCGAGUGGGAUACUUCCUCGGAUGGCGAAGGAAGGAAUUUUUGAUGUCAUGAUCGGCUCCGUCGUGAUGUCAUGUAUCGACGUUUAGUUUCCGCUGUUUUCCUUUGACUUCGACCCAUGCAAAUUUCGAUCUGAAUUUCAAAAACUCUGAUGUAAUAAAUUGUUGAACUAUGUUGUCCUGUUGGAAUGUUGUAACCUCUGUGCUACUCACCUUCGCGUGAUCGAUGCUUCUCGAUCUUGUUUAUGUGGUUAAUCGGAUGAAAUCCGACGGUCGACCAAGUUGACUUGCUUAAGUGCAUAAUCGCGUGUCAGGCGACUUCAAUGCACUUUAGUCAGGUUAAUUUGGGCGGUUCCGCCAUACCCACACGCAAGGAAGCUGCGCAAAACGCAGCCAUAUCCAGGUCCUCUACCCAAGGCAACGCCAGGAACUCCAGCAUUGCCACUGCCUUGACAGCGGCAACGAUGAAUCCGGCACGACACACCUAGAGGGAACCAAGGCUGCUCUUUUGCUAGCUUUGCGGAGCCAAUCCAAUCUACGGCCACACCUCCACCUCUCAGAAAGCGGGAUAAAGACCGCGACACUCAUCACCCAUCACCCGUGAGUUCCAGCGCGUACUCCACUGGAUCACGAGCUGCAAGAUGAGGUGCGCGACGAAACCUCCUACGAGGAUUCUUCUAGCAUCAUGGUUAUCCCUACGAGCGCAGGAGUCUGUGGAGGGAAGGUGGCCUCAAUCUACGAGGAAUCUUCUAGCACCGGUGCACUCUUUGACGGCUCUCUACACUCAAACAGAAGCAACCGAAGGCAAUCCAUCGCUGCUCAGGAACUUGGUUUGGUUCGCUCUCCAGAUGACUCUAUUUAUAGCCGAAAGAUGCAACGACCACAUGCCCAAGAGUUACUAUGCGCCCGUGAUCAAUGAGUCUGACAACUCCUGACUCUGCCCACGUGACGGUACUUAUGCCACAAAGGACAAAAGAGUACAGUACACCCGUGCAUCCACAAAGGACAAAGGAGUACAGUACACCCGUGUUCCUCAAAAGAAGAGUACUCGACAACAUUACGACUACUCGACACUCGGUACUCGACACUCGGAACUACAAGCCAAGCGCGGCCUACGCUCACACCAUUAUCUCGGGGGCUUGGACUACUCCGACCCUCUACUCAGGGGUCAGGUGCACCCGACCCCAGGACUCAGGGUCGGGUGAAGCGGGGUUCCCCCCCCCCUCGGGGUCGGGCGAAGCAGAGCUUCCACCCUCAAAGGGGUCAGGCUUAGCCGACCCCAGGACUCAGGGUCGGGCGAGGCAGAGCUCCUCCCCCAGAGGGUCGGGCUCAGCCGACCCCGGGACUUUGGGUCGGACAAGAUAGAGUAAAACUACUCUUCGCAAGACAACAAACUUCAAGCAACAAGACCAAUGGGCAAGUAUUCAUUUAUCAAAAGUAUCGUUCAAAAUACUCGACACAAAUACAAGAGUACAUACAAAGCUCAAGGCUCUUCUAGAGACACAAACUCCGACAUCUUCGAUGCAAUAGGCUCUGCCUCCUCGAGGUACUGUGCAUAUGCUUCUUCUAUGCAGUUGCGAGCCACGCCAUCACCAGCUGCCGCCAAGUCUGCCCUCGGGUAGUAGAACUUCACAACUGCAAGGACCUGUUCGCAAACAGUUUUGCAGAGUCCCGCCACUCUACUCGGGGCAGCCUUCAAUCGCUCGACUAGUGAUUGCGGCCCUGCACCUUCUUCCACGGGGGCUAUGGCGUUCACCAAGUCUUCAGCUGCUACAGUCAGCUCCUGGAGUUCGCCUCGAAGUUUUCCCAUGGUCUGGGCAUGAUCUCUGCAUGCCACCAUGGCCAUAGCAAGCAUCACGCCAUUCUGCAUCUUCCUGUCCCGCUGAUGCUCGCAAGCAGCCUGUGCUUCCGUCAGUGUGGCCCGAAGAUGUUCAGCUUCAUCCACCACUCGAUCAUGCACAUUUCUCCCAUCGAGAACUUGGCUCCUUGCAGCCGCCUCUUGCUUCUUGAGCUCUACAAGACAACAAGUUCAACCACAGCCGACUACAGUUGGACAUACUCAGAGUAGGCAAAAUACUUACCUUAAUACUUCUUGUUCAGCGACUUGUAGCGGUUCUCCAGUUUUUGCUGCAGAACCGCGUGAUCCGUACGUUCCACAGCAAAAGACUUCGCUCCAACCUCGUGAACCCUCAGAGCUUCUGUCAGUCGGGCACACUCCUGCUCCAGUUGAUGACUUCAUUCCUGAAAAGGUCCGAGUAUGCAAUGGUGAGUUAAAAGCCUCACAACUACUCAGUUCAUGCGACAACUCAAAAAGGAAAUCUACCUGGAAGCUCCGAAAAACAUCGAUGGCCCUCUGGAACUCCAAGUCAGAGGGCAGGCUAAGCACUGGUCUUUGGGUACUCUCCGCAAGAUGGGGAAUCGUACCCAGAGUGGCACCUACAACAUUUAUCAUGUCAGCUACCUGCUAUGACUACAAUUACAAGACUACAGAAACAUACCUGGAGCAGUCGCCUCUUUGGUGUUUUCAACACCCACUACGGCCAGUGAUCCGCCAGUAGAUGUUAAUAAGGUAGCACUUCCUGAACCUGAUGCAGCGGCGGAAACCUCCACCGAACGAAUGACGUCUUGAAGCAUUGACAUAGUAGCUCCAAGAUGACCGGCGUCAACCUCGGGUACCUCCUCAACAGUUAAGUCCUCAAAAGGAGCAGAUAAUGUAGUCGAGGGAUCCGGCCCUACCCCUGUUUCUACAGGGAUAGUUUCCUCUGCAUCUCUGCACCAAAAUACGUCACUACAUGAUUUCAAGACAACUUAAAGUCAUUCAACAGACAAGAAAGCUCACCGGGUUGAACGUGGUGGGAAUCACACACGUUUCUUAUCGGCGACAGGCGGCCGAGUACUGGGCGCCGUAGGAACAGCUGUCGGCGCUAUCUUCUCGCCAAGGCCUAUGAAGCAGAAGUCAUGACUACAAUACAACUCAAACAAAUAUUUUUUAGAAGGGACAAUGCUUACCACUGGCGAUCACAUUGGACAGCAAAGUACCAGUAGCGAGUACUGGCGACACCUCCUUUGCAACGCCCGCUCCUCCGGCAGGCAGCCCCAGCACCGCUUGGUCAGCAACGGGCAGCAUGGCAGCCGACGGAGCUGAUAGCUCGGGGGCUACUCCAACUUCUGUUGACGGCACCUUCUCUGGCACCAUAUCAACAGAUACAUCACCGACGUCCGGGUCGGUUACGACUACUUCUUUAGAAGCAGCCUCAUCACCACCAAGCGUCGUGUCAACAGCCUUUAUGACAAAGAUGAAUUAGUCAUAACAAUAACAAGUUCAAAUUUAUCAGCUACAGAUAAGUUCACGACUACAUACCUUGGUACCCCGAGACUUCUCCGGGGUUGAAGUAGACUUAGCCGCAGACAUCUUGCGGACUACUCUGCGUCUCUUGACAGGAGGAGAGGGUUCAUCCUCUGACUCCUCAGUAACAGCCUCUGACUCUUCUUCCGACUGCGCCAAGUAGCCGGCAAGAACUCGAGACUACAAACAAAAAGUUGAUAUCAACAACAAAUAUCACACAAGUCAAAAAAGAACAAGUCAGGUGCAAAUACAUACCACUUCUGGCUCAUACCAGGCGUCAUACUGACGAAGGGCCGCAGGGAUUACUGGUACUCCUUGAUAGUCCCUGAAGAACUUGGCCAGCAGCGCCUCUACGUCAUCAUCGGAUAUAUCCUCAUCGGACAUACGCGAUGGAUCCUUAAGUCCUACGUACUCACUUCCCGAGUGAGCACGUUGUUGAAGCGGCUAGACCCUUCUCUUCAGAAAGCUGGCUGCCACAUUGAUUCCAGUCAGACCGAGUGCCUUCAACUCGGUAAUCUGCUGCAUCAGGUGAUCGAGCUCAGGGGUGUCUUCGGGUUCGCUCACCCAGUUUUCUGCGUGCUUGGGCGCGUGACCAGUCACCACAGGAAAGCAAGGAUUAUGGUUCCCAAUGUAGAACCAUCUCUUCUUCCACUCCCUAUGGGAGUCAGUCAAGUUGUACUCAAUGUAUGCACCCGAGUUCCUGAGUUGGAACCCGGUGCCUCCAAAGACUUCUGUUCUAUGGGCACUUGGCUGUGGCUUAUAGCGAAACGGUUUCCUAAACAACUCGAGACUUGGAGGAACUCCCAAGUACACUUCGCAGAGGUGUACAAAUAUCGCCAUAUGCAGUACACCAUUGGGGUUCAAAUGCACAAGUUGAAGCUUAUAGUAGUCGAGAAUACCUCUGAAGAAGUCGGAGGUGGGCACUGUCAACUCCCUCUCCAUAAAAUGGGCGAGCAUCACGGUCUCGCUUGGAUGUUCCUCAAAUUGCCACGCAUUUGGAAAUGCGGGGCGCCACUCAAGAAUCUCCUUCGGCUGCAGAAGCUUUGCAUCGACUAGUGCUUGCACGGCUUCCUCCAUCAUCACUGAAUGUUGCCACGUUGCCCCAGGCAGCGGCGGCGCAGUCUGGUUCAUCGGCCCCACCUUCGGCGCUGGCAGCACCAGCUCCUUCCCCUUCUUGGAUUUCGCCUUGCCCGUCGCCGGAGCCUUGCCCUGGAUCUUCUCGGAUUUUUUGCCCAUCUUCUUGGUGCGCAUUCGACGGACUGAACCUCAAGCUAGAACGGCACUCUCACUCGGAUCUCUCUCAAGGGGCAACAAUGGCGGCGGCAGCACUGGCGGCGGCGCAAGUGUGGAGCAGGCAGAUAAUCAGAUCUGAUUUCUUUGCGGCGUAAAAACAACCGAAAGGGGACUUUCCAGUUUUAUCUCCGCCAUCUCCGGUUUCCACGCGUCGGUUGUGCAACGGACAGAUUAAUUGCAGAUUAAUCACCUUAAACACUCAAUGGCUACUCUUUUCAACGGACUGCUGACCACUUCAACGACAAAGAUCACCUAAGUGCUCGGGGGCUGCGGGUACCGUACCCGUUGGUCAGUUUUUUUCUUUUUCAAAGACUUCCAAGGGUAAAAAAAAGAGACAGAAGACUGAUUUUGACCCUAAGCCUGACUCUUCGACUCAACCCAAGGCUCGGGGGCUACUCCAUAUGGAGUGCGAUUGACAUCGCACUACCAUAUAAAAUCUCGGAACAGAAGCAACUCGAAGGAAGAAAAAGAGUACCUUCCAGCCACGCGACAGUACUCGAGCACUUCGGUCCGCAAAACUCUACGACUAGCUACUCGAAUGGUGCCCGCAGUGCCCAAGACUGGGGCACACGACUACAAAGUACUCGGGGGCUUGUCGGGCAUACACCCCAGGCCCAUGAGUAGACCUUGGACGGCCCACUAAGGGACGUACUCGGACACGAUCAGAAUAAGGAUAGGCGUAUCCUACUCGGACUAGUCAAGUAUGUUUAUGAAAACUACUCGGGCCUUACCGAGUAGAACUCUGUAAUAAUACCCGACUAGGACUCAGACUUGUAACCCAGCCCUCCCGUGUAUAUAAGGGUGGGCAGGGACCCCUCUCAACAACAACUCUAGUUCAUCAAUACAAACCAACACACAGGACGUAGGGUAUUACGCGAUCUAGCGGCCCGAACCUGUCUAAAUCGUGUUCCUUGCGUCACCAUUGAUUCCUUGAUUCUCGACGAUCCUUACCGCACAAAAGACCUCCUAGGGUACCCCCUAGGCGGGUUGCCGGUCUAAAACACCGACACCAGUAGGCAGUUGCUUGAAGUUGUUGUUGAGCACAUAUGUUGUACUUUGAACACUCCGACUUCUUAAAGUGGAGUUAUCUGUUGUAAUCCUGCAAAAUUUCGUUAAUACAAAAAAUGCAUACAUGAAAUGAGAUGAGUGACUUUGAGUACUCUUUGAUUGUUUGUUGUGGCAGACUUGGGCCUUUAGAGAGUGUAUGACUUAGCUCGGUAGUCGCGAGUUGCUUUUAUAAGUCGUAAAUAGAGCGUUAAAGCUCAGAGAGUUGAGUAGCUCAAGUUGCAGCUGACUUGUAUUUACGAGGCGCUAGACUUGUUAUUACAAGUCGAAGAGAGAGAGAGAGAGCAGAAGCUCGUAGAGAUGAAUAGCUCGAGUUGCAACUGACUUGCCCUUGCAAGCCGCUAGACUUGUUGAAACAAGUUGAAGUCCGAGCGCAGAGGCUCGUAGAGCUGAAUAGCUCGAAUUGCAGCUAACCCGCCUUUGCAAGCCGCUAGUUGUAGGCAAAGACGAGUAGUCGGUAGUUGCCGAACGGAAAUUUAUUGAUCAUAAAUGAAAGGUUGAGGCCGUUGGCCUGAGUACAGUGCCGCUUAGUCUGUUGACUAUGGGUAGUAGCGACAUAGGAGCUCUAUAUUCUAGUAGUUUGCGACUUCUUCAUCGGAGAGUUGUUGUAGCCUGUAGGAUCCUGGUAUUGUGACUUUGGAUAUGACAUAAGGCCCUUCCCACGGCGAGUUGAGUUUGUGCAGCCCUGUUGUGUCGUGAAUGUGCUUGAGGACCAUGUUGCCAAUGUUGAAAAAAUGUUCUUUGACGUUGCGAUCGUGGUAACGACAUAGUCCUUCAAGGUAUCUUGCUGACUGUACAAGUGUUGCACAACGUGAUUCUUCCAAGCUGUUGAGGUCCAAACACCUUGUUUCUCUGCUGCCCCUUCGUCGUAUUGUUCAACUGUAGGGGAUCUCCACAUGACAUCAGCAUGGAGUAUGGCUUCUGACCCAUAGACGAGGAAGUAGGGUGACUACCCAGUAGGCUUGCAUGGUAGAGUACGUAGCCCCCAUAGAAUGUUCGGUAGUUCCUUGAGCCACUUGCUUCCUUUGGUGUUACCAAUGUUGUGCAGCCUUUUCUUAAGAGUUUCGAGUAGCAUGACGUUGGCGUGCUCAACCUAACCGUUGGCUCUUGGGUGAGCGACGGAGACGUAGAGAACGUCAAUUUCGCUAUUUUCCCAGUACUCCCAAAACUUGUGAUUGUUGAAAUUUGAGCCCAGGUCUGUGAUAAUUCUGUUUGGGAAUCCGUAGCAGUGUACGAUUUUGUCCAGGAAGUCAAGAACUUUCUCAGCCUUGGGACAAGUGACGGGUUUUACCUCAAUCCAUUUGGUGAACUUGUUAAUGGCGACGAGUACUCGAUUGAAUCCUCCUGGGGCUGUUGGGAGUGGACCAAUCAUGUCAAGCCCCCAGCAUGUGAAAGGCCAUGUUGGAGGUAUUGUGAUGAGUUUGUAGGUAGAGACAUGCUGUUGUUUGGCAAAAAACUGGCAGCCUUGACAUCUGCGGACUAGUUCCUCCACUAUUGUUCUUGAGGAUGCAUGAUUCCCACAAAUUCCUUUAUAUAUUUCCUCCAAGAUGUCCUUGGCGUCUUCGCGAGUAACGCACUUCAUGAGUACUCCUGAGGACGCACCUCUUCUAUAAAGUUUAUCUCCAACUAGAACAUAGCUUUUGCCUCACCGUGAGACUUGUUUUUCCUGCAUCUUGUCGGAAGGUAGCUUAUGCUUUUUAAUGUAGUCGAUGAAAGGAGUUCUCCAGUCUAGCUUGAUCAUCAUGAUCUCCCGGUCAGGUUCUGUUGGACUCUUACUGGUGGUUGCUAGAGUUGCUUGUUCCGUUAUGGAUGGCUUGCGAAGUUCAUGGACAAAGAUGCCUGUUGGUACUUUCACGUGCGUUGACCCCAUUUUGGAUAAAAUGUCGGCUGCGACGUUGUUGUCGUUGAUCACAUGGUGAAAUUCGAGGCCUUAGAACUUGUUCUCUAUCUUGCGGACUUCCUUGCAGUACGCGUCCAUGUUUUCUUUGUUGCGGUCCCACUUGUUGUUGACUUGAUUGAUGACUACUAGUGAGUCACCAUUGACCAGUAACCUGUUGGUGCCUAGUGAGACUGCUAGGCGAAGACCAUGUAGUAAUGCUUUAUACUCAGCUUCGUUGUUUGAUGCUUCCCAAAAGAUCUGGAGAACAUAUUUGAGUUGCUCGCCUUUUGGGGAUAUUAAGGGUACUCCUGCACUGGUUCCUUCGAGUUUGAGUGAUCCGUCGGAGUACAUGAUCCAAUGUUCAGGGCGUUUUACCGGUGUAGGCAAUUCAUUUUCCCUCCACUCAGCCAUGAAGUCGACUAGUGCUUGGGACUUAAUUGUUGUUCUGGGUUUGAACCCCAAGGACAAUGCUCCGAGUUCCACUUCACAUUUUGAUAUUCUUCCUGUGGCAUCCUAAUUGUGGAGGAUCGGGAAGUCAGUAAUGAUGACUAUGUUGUGUUCCUGGAAAUAAUAUCGCAUUUCCGUGAAGUGAGUAGUAUGGCAUAGAGUAGCUUUUGAAGCGGUGGGUACCGUGCCUUGGAGUCUGAGAGUACUUCGCUGACGAAUUAUACGGGUUCUAGACUUUGUAGACGUGGCCUGGUUCAGACCUUUCGACUACUAUUGUUGUGCUGACAACAUGAGUGGUUGCAGCGAUGUACAAGAGCAAGUCUUUGUUUGGUGUUGGAGCUGUGAGGAUCGGUGGCUUUGACAUGAAGUCUUUUAGCUGUAAUAGACCCUUAUCCGCCUCCUCUGUCUAUUGAAACUUGUCUUGUCGCUUGAGUAGUUUGAAGAAGGGUAGGCCCCCUGCUCCAAGUCUUGAGAUGAAUUUGUUGAGGGCUGCCAUGCAGCCUGUAAGCUUCUACCCAUCUUUUAUGCCGGAUGGGGCCUGCAUAUUAUUGAUGGCAGAGAUUUUCUUAGGGUUUGCCUCGAUGCCUCGAUGGCUGAUGAUGAACCCGAGUAGUUUCCCCGAUGGUACGCCGAAAACACAUUUGGUAGGAUUGAGUUUCCAUCGGAACGCUCGCAAGCUUGUGAAAGUUUCUUCUAAAUCUGCGAUCAGAUCGUCUGGAUUCCUAGAUUCCUAGUUUUUGACUAGUACAUCAUCCACGUAGGCUUCUACGUUGCAGUGUAGUUGUUUCUCAAAGCACAUUUGAAUAACGCGUUGAUAAGUCGCUCCUGCGUUUUUCAGCCCAAAAGACAUUGUCUUGUAGCAGAAAGCACCGAAAGGGGUGAUGAACGCGGUCUUGGCUUGAUCUUUUUCCUUGAGUGCUAUCUGGUGAUAUCCCGAGUAGCAAUCAAGGAAACAGAGUAGUGCGCAUCCAGCUGUGGAGUCAACUACUUGAUCAAUUUUGGGAGCCCAAAGGGAUCUUUGGGGCAAUGCUUGUUAAGGUCUGUGUAGUCGACACACAUCCUCCACUCGUUGUUGUUCUUCUUUCGAACUAAAACUGGGUUAGCUAGCCAAUCAGGGUGGAAGACUUCUUUUAUGAAACCUACCGCGAGUAGUUUGGCUAGCUCUUUCUUGAUCGCAUCUCAUUUUGGGGUAGCUUUAGGAUCAACAUUAAGUGAGUGCUCGAUCAAUUCCUUGGGCACACCUGGCAUGUCAGCUGAUUUCCACACGAAAACAUCUUGGUUUGCCCGAAGGAAACUGAUGAGCGCGCUUUCCUAUUUAGGGUCUAGCCGAUUAGGGCUGUUUUGGAUGAGUCUCCAUUCUCAAGGUCAAUGGCUUUGAAAUUAUUAUCGUUUGCUAGCUUGACUUUAGUGGCUCCCGACUUGUUCUCCAAAAUUUCAAAUUCUGCCGGGGUGAGCUUCUUCAAAGCAGUGAAGACUUGUUGCAUGGAGCUGGGUACUUGAGUAGUCGCGGCUAUCUCAACAGCUUCCGUGUCGCAUUGAUAGGAUCAUCUCAGGUCUCCACGAAGAGACAGUUCUCCUUUUGGUCCAGGCAUCUUCAGUAGUAGGUACACGUAGUGUGGGAUGGCCAUGAACUUGGCUAGGGCUAGUCUACCGAGGAUGGCGUGAUACAAAGUCUCAAAGUCAACCACCUCAAAUUUGAUGUACUCUGUGCGGUAAUGCUCUUUGGUACCGAAAGUGACCGGUAGGACGACUUGUCCUAGUGAAAUAGUUGCGUUGCUUGGGAAGAUUCCAUAGAAGGGAGAAUCCGUUGGGGGUGAGCAUCUCAGUGAUGUCGAGGCCCAUCUUGCUUAGAGUCUUGGUGAAAAUGACGUUGAGUCCACUGCCGCCAUCGAUGAGUACCUUGGUUAGUCUUGAGCCUACGACAACUGGGUCUAGUACCAGAGGGAAAUGUCCUGGUUCUGAGAAGUUGGUCCAUUGAUCCUUUCUGCUAAAGGUAAUGGGUACCUCAGACCAUUUGAGAGGUGUGGGGGUGGCUGGUUCGAUAGCCAUGAUUUCUCUGAGUACUAAUUUGUUGGAUCACUUGGAGGUAGUGCCUGGAAUUCCACUAAAAAUGACGUUGACAGUUUUAGAUGCUGUCUGGAACUUGUCUUCGCCAUCUUCAGUUUCAUCCAUCUUGCCCUUGCUUUUGUCAUUAUUGUUGUUAUUGCUAUUUUUGUUGACGGGAGAUUCUAGCAACUCUUGCAUUACUCUGCGAAGGUUGUAGUAGUCUAUUGCAGCAUGCUUGCUGCGCGGGUGUAAUAGGCAUUGUUUCUUGAGUAGUUCGUUGAAUGAAGGGCCAUCAUUUCAUUUGUUUGGUCCUUUCUUGCUUGAGUUUGACAUUGCGGCAACAAGAUUGUCUGGUUUGCGCUUGCGAUUCUGAUUGCCUGAGUAGUUGUUUCAGUAAUCGCCAUUGCUUUUUCUAUCUUGUUCUUGGCUGUUACCUUGGUUGUUGUUGUUGUCACGCCCGCGAUUGCGGUGUGAGUUGAACCUUUCGUGUUCCUUAUCUUCUUCGUUUGCCUAUGACUGAGCCAUGAUUUUGAGUUCUUUGACAUCUGCUGGACGACGUUUGCCAAAGUCUUGGAACAUGCGAUGGUCCCAGAGGCCAUUUUGAAAAUAUUCUAUCACGUCUACCUCUGAGAUGUCAACAAUUGUAGCCUUUUUGUCAAAAAAAUGGCGUAGGUAGCUGCAUAGGGAUUCAUCCUUUUGCUGCUUAACUUGAGCCAAGUCAAUUCUGUUGCUAGGGCGCUGCAUAGUUCCUGCGAAGUUGCUUGUAAAAGCUUUCUUUAGAUCAGACCAUGAAUCGAUGGAGUCAGGCUUCAAAGAUUCGAGCCAAGUUAGUGGUGCGGGUUCCAUGCAUACAGGAAAGUGGAUGACCUUUGUAUCGUCGCUUCCGCCUACAGCUUGGACUACUAGUGAGUAGCAGCGGAGCCACUGAACUAGGUCGUGUUUGCCAUCAUAUUUGGUGAUGCCCAUUGGUUUGAAUUUCUCUAGUAGAGUAGUCUUCAUGAUUCGUCUUGUGAAAGCGGGGUAGUGAUCAUUGUCAUCACCCUCAACUUCACAUUCAUAGCGGCGAUUGUUGAUUAUAUCUCGAGCAUCAUGGUUGUGGUUUAGGCUUUCCCUAAGAUUGCUGAUGUGCGAGGGUUCUGGAUUAGCUUUGCGGUGACGUGGGCCUUCCGCGGAGGUUGAACGACUACCUUCGGCUACAUCUCUAUUUCAUCUAGGAGCUUCGUGUGUGUCUCUGCUUUGCCUCGGUCCUUCGAGUAUGCCCCUAUGUUGUCUUGGUUCUUCGUGCGAUUGGUUUGAGUGUCUCGCAUGGUCUCUGCUAUUGCCAUGCCGACUUGGGUUGAGGGGCAUGGAUGGGAUUGGUGUUUCCUUGUUGAGGAGUUUGUAUGCGUGUUCUGCCAAGUAUGACAGGAGAUCGUUGUACUUGUCCUGAGGCAUUGAACGGGCGAUAAGGUCGAUAGAGGCAAUAGUGGCGAGUGGCGUGUUGUGUUCUCGUGUUUGUACUGCUUCGAGUGCUCUGUCGAGGUUCACGAUGGAAAGUCUCGCAGUGAGUAGUCGAUGACGAUCUACUCUCUGAGCGUUUCUUGCCUUUCUUUGAGUUCUCUGGCUGCUAGUUUCGCCCUCCGGUGCGUCAGCUAAUAAUUCAUCUUAGGAGACUUCUUCGACUUGGCGUUCCCGACAAGGAGUUCUCUGGUGUUGGCGUUGAUCGUUGGUUCCUAUUCCAUCAGCUGGUGAAACAACAACAAAGAAUUCUCUAUCCAGAGAGUAGCUUCUAGAGCUAGAUGUGAUGACCUCCAUGGAGCCAUCUUCUUCGCGGAUCGGCGAGAGUGGAGUACCCUCUUGGUAUGGGAGGAUGUCCAAGUGUGCAACGAGGCAUGACUUGUUGUCCUAGGCAAGGAAGGAUGGCUUCAUGCCCGACCAGUAGACGAAUCUGCCUUGCGGUGUGGAUGUGAUUACCAGGCCUAGCUGCAGAUCUGAUAAGGGGAGUUCUUCAAGACAGUUGGAGUCGUAGUCAUGGUCUUCAAUUGAUUCCAGUCCGGAUUGGACUUUGGAUAGAGCUUUUUGAUGAACUGUGACCGCAUUUUGGAGUCCGAGCGGGAAUCGACUUGGAAUUGUAUCCGGUCCACACGAUGUCUGAGUUGCCUGCUCGUGCGGACUAGUCCGAGUUGUGGUUGAGUCCGAGUUGUGAUUGAACCCGAUGUUGUUCGGAUCGAAAAAUUUGAAUUUCUUAAUGCAAUCUUCCGCCUCACGACGAGAGUUUCCGUCGAGAUGUUUCUUCUUCGAUUCUUCGAUGAUGCAGCGUUGGAAACCUACAAAGCCAUCAACGAUGCUGAGCCAGGAGUCGAAAACGAACAUUGCGUCCGCUUCAAACGCGAACGCAGGCUUGAUGAUGACUAGAGCCAUCUAUCUUGCGCGGAGAAUUUUGGCAACUUUCCCUACCUGGUGCGCCAGCUGUCGGUGUUUUAACUCGACAACCUAUCAAGGGAGUACCCGAGAUAGUGUUUUGGUUGGUGGGUGACGCUGAAAUCAAGGAGUCGAUGGUGACGUAGGGACACGAUUUAGAUAGGUUCGGACUGCUAGAUCGCGUAACACCCUACAUCCUGUAUGUUUGCUUGUAAUCGAUUGAACUUUUUUGAGGGGGUCCCUGCCCACCCUUAUAUAUUGAGGGACCAGGGUUACAGGGCAGUCUUUGGUACAAAGAGUACUAGUCGGACAUGACUACAGAGUCCUACUGUAACUCAACAGAGUAAUUUUCUUGUAUUCUGACUAGUCCUUCACGAGUCCAUGUAGUCUACAUUGCCCUGUAGCGUAGUCUUCAUGUCCUGAUACGUCUUGAGUACGUCCCCUUGAGUGGGUCCGUACAGACCUUCUGGUGGGCCCAGGGAUGUAUGGUCGACAGGGUCAUGAUAUUAAAGAAGGAAGGUGGAAAGACCAUCUCAAAGCUGACAAGGCAUUGCACUACAUCAUUCUGCAGCUUUAGUAGAUUGUUUGGAUGGAUUGUCUUCUGAGAAAUCAUGAUGAGGAAUGCACAUAGCUUCACGAUUGUCAUUCUCACAUUCUCUGGUAGAAAAUCCCUCAGUGCAAUAGACAACAAUUGUGUCAUCAGGACAUGACAGUCACGGACCUUUAGGUUUAGGAAUUUCUUCUCUUUAAAAUUUAUUAUUACAUGUAUAUUCGAAGAGUAGCCCGAUGAGACCUUGAUACUAUUCAAGCACUCAAACAUGCUUUCCUUCUCUUCCUUGUUAAGAGUGUUGUCGGGGGGAAAUAUUAACGACUUUGUUAUUCUCCUUAUUCGACGGUCGUAAGUGUAGGAAUACGAGGUAGGCUACACUAGCGCAAUUCAAAAAUUCUACCGCGUAUAACCAGGAAGAACUGCCGUAUAAGGAUCACGGGAUUACCACUCGACGCACUACUGGUGCGGAAGAUGUAGAUAUGCGUCGAUGCAGUGAAGACGAUCACGUAGUCGUACGUAGUCGAUCAACGUAGUCGUACGUACGUAGUCGAUCACAUCCAGCAGCUUCUCAGCAGCUCGUCCACGUGCAACAAGAUCGCCUCCGGUGCCGCGGCUCGUCGUCGGCUCGUCGUGGCUCGUCGGCGGCUCGUCGGUGGCUCGUCCAAGUGCUGCAGGCGCAACACCUCCAAGGUAUCCGCACGUGCAGGGAGGAAGCGUCACAAGCCGGACUGCUAGAUCCGCGAGUUGCAACAGGCGAGGGCGUGGGAGGCGCGGCAGGUGUGUUUCGCCAAAAGGUGUAAACCCUAGGGCGCCCCUACCCCUCUUUUAUAGAGGUUCCUAACGGGCCUCUGGGUCCGAGGCCCAUUAGUACUUCUAAACCUAAUCCAACUCGGAUGAGAUCCGAAUUGGGCUUCCAGCCCCUUAAGUGUGUGACCCUAUGGGUUCGGAUACGUAUAGACAUGGCCCGAGUACCCCUACUCGGCCCAAUAGUCGGUAGCGGCCUCUAGCAAGACGUGCCAACUCCUAUACGCACACAAAGAUCAUAUCAGACGAACCAUCACAACAUAAUAUACAUGCUAUUCCCUUUGCCUCACGAUAUUUGGUCUAGCUUCAAGCCGACCGCUCUUUCUCGAUCCUGUGAUUCGGAAUCCCUUUGUAGGUUAACUCUUAACCAUACGUAGCAUGGCCAUGCAUUUUCGGAUCUGAUCACUCGAGGGGCCCAGAGAUAUCACUCUCAAUCAGAGAGGGGCAAAUCCCAUCUUGAUUGGCCAUGUCUCAUAGCAUGCUUCUUGACAAACCCGAAAGCUACCUUUAUAACUACCCUGUUACGGCGUAGCGUUUGAUAGCCCCUAAGUAGGUCGAUCCACAUCUAGAAUCCAUGCAACAAUCUCAGGUCUAAGGACAAAGCGUAUAUGUUGUUUAAAGAGAGAACUACUUCUCGUGUUGGGUAAGUCCUAGCACAUGUCUCCACAUGUGUCCACAUUAUUAGUUCAACAUCUCCAUGUCCAUGACUUGUGAAACAUAGUCAUCAACUAAUACAUGUGCUAGUCUAAUAUUCAUGUGUGUCCUCACAUGAACUCCGACUAGGGACAACUUUAGAAUAACCAUACAAGUAAAGAGUUUCACAUACAAUUCACAUAAUUGCAAAUCAAUUCAAGUAGCCUUCAAUGGAUAUUCAAUGAACACAAUAUACAAAUCAUGGAUACAAAUGGAAUAUCAUCAUCUCUAUGAUUGCCUCUAGGGCAUACCUCCAACAGUCUCCCACUUGCACUAGAGUCAAUCUAGAAGGUACCUAAUACCCAUAGCUCUUACAUGUGCAUCAUGCUUAGCCUGCGGGAGUGGUUUUGUCAACGGAUCAGAAAUGUUCAGAUCCGUGUGUAUUUUGCAUAUCUUGAUCUCACCCCGGUUAACGAAGUCUCGAAUGAGAUGAAAUUGCCGCAUUACGUGUUUGUUCUUCUUGUGGUUCCUUGGCUCCUUUGCUUGCGCAAUUGCCCCAUUGUUGUCACAGUAGAGAUUCAAUGGGCUGGACGCAUUCGGGAACACACCAAGCUCAAUGAGGAAAUUCCUUAUCCAAACACCUUCCUUCCCGACUUCCGAAGCCGCGAUGUACUCGGCUUCUGUCGUAGAAUCGGCCACCGUCUCCUGCUUGGAACUCUUCCAACUAACAGCACCACCAUUUAGCGUGAACACAAAUCCUGAUUGUGAAUUUGAAUCAUCUCUGUCGGUUUGGAAACUAGCAUCGGUGUAACCUGUUGCAACGAGCUCCUCCUCACCUCCAUAGACGAGGAACAUAUCUUUAGUCCUUCUCAAGUACUUAAGAAUGUUUUUCACCGCUGUCCAGUGACUCUCACCUGGAUCAGAUUGGUGUUUGCUUGUCAUACUUAGUGCAUAUGAAAUAUCUGGGCGAGUACUUAUCAUUGCAUACAUGAUAGAUCCAAUAGCCGAGGCAUAUGGCACUCUACUCAUGCGAUCCCGCUCAUCAGCAGUAGAAGGACACUGAGUCUUGCUGAGAUGUAUGCCAUGUGACAUAGGCAAGAACCCUUUCUUUGCCUCUUCCAUGCUGAACCGCUUCAACACUUUGUCAAUGUAAGUAUCUUGGCUUAAACCUAUAAGCCUUCUUGAUCUAUCUCUAUAGAUCUUAAUGCCCAGAAUAUAUGCCGCUUCCCCUAAGUCCUUCAUCGAAAAACUAUUUUUCAGUGAAGUCUUUACGGACUCAAGCAUAGGAAUGUUAUUUCCAAUCAGUAAUAUGUCAUCCACAUAUAAGAUUAGAAAUACUACAGAGCUCCCACUAACCUUCUUGUAAACACAAGACUCUUCUUCGUUCUUGGUGAAGUCAAACCCUUUGACCACUUCAUCAAAACGAAUGUUCCAACUCCUAGAUGCUUGCUUCAAUCCAUAAAUGGAUCUCUGAAGCUUGCAUACCUUUCCAGCAUUUUUCGGAUCGACAAAACCCUCGGGCUGUAUCAUAUACACGUCCUCAGCUAGGUUUCCAUUCAGGAAAGCUGUCUUGACAUCCAUCUGUCAUAUCUCAUAAUCGAAAUAUGCAGCUAUAGCUAGAAUAAUCCGAAUGGACUUAAGCAUCACUACGGGCGACAAGGUCUCGUCGUAGUCAACUCCUUGAACUUGUCGAAAACCUUUUGCGACAAGUCGUGCUUUAUAGAUGUGAACAUUUCCAUCCAUGUCCUUUUUCUUCUUAUAGAUCCACUUGCACUCUAUGGCUUUAACACCAUCAGGCGGGUCAACCAAGUUCCAAACUUGAUUGUCUCUCAUGGACUCUAUUUCGGAUUGCAUGGCACUCUGCCAUUUUUCAGAGUCUGGGUCCAUCAUUGCUUCUGCAUAUGUCGCAGGCUCAUCAUUGUCCAACAAUAAUCUUUCUCGCAUUUCGCGGAGCCUUGCUGACCUUCGUGGUUGUGGUGGUGCUUCUCUUGCCAUGGGUAUCUCAACUUGUUCUGCUACGUUAGCAUCACUCAUUGAUUCUUGCCCGAUCGGCUCAUCUUGAACUUCUUCAAGAUGCACUGUCUUUCCACUCUUUUCUCCUUUGAGAAACUCUUUCUCUAGGAAAACCCCGUUCCGAGCGACAAACACUUUGCCUUCUAAUCGGUUGUAGAAAUAAUAUCCCAAAGUUUCCUUUGGAUAUCCCACGAAAAUGCACUUAUCUGACUUGGGUGUGAUCUUGUCCGACUGAAGUCGCUUGACAAACACUUCACAUCCCCAAAUCUUUAGAAAAGACAAACUAGGAACCUUUCCAGUCCAUAUCUCAUAUGGUGUCUUAACUACGGAUUUAGAUGGUACCCUAUUAAGUGUGAAAGCUGCUGUUUCUAGAGCGUAUCCCCAAAAUCACAACGGUAGGUCCGACUGGCUCAUCAUUGAUCGAGCCAUGUCUAACAAAGUUCGAUUACGUCGCUCGGACACACCGUUACUCUGAGGUGUUCCAGGCGGCGUAAGUUGUGGAACAAUUCCGCAACUCUUUAGAUGAUUGCUAAACUCGUGGCUCAAAUACUCGCCUCCACGAUCAGAUCGUAAGGCCUUAAUUUUCUUGCCACGCUGAUUUUCAACUUCAUUCUGAAAUUCCUUGAACUUUUCAAAGGUUUUAGACUUGUGCCUCAUCAAGUAGACAUAGCCAUAUCUACUAAAAUCAUCAGUGAAAGUUAUGAAGUAUUGGAAUCCUCCUCUAGCCGUCGUGCUCAUUGGUCCGCAUACAUCACUAUGUACGAGUUCCAACAAGUCUACUGCUCUCUCAGGAAAUCCUGUGAAAGGCGUCUUGGUCAUCUUGCCUAGCAAGCAAGCCUCACAUGUCUCGUAUGAUUCAAAAUCAAACAAAGUUAGAAGUCAAUCAGAAUGGAGCUUUUUCAUGCGCUUUUCACUUAUAUGACCCAAACGAUAAUGCCACAAGUAGGUAGGACUCAAAUCAUUAGGCCGAGGCCUUUUAGCACUUACAUUACAGACAGGUGAACCAUCAAGAUUUAAAACAAAUAAUCCAUUCACAAUGGGUGCAAAAGCCAUAAACAUAUUAUUCUUAGAGAUCACACAACCAUUGUUUUCACUCGCAAAUGAAUAACCAUCCUUCAUCAAGCAUGAAGGAGACAAAAUGUUUCGACUUAAACUAGGAACAAAAUAACAAUUAUUCAACUCCAUAAUAAAUCCUGACAGGAGGUGGAGUUGCAUCAUCCCGACGGUCAAUGCAGCAACUCUUGCAUUAUUGCCCACGCGGAAAUCAACUUCUCCUCUUUCCACGCUUCUACUUCUUAUCAUUCCCUGCAUCGAAUUGCAAAUAUGAGCAACCGAUCCGGUAUCAAAUACGCAAGAAUAAUAAUUGUAUCAGCGAGAAAUAUGUUGUCUAUAACAUUAACAACAAGCGUACCUGAGGUAGAAGUACUCUUACUUCCGCCAUUCUUCAAGGAAGCUAGGUACUGCUUGCAGUUUCUCUUCCAGUGACCAAGUUCAUGACAGUAAAAGCACUCUUUGUCUGGAGCAGGUCCAGGUCUAGCUUUAACCUUGGGCGGUGGGUUUGGCUUGGACGUUCCAGCCUUGCCCUUCUUCUUCCAAGAAUUGCCCUUCUUCUUAAAGCUAGGCUUGUUCUGUAUAGCCAUCACAUGGCUGGUACUAGCGCUUUUCUUGAUGUCAGCCUCUGCGGUUUUAAGCAUGCCACACAGCUCAUUCAGACCCUUCUCCGUCCCAUGCAUAUGGUAGUUCGAGAUGAAGUUCCCAUAGCUAGGCGGAAGAGACGAAAGAAUGAAAUCAGUGGCCAACUCUUGGCCCAGUGGGAAGCCUAGCUUCUCCAACCGUUGAGUGUAACCAACCAUCUUGAUUACGUGUGGUCCUACUGCUGCGCCUUCUGCUAGCUUGCUCUCAACAAAGGCCUUAGACACAUUGAACCUUUCAGUCCUGGCCUGUGUUUGGAACAUGUCUCUAAGCACCAUGAUCAUAUCGUGCGUCUCAUGGUUUGUUUCGAACUGCAUCUACAGCUCGGGUUCCAUGCAAGCAAGCAUAAGGCAGCUUACUUCAAGGUUAGCAUCACAUGCUUUCUUGUAAGCAUUCUUAGCAGCAGCGGGUGCAUUAUCAGCAGGUUCUUCUGGUAGUGGGUUGUCUAGAACAUCUUCCUUUUUCUCAGCCCUGAGAACAAUUCUCAGGUUACGGAUCCAAUCCGAGUAAUUUAUUCCAUUCAACUUGUCCUUCUCAAGGACCGAACGCAAAGCAAACGGUGUAGUGCUGCUAGGUGCCAUUAAUCUACAACAAAGUAAUGCAAAAUACACUAAGACAAACGUAUCCAUGAUAGAGCAAAUCACAUUAAACUAUUUUAAUAGAAUCUACUCCCACUAAAAUCAAUAUUCCUCUAUUGAAACUUAGUGAUUCAGGAUCCACAACUAACAAGUCCACUAGUGAGCUUUAGCAUCACCGCUAGCAAACAAGGUAGAUCGGUAAGCAACUUUUGCUAAUCAUAUCACAUAUGACUCCUGUUGUUGGGUGACAUCUCUAUGUCUCGGCGCCCAACCUUUAUGCCCCAAAGUCCUUAACCAUUAAGAUGACCUUGUUAAGCAAACCAACCCUUAUGCGUGUAAGUGUCCGACACAAACCCGUCUAGUCAAGGAAAACUAGUGGUACCCUAAUUUUAUAGACCCACCACUAACUGUACAAGACAUGGGACGGUGCAAGUUUUAGUUGGGAGGGCAUACUAACUUAAACUUUGUGAGGGAUCGUUCUACUUCUAACAUCACAGCAUGCAGAAAGUAAAACAUAAACAGAAUAGCAUUCACACAGUUGUGACACAGUAUGGCCCGUUUCUCUUAUGGUGAUCUCCAUCUCCAUAGAAUCUGUUCACCAUGGUGAUCUCCAUCUUCAUGUUCCAUGUGCGCCAUCCUUCUAGUGAUGAGUCCUCCAAGAACUUAGAACAUGCUAUUACACCUAAUAGCUAGUAAAGAAGCUAGUAAUGAAGAUUACAUAGUUUAGUUGCUUGGAUCAUCACAGAUUGGUACGCAGACCAUUAAAUACAAUAAAGUGACAACACAUAUGGCUCCUGCCGUGUUGCCGUACGCGCGACACGCAGGUCACGAAUGAGUUACACACAUGCAUCACAUACACAAGGGGGCCAUACUGAUCACAAGAUACAUACAUCCUGCAAAACAGAGUUAGGCGUUCUAACGUUCCAAACUUCAGAGGCCCGAAACUCCAUCUUAGAGGCCGAAAUUGGGAAAUCUAAUUUCGCCGAAACUGACAAAGUCAGUCGUAAUCAUGUGUAACUUUUUCUGUAGAUCAAUUUUCAUAUAAAAUUUGCCCCGAUCCGAGAUCGUACCGAAAAGUUACGGCUGAUUUACCGAAGCAUAUGCAUACGGCAAAAAUCCCGACCCCGGCAGUAGAUCUCAUCUACUAUUGCACAUCUAAUGCGCCUGGCGUAUGACCCUGGAUUUCGAUUCGACCAAUCAUAUUGAUCUUCGCUCACUGCAACUGAAUUUACGUGUAUCACUUAACUCCGAUGGCGGAAACCGACCGGUAGGAGUAUGUCGUUACACUACCAUUGCAGCAAGAGCACGAAACCAGGACAUAGAUCUAACGGAAAACUCGCAUAUCUCCAUAUGCACACACCCCGAAUCCAAAACUAAGCAGCUACGGCUCUGAUACCACUGUAGGAAUACGAGGUAGGCUACACUAGCGCAAUUCAAAAAUUCUACCGCGUAUAACCAGGAAGAACUGCCGUAUAAGGAUCACGGGAUUACCACUCGAUUCACUACUGGUGCGGAAGAUGUAGAUAUGCGUCGAUGCAGUGAAGACGAUCACGUAGUCGUACGUAGUCGAUCAACGUAGUCGUACGUACGUAGUCGAUCACGUCCAGCAGCUUCUCAGCAGCUCGUCCACGUGCAACAAGAUCGCCUCCGGUGCCGCGGCUCGUCGUCGGCUCGUCGUGGCUCGUCGGCGGCUCAUCGGCGGCUCGUCCAAGUGCUGCAGGCGCAACACCUCCAAGGUAUCCACACGUGCAGGGAGGAAGCGUCGCAAGCCGGACUGCUAGAUCCGCGAGUUGCAACAGGCGAGGGCGUGGGAGGCGCGGCAGGUGUGUUUCGCCAAAAGGUGUAAACCCUAGGGUGCCCCCACCCCUCUAUUUAUAGAGGUUCCUAACGGGCCUCUAGGUCCGAGGCCCAUUAGUACUUCUAAACCUAAUCCAACUCAGAUGAGAUCCGAAUUGGGCUUCCAGCCCCUUAAGUGUGUGACCCUAUGGGUUCGGAUACGUAUAGACAUGGCCCGAGUACCCCUACUCGGCCUAAUAGUCGGUAGCGGCCUCUAGCAAGACGUGCCAACUCCUAUACGCACACGAAGAUCAUAUCAGACGAACCAUCACAACAUAAUAUACAUGCUAUUCCCUUUGCCUCAGGAUAUUUGGUCUAGCUUCAAGCCGACCGCUCUUUCUCGAUCCUGUGAUUCGGAAUCCCUUUGUAGGUUAACUCUUAACCGUACGUAGCAUGGCCAUGCAUUUUCGGAUCCGAUCACUCGAGGGGCCCAGAGAUAUCACUCUCAAUCAGAGAGGGGCAAAUCCCAUCUUGAUUGGCCAUGUCUCAUAGCAUGCUUCUUGACAAACCCGAAAGCUACCUUUAUAACUACCCUGUUACGGCGUAGCGUUUGAUAGCCCCUAAGUAGAUCGAUCCACAUCUAGAAUCCAUGCGACAAUCUCAGGUCUAAGGACAAAGCGUAUAUGUUGUUUAAAGAGAGAACUACUUCUCGUGUUGGGUCAGUCCUAGCACAUGUCUCCACAUGUGUCCAAUUAUUAGUUCAACAUCUCCAUGUCCAUGACUUGUGAAACAUAGUCAUCAACUAAUACAUGUGCUAGUCUAAUAUUUAUGUGUGUCCUCACAUGAACUCCGACUAGGGACAACUUUAGAAUAACCAUACAAGUAAAGAGUUUCACAUACAAUUCACAUAAUUGCAAAUCAAUUCAAGUAGCCUUCAAUGGAUAUUCAAUGAACACAAUAUACAAAUCAUAGAUACAAAUGGAAUAUCAUCAUCUCUAUGAUUGCCUCUAGGGCAUACCUCCAACAGUAAGGGCCCGGGCCCACCUCCAGCAACAGUGACACGACUAGGGAAUAUUCCGCUCCGCCUCGCCCGACCACGGGCGCAAGGGGUCGGAUGCGCCCGACCCCUCACCGCAAGGUUCUGCCUCGCCCGACCCUGGGCGCAAGGGGUCGGACGUGCUCGACCCCUCGCCGCAAGGCUCCGUCUCGCCCGACCCCGGGACGCUAGGUCGGACGCAUCCAGCCCCACAGGUCAAAGCUUCGCCUCGACCGAGGACAUGCGCGGACCUACAGACGAGGACGUAGAUUUUGUGGGUCCUCACCGAUCUCGCCAUAAAUGCAGAUGGGACGCGCAUGUCCGAAAUACGGCUCUGACACACGGAGAGGCGCCCGCACUCCUCGAUGCGACCCACCGGAAUGUUAGGCAGUGCACUGCUGCCACGACUGCACCAUCCUAAGCCCCCACUGUAACAUCCGUCAUAGGGCACUCAUUGCCCAUGCUACCUGACGGAGGAGGGUGCGCCGCCCGGUUUCCUGCUCGGCUUGGCAAGAAGGGCACAUCGGUCGCGCCCCCCAGCCAGCACGCGUGGCUACAGUGGUCAGCAUCGCCCGCGACGUGCACGGCUACAGUGGCCAGUCAUCAUCAUCAACUCGCACGGCUACAGUGGUCGGUCGCCACGCACGUCUCACGUGCUCGGCUACAGUGGCCGACCGCUAGGUCAUUGAUGGGAACCCACAGCAACCACCCCUCCUCGGUGGCCAUGCUGAUAGGACACAGAAAUCAGAAGGGAAGGUGGCAACCCCGGUGGCUCGGCCCGUCUCCUUGUGCUUUGCCUUCCUUGCUUACCUUUCUAACUUUUUACUUUCCUUACGCCCGGCUCAUUUGUAACCCCUGUAUCCUCCUUGCACUAUAAAAGGAGACCAGGGGGCCCGAGGGCAAAGGGAUCCAGGGAGAGACCGAACCCCAAAUUCACCCAAGUACGAACCAACCGAACCUCUAGACGAAAAACACCCACAGAGACUUGGGACCAGCUUCCCUCUCUCGCCCGUUUGUAACCCCUACUACAAACUUGGCACGAGUAACACGAGCAGCCUCCCACACUGGAUGUAGGGCUAUUCCUGCUCGAACCAGUAUAAAUCUCGUGUCCUCUCGUGCAACCAUCCGAGCCUUACGUGCAUAGAAACAAAUUUACUUGCCGAAGUCUUGACCUGUGAUUCUUGACACCGAUAGUUGGCGUGCCAGGUAGGGGGCCUAUGCGCGUACGACGAUCAUCACCGGCUUCGGAUGGCCAACCACGACAUCGGCUUCGCUCCCGGCUCCCACAUCCGCUUUGGGAGCCUGGACUUCCUCGCCACGGGAGAGGGAAUCGAGCUGAUUCCUUUCCUCGUCCUGCCCGCUCACCCCGUCACCUCCGGCUCCGCUGCCGGAACAGUGGUGAGCGGCCAGGCGCGCACCACGGGGCCUCCUUUGGAGGAGCGGCCCUUUGGCCUACGCAACGCCGCAAUGACUUACGGUCGUCUCCUGGCACGAUCCAUGAUCGUGCCACCCGCGAACAACGAGUUCGUGGGCGUAAUGGAAACGGCCUCCGACGCUGGUUCCGACAUCGGGAGCCACCACCCCUCGUAUGAGUGCUUCAUCACGACAACCAAACUCGACGAUGAACAGGUUCUCCACCCUUUCCCCCACCAAACGCAGCUUCAGACCGUAGGGAUUGCCCCAAGCCGGCCUCAUCGCACUCGUGAUGGUGGUAAUGUGGAGAGUCGCUGGUCAUAGCACCUUGCCGAUCAGCGCCCACUCCCUCGUACCCCCAUCCUGCUCUUCCUCAUCGUCGCUGAAAGCGGCGAACUCCCCUCAUCAGUGGUGAGAUUCAGUUUCUCCAGAAGGGACGCGACACACGCCUCUUCCUUCAUCGAAUUGCGCAAUCCCGAACGCGAUGCGUUACCCCCAGAUGAGGCCAUGGCCACAGCGAGGUAGGCACCCGGGGAAAUAAGAAUGUGACCGCCGAGGCAAUCAUCGGCGCACAAAGAUUCCCAGGAUAGGGUUCCUAAGUGGCGCUCCUAACCCAAGCAGAAACAAGGGUUUAUGUGGACACUAGCGUGGAACAAGCUAACCGACAGUAUUUGCGGUGGACACCGGCAACAGAGUGUUACCGGCGGGGUGAGCGUGGACGCCGUCGACCUGGAGUCCACGGCGGAGCGAAGGAUCUCGCUGGGGAUGGCUAGAUCCAAGUCGGGAUCACGGUCUCCUGCAGUGUCACCAGGGAGAGCGCAGAGCGGAAAACUUGGAGAGUUGGUUCCAUCUCUCAACAACUCCUGCCCGUGGCGCACCUGAUAAGGCACACAAAAAUAAAUAUGGAAAGUGGACCAGGUAUGAUAGUAAAAAUGAAACAAAGGUCCGAAGCAACUUGUCGCAGCCCACGAUGAAUGAUCUGGGUGGCGUUUCUCAGCAGAGCCCCAAACGAUUCAGACCUCCCACAUUAUCUGAAUGUUAUGGUGUGGAAGGAGUAAAAAGGCUAAGGGAGAUGGAGAUGCACAGGCCUGGGGAAGAAUUACCCCAUCUCGAGAAUCUGAAUGAGGAACUAAAAUAUGUAAAUACCAACAUUCUUGUUAACAGCAAUGUGCACGUUGAAACAAACCUGCAGAAAUAGUGCUUGAAAUUGCGGAAGGAAAGAAGGGAGAGCAAGGUGGUUCGGAAGCUACCGGCCCUGGGGCUGCCGGUCAACUGACAGGCGCGGAUACUAGCGCCUGUCAGGUGCCAUGAGUAUCCUAAGUUGGAACUACCGGGGCUUGGCAAUCCCCGGACAGUUCAGGAACUGGUCUGCCUAGUGCAGACUUACAGGCCAAGUGUGGUGUUCAUCUCCGAGACCAAACAGAUUGAGUUCUUCGUGAAAGGACUGCGCAAUUGUCUGGGUCUGAAUAAUGUUUUAGUAAUGUCUGGGAAAGGAAAGGGUGGGGGUCUUGCUUUGUUUUGGGAUGACAAUGUUACAGUAGAGCUGAAAAAGCUAGAUCCUCAUUUUAUUGAUGUAAACAUUGUAUUCCCACCCUUUGCAAUAAAAUGGAGGUGCACCUUUGUCUAUGGCGAGGCUCGUGUUCAAGAUCGCCACCUUAUGUGGGAUUUGAUGAGGAAAAUUAAACCCCUCGGGAAUGGUCCUUGGCUCAUGAUAGGUGAUUUUAAUGAAACAAUGUGGCAGCAUGAACACUUUUCUACAUCUCGUAGAAAGGAAAAUCAGAUGAGGAAUUUUCGAGAAGUAUUGUCAGACUGCAACCUCCAUGAUUUGGGUUAUAAUGGGCUGCCUUGGACUUAUGACAAUAAACAACAUGGGUCUAGAAAUGUAAAGAGCAGAAUUGACAGGGCCGUUGCUUGCCGUUCAUGGUCGAAUGCUUUUCCGGAAGCGUUUUUAAAGAAUAUUGCAAGUUUUCGAUCUGACCACCUCCCUCUACACUUAAGCCUGUUCAAUUCACAGAGUUACAGAAAAAUAAAUCAAUGCCAUAGGUAUGAGGCCUACUGGGAGAGAGAACCAAGUUUAAAUGAAACAGUCAAAGAAGCCUGGGCGCGAGGUGGAGAAAAUGAGAACCAGGGCCAGAUUGCAUCAAGAUUGAAAAGUGUCAUGACAGAUCUCAAAUCUUGGAGUAAACACACCAUUGGGUCAGUACCAAAGAAGCUGGACAAAUACAGGAAAAGAUUGGAAAUCCUAUCAUCCAACAAUGACCCAAUUAGCCACAGAGAAAGGAGAAAAGUCCAUGCCGAAAUGGAGGAAUUGCUGCAGAAGGAAGAAAUGCUAUGGCGCAAACGCUCAAGAGCUCUGUGGUUAAAGGAAGGGGACAACAAUACUAGUUAUUUCCAUAGGAAGGCAUCCUGGAGAGCAAAUAAAAAUAGGAUAGUAAGCCUCCAAGACAACAAUGGUCAGUUGGUGACAGAUGAAGUGCAAAUUGGUAAACGGACAAAUGGUUGCUUUACCAACUUAUUUACAAAAGAUGACUCAGUGGUGCUUGAACUAAUCAUCGACCAGCUGCAAAUGAGAGUAAAUGAAGAUAUGAACUCACAAUUGUGCAAGGAGUUCUCAAACGAGGAAAUUAGUGAUGCGCUCUUCCAAAUAGGACCUCUAAAAGCCCCUGGACCAGAUGGCUUUCCAGCUAGUUUUUUCAAAAAAACUGGGACAUUCUAAGAGAUGAUGUGUUCAAAGGAGUACAACACUUUUUUCUCCACUAGCUGUAUGCCUGAAGGGAUAAAUGAUACAUUGAUUGUACUAAUCCCAAAAAUGAAGGAUGCCAAAGAGCUUACAGAUUAUAGACCGAUCAACCUCUGCAGUGCCAUAUACAAGGUGGUUUCAAAGUGCUUGGUCAAUAGGCUACGUCCUCUCUUACAGGAUAUUAUUUCGCCAACACAAAGCGUGUUUAUUCCAGGCCGCAUGAUCACAGAUAAUGCUGUCAUAGCUUUUGAAUGCCUCUACGUUAUACAACAAUGCAAUGAUAAAAGAGGUGGCUUCUGUGCUUAUAAACUUGAUUUGGCCAAAGCUUAUGACCGUGUCGACUGGGACUACAUAGAAAAGGCUAUGGAAAAGCUAGGUUUUGGAAGAAAGUGGACAAAUUGGGUGAUGGAGUGCAUAAGAACACUCAAGUACUCUAUCCGGCUUAAUGGCUAGCUACUGGACUCUUUCUCCCCCUCUCGUGGUCUUCCACAUGGGGACCCCUUGUCACCUUACAUUUUCCUUUUGGUUGCAGAUGGUCUGUCUACUAUAAUCAACAAGGAAAUUACAGAAGGGCGUCUGAAAGAACUUCAUAUCUCUAGGCAUGCUCCUGGUAUCUCCCACCUCUUGUUCACUGAUGAUAGUCUUCUUUUUGUGGAAGCCAAUGCAGAACAGGCGCAGAUUGUGAAGAACAUCUUGAGCACCUAUGAAAGAAGUACGGGGCAAUUAAUUAGCAACAACAAAUGCAGUGUUCUAUUUGGCUGUGACUGUUUUGAUAGUAACAUUUCUGCGGUCAGCACCUGUUGGGAAACCGAAAAUAGAAGCUUUGAAGAUAAGUAUCUUGGACUACCUGUGCCAGAAGGAAGAAUGGUCAAUGGAAAAUUUAAGAGUAUAAAAGAAAGAUUCAGCAAGAGAGUCAAUGACUGGUCAGAGAAAUACCUUUCAUGUGGGGCAAAGGAGGUUCUUGUUAAAUCAGUUCUACAGAGCCUCCCCACUUAUGCUAUGAGUGUUCUCAAAUUCUCUACAGGUCUCUGUGAUGAUCUUGAGAAAAUGGUAAGAAAUUUCUGGUAGGGUGACGAAUAUGAAAGAAGAAAGGUUCAUUGGCUUUCAUGGGACAAAUUAUCUAGAUCACAAUUGAGAGGUGGCAUAGGGUUCAGCGAUCUCAAGUUACCUAAUCAAGUUCUGCUUGCUAGGCAAGCUUGGAGACUUCUGUCCUGCCCAAACAGCUUAUGUCCAAAAGUGUUGAAAGUGAAAUAUUUUCCGUUUGGAAACCUUCUGCUUCCCAAAAAAUUCCUCGGCAGUCUGGAAAGGGAUAGAACAUGGUCUUGAUCUUUUAAAACAAGGUGUCAUUUGGAGAGUCAAUAAUGGACAUGGAAUUAAGAUUUGGAGGGAUUUUUGGAUUCCCUGAUCAGACUCCCCAAAAAUCUCAAGCAAGGCAAAAAGAUCUAGGCUUUGGAAAGUGGCGGAUCUAAUGCUCCAAAAUCAAAGAAGAUGGAAUGAACCCCUCAUGAGACAAACUUUCCUGCAUCAUGAAGCUGAAGAAAUCCUUAGUAUUAGGAUCCCAGAUACUGAAGGAGAUGAUAUUUUUGCAUGGCACUUUGAGAAAAAGGGGAUAUUUACAGUUAGAAGUGCAUACAAGCUUGCAGAAGAGUGAGAUCCUAAGAAAAAUGUGGUAGCAGUGUCUCUAGGGAUAGGAAAAUUUUUUAUGCAAUUUGGACAACACCGGUACCUCAAAAGAUAAAAGUAUUCAUGUGGAAACUUACUCUCAAUGGUCUUGCUGUACAAACUAAUAGGUAGAGACACCACUUGAUUACUGAUGCGACCUGCUCAAUAUGUGGCAUGGAAUCUGAACAUGCACACCAUGCCAUGACCUGAUGCACAAAACCUGUGGCCUUAAGACAUGCACUACAGAAUUCAUGGGACCUCCCCGGUGAUUCUUUUUUAAAUAACAUAGGACCUGAUUGGAUCCUAGUCCUACUUAAUAGUGCCAGCAAAGAGCAUCAAUGCUUUUCUGGAGGGUCUGGCAUCACAGGAAUGGUAUCGUUUUUGGGAAAGAGGAUUGAGGGAUAUGGGUACCCCACGAGUCCCCACCGAUCAGGAUACUAGUCGGACCUGAUAAGUGGGCCCGCCUGACUAAGGCGUGCAGGUCAAGGUCAUGAAGCUACUUGGAGUACACGUAAAGGCAACUAGACAGUCCAAAUCUACACGGACAUCAUGGGACGCGUUUUGUAAUCCGACUCAGGUUGUUUUCCAUGUAAAGACUGAGUAGAUUAGAUUUAAACCGACUUGUAACUCUUGGUCGCCAGACUAUAUAAGGCGACCAAGGGUGCCUCCUAGGGGCAACGGAUAACAGAACGUCAAUUGAGAUACAAGCAAUACAAUCCACGGAUAGAGGACGUAGGGUAUUACUCUCCGGAGGUCCGAACCUGUCUAAAACCCUCAUGUCUCGUUCGUGUUCUGGCGAUUACCUUCGAGUUCUUGGUCUUGCAAUCGCCCUCAUCUACAAAUCAACCACUUGGGUAACCCCCUGGUGGAUUGCCGGGAUUAUAAAUCUGACAGUUGGCGCGCCAAGUAGGGGUGGUUGCGAGAUGCUUUUUGCGACCACGAUGGCAUCGAAUCCCGGUGUUGUUCUUCCUGAGAGCAUGAAGGACUUCCUUGCCAACUCGGUGCAGAUGCAAUUUGGAACCAUACUAGCGGAUUUAGAUCCGACCGCUUUUUCCAUCAACUCGGCGGCUUUCGUGAACUCGGCGACUUUCGUCGACUCGGCAACUCCUGCCGACUCGGUGACUUCCGUCAACUUGGCGACUCCCAUCGACUCGGCGCCCUCCAUCGAUUCGAUGUCCACCAACUCCAUCCCCGUUGGAUCUAUUCCAGUGGGAUAAGUUCUCCAUCCAAGGAUCAUCAUGCCACCUGCCCUGCAAGUCGGUGAAUUUUCUGUGGCGGAACCGCCCAACUUAAGCUGGUUUAAGUGCGCCUAAUCGCUGUCGGAACAGCAAUUAUCCGAAACGCACCUAAAACAGCAUAAGUUCGGUAGUCCGUCGGGUGUCCCUAGGACUCCUCGAAGGAUCCACGGCGUGUCUCAUAACCAUACAUCAGGAUAAUGUCCGCGAUGAGAUAAUAUCAACAAACAUUACAUUUUUACAUACAUAUAUAAAAGGUACGAGUUAUUACAGGACCUAAGUUGAAACAAACUUAGUGAUGCAGUGUUAGACAAGCUCUAAGAUUUAAACAUAAAUAGUUCAGGAGAGGAUGCGCAAGUAGACUUUUUCUCUAGGGUAUUGUGAGACUCAAAUCAAUACCCUAGGGCUUCGGGGUCUCCUCUUCUGUAGACUCCUGUGGAGCUUCUGAAAGAUAACCACAAGGGGAAAACCCUGAGUACGGGGUACUCAGCAAGUCUUACCCGACUAACCAAUAUAAUAGUUUUCUUUGGAAUGCAUGCUAGCUUUUGGGUGUGCUUGGCUAACACAAUUUUUGCAGAAAAGCUUACUACGAGUAAAGCCUUAGUUUUAUCUUUUACUUGGGUUAAGUUAUUACCUAACCAUUCUAAAUGAUAACAGAAGUAAAACAAUCAUAGCUGUUAAAUCAUACAUUAGUUGAUAACAGAAAGAAUACAUAUUGCAUGAAUUGAUACUACGAUGCUCAACAGUGAUCAAGUGCAUUCAUAACCGAGAAUUGCGGCGAUCCGGAUCUAAUUACAUCCUGCAGGAGAGUACCCUGAUCACCAGCGUUAUACGACUGUCCAGGUCGUAUCUAACAACCUCUCGAUUAGCAAUCUCAAUGAUUAGGAAUACGACUACCCGGACCCAGGGAUGCACCCCCACAUGGGACCCCACGUCUGGCCCGAUCACCAUGUGAGUUUCAGGCUACACCCCUGCCAAUCUCCAGCACGUCAAGCGCGGGUACGAAGUAUUCCUGAUCACAGAGUUUACAAAUCUACUGGGCUUUACUGGUCCCAUACCCAGUAAGUGAUCAGACGCUUAUCACUUGAUCAAAGGUUAAGACAACGAAUCGGGCCUUAACCAAAUUAAUCUAGCAGACAGAACUACAUCUCUAGCUUCUGUCCGUUUUCACUUUCCAAGUUAUCCUUCAUAAGCAACAUGUAUGACUUAAGAGUUUUCCUUAAGGUUGGUAAACCAAGCAUGUAAGCAAGUAAGGAAUUCUAGACUUGGGUAUCUUCUAAGGUUUGAACAAGUGGCAAAGAUGUCCUUAAAACAAGGCAUGAUCAUACACAAGAAUAGGUCUCAAGCAACUCCUAAACUUAGUGCAUACAUAUAGCAAAUAACCUAUAUUAAGUCACAUGAAAUAACGACUCCAAAAUAGAUAGGUAUAAAUGCACCGGGGCUUGCCUUGUUCGUUAAAAAGAUUAGUAAUCUCUGACGGGUGAGCUUCACAGGGAACUAACUCAAACACUUCUUCAGAUUCUGAAGGUCCUUCUGAAAAUUCCCAAUAAUCUCCUUCCGGUGCUUCGGGAUCUACGGUAUAAUACAUGCAGGGGUUAGAAUGCAAAAUUUUUGAAUAACAGACUAUACAACUUUCCUUCAUGAUAAAGUUGCAAGCCAACAAGGACUAUACGACUUAUCAUGAUAAAGUUGCAAGUCAACACACAAAAAUCUAAAAAGAUUAACCUACAAUUUUAUUUUUCUUAUUUAACCCUACUUAUAGCUUUUUCUUUUAUUUUUAGAGAAAGUUAUAAUUAUUUUCUAACCUGAAAAUCUAAUUUCCUAUGGGUUAAGCAUUAUUUGUGAUUAAGAAAGUGUUAUUCAUAUUUUAUACAUUUUAUAAAUAUUAAGUAUUUAUUUAAUUAACUUAAAAGGAAGGCAUUAAAUAAAUACCCAAAUUUUUAUUAUUUUUUCUAGGGUGUAAAAAUUUUAAUGCAUAAAGGAAAAUAAAACAAGCCUAACAAAAUUGGUUUCACUAAUUUUGGACACUCCUAGAAAUUUAUGUGAUUAAAAUGGUGUAAAACGAAUUUAAACGAAUUAUUUCACUAAAGGAAAUCUAAUUUUUCCCGAAAUCACCCGGAAAUACUUUUCUUACUCAACCCCUCUCUACCCUCUCUCACGUACACUGGGCCCCACGGCGCGGACCCCACCUCUCCUAUUCAUUUCUACCCGCCGGCCUCUUUUCCUCUUAACGGGCCUCGUGGGCCGAUUUCUUUUUCUUUUUCUUCUUCCGGCCCGACACCGGCCCACGGCCUUCUUCCUUUUUUUUUCCUUCUUCUACCGCGACUCCGGCCUGCUGGUUGCUUCUGGGCCCUCGGCCCUUUUUUUUUUCUUUUCCGACCGACCUGCGCGUACUCCACUGGGCCUCCCGACCACGGCCCAACCGACGGCCGCGCCACUCCGGCCUCCUUCUCUCCUUCCCUUCUCACUGUCGCGCGCACUACUGGGCUCCUAAGCCGCGACCCAGCAACCGCUUGCGCUCGGCCGGCCUGCUUCCGUUCCCCCCCCCCUUUUCUCUUCAUUGACGCGCGGGCCCAAACGCCCAGACUCUUCUUCCUCCUCCCGCCAAAACGCGGCCGCGACAGGGGGCGGCGCGACUCGCCGGCCGGCGCCCUCCUGGCGGUAGGACUAGGCCAAGACACCACCCCUACACCUUUACGCACCCGCGCGCAGCGACAGCUCCCCGGGAGAUGGCCGGAGCCAUCCCAUCCACGGCGACGGGCGGCGACUCUCUCGGCUGGCCGUGGCUACUCACGACGACAGCAUAACCUACUCAAACAUCUACCUCUACACCAUCCUAGGACCCUAAGGACUCGCCUACGACUACUAAAGAAGGAAGGGGAGCAGCGCAAGGUGGUUCUCACCGUGAGCGGGCGGCGCGACGGCGGGGGACAGAAACGACGGCGAGCACGAUUACUCCGGCAUGGAUGUUGGACAACAACUGGUUUAGGGUGUAGCUGGGGUGUCUGUGGAGGAGUGGGCGAGAGGAAUCGACGGGAGGCGAGACGUGGCGGUGGAAUUUUGCUCAGCGGCGGUGUUUGACAGAGGAGCGCUGGCGGCGGUAAAAAGGACGACGGUUAAACGGCGGCGCGGGAGCGGUAGAUAUUCAAGUGUUUCACCGCGCGCAUGGGCGACACCGUGGCCUACCCAUAGGCUUGCGUGGUGAGGAGGUGGCCUAGCUAAACGCGCUGGCGUACGACCGACGACGGCGGCGGCGACACGUCUUGGUGCUCUGUCACCGCUCCUCUAACGCCCGGAUCUUCAGAGUCGAAAUUUAGUCGAUCUCCAAUCCGACGGCCUCCAAGCGCCUUAACAGAAGUUGAAGAUAAACUCAAACCCGUCAUCUUUUGUUUUGGCUCUGACUCGAGAUAAUCAUCAAAUAUGAUUGAAUUUUGAUUUGUUUCUUGGGUUCCUUUGAAAUUCACUGAAACUGACAUUCAGUUCGUCAGUCACCGACAGUGGUGUUGAUCUUACUUGGUGAACCGAUUCAAUGACCCAAAUCUUGUUUUCCCAGUCCAACUUCUUCUCAAACGUGUUCUAUAAUCUCCCAAGUUUCCAUUUUGCCCAAGAACACCUACCCUUCUUGAUCUACAUUGCUCUGAAUUCAAACUCAAAGUUAAUGUCAUAUUGCUGUUUCAGACUUAACAAAAAUUCAGAGUGUCAGUUAACUUGUGACAAUGUGCUGACUUUGAGCUUGAGUUUGACUUCCUUCCCUUCACUGUUCCUGGCCAACAACACUUGAAUAUUGUAGUCCAAGGUUCAUACUUCAAUAUAGUGUAGUUGUCCUGGUGCACUUAUUUGAAAAAUUCUCCAGAAAUCAAUUUCUAAAAUGGACUCUGAGGCUGUUUCCUCUGAAUCCCUAUUUUCGGACGGUGAACAGUAAACUGAGUUUUUCUUUUUCUUUCUUUGAUUCCUCUGAGAUAUUUAGCACUGUUUCAAUUCCAAAUUUUUGAUCCUUCAGUUCCAAACACUCCUAUACUUGUAUUCCACAUUUUUGACAAAUUUUUCUGAAUUUCAAAUUUGAAAUUCAAAUUUCGGCCAAAUUUGACCCGAAUUUGAUUUUCGGCCAAAUUCUUUUUCUUUUCUUCUUAAUUUGCUUUUAAAUUUUCCAAAGUCACUUACAUGACUAGCUUGGCAACUAUUACAUUUUCUUUCUCCGAGAAGAUUCUAGAUCUACUCGUCGGCGACCACCCACCCAUGCCCUCCAACCUGAUCGCGGGGCUAGAUUGCAUCAGCAGUACCAUCACUGAGUGCUUAUAGCUGUCCGAGGUAGCGUUGCAUGAAACUAGGUUGCGCAGGGUUUGUCCCGUGUCCCCUUCGAUCUACAGAACUCGGACGCUGAGUACUCCGCCAAGCUUGAUCAAGUUUUUCAGAUCCAAUCUGAAAAACCCGCCCAAACCCACCUAAUUUCUGGAUUGUGGUGAAUUUCAAGUGCCUCAGAUCAUCCUAACGCCAAAUCCAUAUGGAAACAACGAUGAGAGCAACACCUCCACACCAGUCCGAGAAGUUUUCAUAGUCUCCGCUGAUGAGCCACCUCGUGAUGGUGCAACAGAUUCUCAAGAAGAAGGCCGUAACACCAGGAACCAGAAUCGCGCGGAACGACGCCAACAGGAGCAAGCCGGCGCCUGACAGCAACCUGCCGCUAAUACAAAUGCAGCAGGUGACCGGCGCCAGCAGCCACGCAAUGAGCACGACAACGUCGACCAAGGUGGUGCUCGGGAAAGACACAGGCACUGUGUGCGUGCCUGCAACCUAUUAACCGACCUCGAGAAGGCCGGCCACAAUGUCUUCACUACACCCCAGGCCAAUCUAGGGGCUGCCGUUGCCGAGCUGGAAAAUCUUCCAAAUUCAGACCAAGUUCAACGGGCUAAAGCGUGACUCCAAGCCGCCAACACCCAGAUUGAAGAGCGGAUCCACAAACGAGCUGCACACUCCCGAUCUACAUCAUCCAGACACUCCCGAAACUAGUCUGGGCAUAGCAGAUCUGACCACCACCGAGGCGACCGUGCUGGUGGUCGGAUGGACCCAAUCCACGAAGAAGAGGUGGAGCAAAACAAUGUUCAACCCGCCAACCCACCAGCCAACAAUAAUACUAACACACCAGCCAACCCUCCCGUCAACAUCAAUGCCAACCCUCAAAUCAACAUCAAUGCCAACCUACCAGUCGACAAUAAGCCAACCCACUGGUCAACGUCAACGCCAACAACGGCCGUCAAUGUAACAACAAUGACGAUCGCGACCAUGGCAGGAGAGGCGAAGCUGAUGACCAUGGCCGACAAGAACGGCAAUGUGAUCUUCGUGAUGAGCUGCGUGAAAUCUGUCAAAAUCGUGACAUACGCGCCGACCUAAAUUACCGCCACAAUGAGCGCAACGAGCACGAGCUCCGGCGCCGUGCCGAAUACAAUCGCGACUACGGGGUUCCUGUGCCUAACCGUGAUGCUAAUUGUGAGGAUCAACAUCGCCAACAAGAUGAGAUGCGCCGCCACACCGACUACGACCGCACAUAUGGCAUCCCUAAAAAUGCCUACAACCCGCCCAAAUGCGACUACGAUUACGAAGAUGCUUACUACCCGCCUAGACAAAACUACGGCGGAUGCAGCAGGGCUCCUCCUGUCCAGUACUACCUUGAUGAUGAUUACAACGAUGACAUGGCAUUAGACAGCUUUGCUGCCUUCACCCCGCACCUUAGGGCCGUUGAUUGGCCGCCCACAUUCAAACCUGCCAUCAACAAAAAGUAUGACGGUCGCUCCGACCCCACUAUCUAGCUCAAGACGUACAACAUUGCGGUGAGAGCUGCCAAUGACACCUACGACCAGAUGGUCGCUUAUUUUCCUGUGGUGAUGGGUGGUGCUCUGCUCCUAUGGCUAGAAAAUCUUUCCCUCAAUAGCAUCGACAGUUGGGGUCACCUCGCUAGGGCUUUUACUCAGAACUAUCAAGCCACCUACAGCCGACCUGGAAACAAGGAAAAACUUGGCCAAGUCCAUCAAAGGAUAGGUGAAAAUAUUCGAGACUACGCCAACUGCUUCUUUGAGAAUCGCAACAAGCUGGCUGGCAUUGAUGACCGUGAUAUCAUCUGGUACUUUCGCUUUGGCUUGAUGAACUAGAAGAUGUUCGAGAAACUGUACGAGGUUGCCCCUAAGACGGUCGGGCAGAUGAUGGAAGUUGUCAACACACAAGCUGACAUCGAAGAGGCGGCAAAGUUUAGUUCUAGAAGCACUGCCAAAACGACGACUAUGAUCAGCCAAUCCAUGACAACUCUACAAAAGGGCCCCAGAGGUCUACGCUGCUGAAGGCGACCCGACCAGGAAGAGCACUUUCGAUAGGGAAGAAUUUGAUGGAACCCUCAGCGGCCCGUGCCCUUUCCACAAGGACGCACGUCAUACUCUCCGGGACUGCAUAGCCCUGAAGAAAGAACUCACCGCCCCGGUGGAAUACAAGCGACCACAUCACAACGACUAUCAUCCGGACAACAACAAGCGAGAUUAUCGUAGCUGUGAUGAUGACCGUCACCAAGAUGACCAUGACAACCGCAACAACAGGGACCGUGACAACCACAACGAUCACCACCAUGAUGACCGCAAUGAUUGCAACAACAAUAGGCGCGACGACCAUGACAACAGAGAAGAACGCCGUGACCAGCUAUAGCAAGACGUCCAGUGGCCCAACACCGACCAGAACGGGGACUUCCAGUGACAUCGAGGCCAACCCUUUCAAGGUGGAUGCAAUUAGAAAUAUGACAAAACCAUCUAACAAGAAAGACGUCAUGAAACUCACCGGCAUGAUGGCGGCCCUUAGCCGUUUCAUUAGUAAACUUGGAGAAAAAGGUCUGCCCUUCUUCAAGCUCCUCAAAAAGGCAGACAAAUUUGUGUGGGAUAACGAGGCUAGCAAAGCACUCGAAGAGCUCAAAGCUUUCCUCACCACUCCUCCCAUCAUGACGGCCCCGCCGACCAACAAACACUGUACCUCUACAUCUCCGCAACAACGCAUGUUGUUGCACCGUGCUAGUUGUGGAGCGCCAGGAACCCGGCCAUACCUAUGCAGUGCAAUGACCGGUAUGUUAGUUAGCGAAGUCCUUAGUGGCCAAGACCUGCUAUACCCAGGUGCAGAAACUACUCUAUGCAGUGUUGAUAUCAUCAAGAAAGCUACGUCACUACUUCCAGGCGCACAAGAUCUGUGUGGUAUCCUCAUUCCCCAUUGGCAAAAUUCUCCACAAUAGGGAUGUCAAUGGCUGAGUUGUCAAGUGGUCUGUGGAGCUCGGCAAAUUUGACAUUGAUUUAUGUCCACGACACGCUAUCAAGUCGCAUAUUCUGGAUGACUUCAUGGCCGAGUGGACAGAGAUCCAGAAGCCGCCCUCCCUGGAGAGGCCAAAACACUGGACCAUAUACUUUGAUGGCGCCCUCAACCUUGAUGGAGCCAACGCGGGGGUUCUGUUCAUAUCCCCCAAAGUCAAGCAGCUCAAGUAUGUGCUCUAGAUACACUACAAGGCCACCAAUAAUGGCGCCGAGUACGAAGUUCUCAUCCAUGGCCUGUGCAUCGUUGUUUCUUUGGGAAUUAAACGCAUCUUUGCCUACGGCAACUCCAAGGUUGUCAUCGAGCAAGUCAACAAGAACUGGGACUGCACCAAGGAAUCCAUGGAUGCUUACUGUGCGGAAAUCCGCAAACUCGAGACUCACUUUGAUGGAUGCUUACUCCUGCAUAAUUCACUCGGGAACAUGUGGCAAUCAUGCCGCCUCGGGAACUUUGGUCGGCAAAGCCUUCCGUUCUGGUUUUUACUAUCCAAUAGCAGUAGCUGAUGCAAAGGAGCUCGUCCAAUGAUGCAAAGGGUGUCAAUUCUUCUCCAAGCAGCAGCAUCUUCCAGCUCAGGCCCUGCACACCAUCCCACCAUAAUGUCCUUUCGCAUGCUGGGGGCUGGACAUGGUCGGACCCUUCAAAAUCGCUUCGGGUGGCAAUACACACAUUUUCGUGGUGGUUGACAAAUUCACAAAAUGGAUUGAGGUCAAGGCCGUCACCAGCAUUGAGUCGACUAAAGCAGCUCAGUUUGUGGAAGAAAUUAUGCACCACUUUGGAGUGCCUAACAGAAUCAUAACUGACCUUGGCGCACAGUUCCCAGGCUUUGAGUUCUAGGAUUUUUGCCAAGACAACCUCAUCGAUGUGUACUACUCCUCAGUAGCACACCUAUGCUGCAAUGGUCAGGUUGAGCGUGCAAAUGGGAUGGUCCUCCAGUCCCUCAAAUCAUGCAUCUUUGAUGACGCGUCCAAAUAUGCUACCAAGUGGCUACGCAAGUUACCCCAUGUCAUCUGCCUAAGAACAUAGAAGAGUCGGGCUACCGGCUACACCCCUUUCUUUAUGGUUUAUGGCUCAGAAGCUAUCUUGCCAUCUGAUGUGGCCUUUGGUGCCCCUCGCAUCCAGUACUACAAGGAAGGCGAGGCAUAAAAAACUUGGCAAGUCGACAUCGACAGCCUUGAAGAGCAUCGAGUGGCGGCCCUCAUCCAGCAUGCACGCCAUGAGCAGCAAAUACGAUGCUAUAAUGAUCGUAAUAUCAAGGAACGCUCCUUCAACGUUGGCGACCUAGUGCUUCACUGGGUCCAGUAGACUAAGGGCAUGCACAAGUUGGCCUCACCCUGGGAGGGCCCCUUCAUCAUCAAAGAAGUCAUCCAACCAGGCACCUACUGACUACAAUGGGCAGACGGCUCUGACGUCCCCAAUCCAUGGAACAUUGAGCAUCUACGAUGCUUCUACCCUUAGAAUAUAAAGCUAUGUACUCUGUUUCCCUUUUUAUCUUGAAUAAAUAAAACCUCUAUGGUUCUUUUUGCGUACCUACUGCCUUUCUGUUCUCUUUCUUGACCUGUCCUUGACGCUCAGGGGCCGCCCAACCUGUUCAGCAGUCUGCUCGCUUAAAGCUAGAGGGCUUCCCCUGGCGCCGACCUCUGGGUCAUGCUUUUGCCUCCUCCCCCUCUCGAGGCUAUACGACUAACUCGUGUAGUCGGCGUCCUCGUUAGCGAAACAUAGACAACCUCACGUUCAUCCCUCCUACAAGCUCGAGAUCCGCUCUCAGCAGGACACUGGUCAAAUGAGGCUACAUGCUUAGAGGCUAUAGGCCUCAGCUACACGCUAUCAUGUUGUAUAUGCUAAGGCAGGGACAAAAUUUCUUAUUUCAUCUCAUACAAACAAGAACAUCACAUUCACCAUUGCAUGAAAUAGUUUAAUACAUUUUCCUUGUUUACUUUACACGUCCAGAUCAUUUACAAUGGUUUCUGUUGCAUCAUGGUACUGAUCAGCAACUUCAAGAAUUUUGUUCUCAUCAAAGUCGACUACGAUUCCAGUAGCGGCACGCUCCAAGGGAGUUGUCGGGAAGUGCGAAGCCAACAAUGCAAAAGUGUUGUUCAUACAUUCAAUGGCAGUAUCCUUCACCAACUUCUUCAGUUGACUCGGCGCAGCUUUGAGACGGUCCCACAGAGGUGUUGGUUUGGCUAGAUCAGUGUCUGCCUUGAUCAUGUCCAUUACAUAGCCAGCCGACUUUUGCAACCUCCCUAGCUCUAACUCCAACCUUGCAAUUACAUGUUGGUCAUUCUGGAGGUUACUUACAACAUCCUCUAAGCAAUGCUCGAGGUCCCUGCGUGCAUUGGAUUCAAAGGCUAGCUUCUGGGAGACCGCAUACUCACGAUUCACCGUUGUGUCGCGUUCUUCCAGAAGGCACCUGUUGGAGUCUUCACACUCCUUGAGGUCCUACCGAAGCCUUUCCUCUCUCUUCCUGGAGUCUGCAUGACCGUCAAGUUUGCUUCAGCACAACAAUACCCAAGAAAAAACAUGAUUUAACAAGUCGGUGUUACAUACCUGACAGCUCCGAGCUAAUGAUAUCCUUCUCAGCUCGCAGCUCAGUUUUGAGACGCGCCUUGGCGCCCUUGCUCUCUUUGAGGCUCUGCUGCAGCCAGGCUAUUUGCGCCACAGAAUCUGCAGAAUCAACAGAAGAUUGGAUCAGCAUCAAGAUUGCAAAAGCAAAGUUUAUUAAAACAGAUCGGCACAUGGUACCUCUCAUGAUUCCAUCAUGCACUGUCCUCUCAAUGUCGUAGCGAGAUUGCUGCCUCUGGAGAUCUCCUUUUGCCUUUUCAAGCUCAACCUCCAAGUAGGCCACCUUGAAACAAAGGCACUCGGCAUGGAGGACCGCCUCCAUCCUCUUGUUAGCAUGAUCCGCCAAACCCUGUUCAAAAUCGUACUAUCAGAGAUCUUGGAACCUAUGUUCCGCAACCUGGCAAUAGCUGCCCUAUCCUACGCCAUGUCCACAGCAAGCUCAGCCUCGGAGAAGGGGAAGGCGUGGGGAUCAUCCGUUCCACCCAAGGGGGGCAAGUCAGGCAAUGGAGCAUUCAUGGGCGCCCCACCCUGCUGAGGAUUGGCCCCAGCGUCCUCGACGUCCUCCUGGGAUGUGUCCUUGACCUCGAUGUCCUCCCCAGCUGCGUCCUCAACCUGGAUGUCCUCCCUAGCCGCAUCCCCGACCUCGAUGUCCUCAUGGGUCUCCCCCUCGACCUCGACUUCCUCCUCUGUCUCCUUCGUAAUCCUGGAGCCGGCCAUGCUGUCGUUAGUGGCUUUAGCGCCGACCUCAACUUGUUGCGAUGCAGGAGUUGGUGCAACCUCUUCAGUGCGAUCACCCACGACAGUCCCGACCUCCGCUGCUGGCGACUGCUCGGCGGCGCGACCGCUGGUGGCCUCAGUCUAGCCUGAGCACCUAUGCAGCUGGGCGCUACUAUCAUCAGACCACAUGCCAGCCCUGGAUCAUCACCACAGCAAGCAACCCACACAUACGUCAGACUACUAUCCCAAGCAUAGAAAGUACAAAGGCGGCAACACUUAGAUAGUGCUCUUCUUCCUCAAGCGCAACUUUGGGCACAAUUUUUGAGGCGGUGUAGGCGCAUCUCCGAUGGUGCCGCUCUGCAUCUUCUCUUUCAACGCCUCCUUAAGGUGUGCUACGUCAGCCAUGAUGGUCCUCGCAGGCUCCGACUCCUUGUCCAGCGCAGCCGGACUCGGCGCGUUGGACCUUGCCUCGCCGCCCGACCUAGCAGCGAUAGUAGUACUCGACACAACCUUCUUUCGGCCGGUCAAGUUCUUCUUCCUCCCAAUCGGCUGGGACACCUUGGAAAGAGGCCGCUUCUCCCCAAGCCUGCCAGGUUUGCUGCCCUGCACCUUGAUCCCCACCACCUUCGCCGGUUGCACUAAUGGCAGGCCCAAAAUACGACUCAGAGUCAAACUCAAGGCUGGGCGGCGAGGCGACCGGCACGUCAACCGAACAGAUCUUGUGGGGCGCCCCUUGAGUCCCACCAGGUAAUGGCGGAUGGCAAAAUAAAUGAAUACAUACUCACCGAGGUAGGCAAUGGCCUCCUCAACGAAGAGGCCUUAGGGGUGUUCUGGUUGCUGACCUCGCCCUUGAACAACCUAGAUACCCGAAGAAAACCUCUUCAUCGGACACCUCACCAGCAACCUCCUGAGUCGGAUCAUUCAGACCCGAGUACUCGUACAACAGAUGUACUCGGUAUUUGAUUGGCUAGGUGGCCCUCUGAUAGAAGUUGAUGCCAAUAGCUGCAGGCGUUAGUCCCUACACCUUCAGGUCAGCGAUCUUCUCCAACAACUCAUCUACUUGGACCUGUUCCUCCGAGGUCGGCUGAUUCUGCCACUCGACUACUGACACAGGCCCAAAACCCGUACACGGCGGCAGCUCGAGCUUCUGAUUGGUGAUGAGAAACCACUCGGCAUGCCACCCCUUGUGAGAAUCCUUCAACUGAAGGUCAAAGUACUCAUGCACCUUCUUGGGAUGCAAUGAGAAUCCAGCCCCCCCCCCUCCAAUAACCCUAUCCUUUCUACCCUUAGUAUUUACGGGCUUCAACUAAUAAAGAUAGCACCUUAGAUUGAAGUGGGGGGAUGCCUAAGUAUGCUUUGCACAAAUGAAUGAAGAUAGAAAUAUCCAGAAUCGAGUUAGGGUUAAGGUGUACCAACUCGAUCUUGUAAUAAUGGAGGAGUCCGUGAAAUAAAUCCCAGUGGGGAUCCCAAACCCACACUCGAAGAAUGGCGUGAAGACCACCACCUUCGCCGUAUCCUCGGACGAGAACUCCUGACUAGCGAUGGGCUUCUAGUCGAGCGGUUCUUGCGGACCAAGGAGCCCAUGGUUGACGAGGGCCUGGAUCCACUCCUACAUCAUCAUGCUCUUCAUCCACACCGAGGAAGGAGUUAGGACAUUGGACUGUGCCAUUGAUUCGCGAGCUUGAGUUUUGGAUCUAAAGUGGACUAGGGUUUUGAUUUGCAUAAGGUGGCGUGGCAGCUCAGGCGGUAGUGGUGGCGCGUGCGUGAGAGGACUAUGGAAUGUGGCAGUGUAACCUAGGGUUCGCGAGUGCGGUGGCGGAGCGCUCAGUAGGCUCGAGGUGGCGGCGCUGCGAAAGGUUGAAGAUAAGAAGUGAAUAACGGCUUCGUGCCACUCGUGCUCUUAAAGGAGAUGAUAGUGUGAGUUACGAACGAAAAUUGCAGGCCUUUUGUUAGCAUUGUGCAAUAUGCCGAGCGAAAAUUUCGGAUCCUUCCAUUAGCGUCAUCUGCACAUGAUAGAAUUUGCAGGAUCUUCAUUACAGACAUGCCUCUGAGCCUUUAUCACACCUUGUCCUAAGGGCCAGACACCUAACUCUACUCGGCGCGCCUUAGUGGCUCUGCCAGUUCUUGUCCUCGAGGGCUGGGCACCUUAACACUACUCAGCGUGCCUUAACGGCUCCGCCAGUCCUCGUCCUCGGGGACUGGGCGCCUUAACGCUACUCGGCGUGCCUUAGAAACUCUGUCAGUCCUCGUCCUCGGGGGCUGGACACCUCAACUCUACUCGGCAUGCCUUAACGCUCCGCCAGUCCUCAUCCUCGGGGGCUGGGCGCCUUAACCCUACUUGGUGUGCCUUAACGGCUCUGCCAGUUCUCGUCCUCGGGGGCUGGGCGCCUUAACACUACUCGGCGUGCCUUAACAGCUCCGCCAGUCCUCGUCCUUGGGGGCUGGGCACCUUAACCCUACUCAGUGUGCCUUAACGGCUCCACCAGUCCUCGUCCUCGGGGGCUGGGUGCCUUAAUUCUACUCGGCGUGCCUUCGCGGCUCUGCCAGUCCUCACCCUCAAGGGUUGAGCGCUUAAUUCUACUCGGCUUGCCUUCUCGACACAACCAGUUCAUAACCUCAGGGACCAGCAUACCAGAACCAACACAGCACGUCUCUGUGGCCUCACACAAAAAGCCCCCAGAAGAAGACACAAAGGCAUAUUUUCAUUCAGCUAGAAUCAAAUUCCUAGCUUUACAUAUCACAAAGCGUGUAUGAACAGCUCCAGGAUAGACGACAUUACAACACAAAUGAAGAAAAAAGUGCGAUACAAGAAAGCUGCACUCAAGGCCUCCCCUAGAGGUGUCCUGGACAAAGCAUAGAGUACAUGAUGCAUCUUCCUCAUGAGGAUUCUUCUAGCAUCAUUACCACCCGACCUUACCACAGAGACUGCAAAGGGAAGGAGGACCCAGGUGUUCCUCACAAGAAUUCUUCUGGCAUUAGAUUUCUAGAUGGUCGCCUGAUAUGAACCCGCUAGGGUUGAUUCCCGAUCUUUCGAUGAGAGGCGUGGGAUAACUCGAUUGGUGGAUGGAGACGACGUUCACGGCCCGACUACAGCCUUCCAAGCUGCGCCUUAGCAACCGAUACACCACCUCCAAUGGCUGCCGCGAUCUUGUGGAGCGCGUCACCCGGCCACUAGGGCACUCGUCCUGCAAGCAAUCGAAGAACAAGCAAGAACAAGUAGAACAAGCAACUGAAUUGCAAAUAUAAAGAUGAAAACAAAUCUGAAAUCACAAAGUUGGGGUUCUGAAUCGAGUAGAACGGAUGGUCUAGUCGACACACGCGUCUACAAGGAAGUAGCAAUGGCUAAACUUUCAACAAAACAAAACCCAAUCUGUUCGUGGCGGAUCUAAUCCUUAUUAAUACCUAGGAGGACGACCAGGGGGGUGUUGGGGUCGUGCUCCAACCCUAGGACACGUCCCUAAUGGACCCAACUUGAUACACGGCCCAUCGGGCCAAAAUAGGGCGACGCAGCACCUGUGGACAGAAAACCUCUCGGUAGUAUUUCGAUGAUUGCGGCCGCCUCAGAAUAGAUAUGGACAUGAGUCCGGAUCCAUAUGAAAAUAGACUUCAUAAGGAUUCCAAGGAGUACUCGAACGCCCAAAACGGAGUCCGGAUGAGGUCGUGGCGGUCGUUGCAAGUUGGGCCAGAACUGUAGUCCGAAUCCAGCACCAAAACGUGUUGGAUUGGAGCUCUUUCUUUCCUUGGGCCAAAAGUGACGUGGUGGCCUGGUGGAGGACGUUAGGAAUACUUGGACUUGGCCCCCAAUCUACUUCUUUGGUCCUCCAUGCCUUCCAUGUGUGUUUAACACUAUUUUUGAUCCAUGUAUGUAUUUCUGAAAUUGACAACGAAUACACAUCAUGGUGCAGCAUCAAUUCAUCAAAUGUAUCACAUAUAAUUAUGAUAAAGAAUUGUUUCACCUCAGAGUCAAAAGAUGCCAAUAUGGUUGUAUCCGAGCAUGUGAUGUCCUCAUCAUUCUCCCCUUCUUGGCUGCAAGUCGUCCUCGACUUGCUCCAGUGGCAUUCUAAGGUGCUUGUUUUGAUGUUGGAGCACGGAGCGACGGCCAUGCUGCAUGGCCACAACCAGUAAUGCUCCCCUUCUUUGGUCUUACCCUGUUGCAUAUGGGAAAAACUAGAAAAACUUUGCAAGACAUUAGUAGUGUUAGUGCAGCCCUCUAUUUGAUCAUGGUAUUGUAGCCCAAAAGGAUAUUUCAGAGUGGAGCAAACAUAAACUUUAUGCACUAAAUAUUCUCCUUUGCUAUCAUAUUUGCCAAUUGCAUGAAGCGAACAAUGAUUAAAACUUGGCAAACCAGAACCAAAUUGAAGUUUCUCUUUUAGACAAUUUAGAUUACACAAAACAUCAAAUUCAAUGUAACCCAAAGUAUUUAAAGAGGAUAGCAAAUUCAGUUCAUCUUGUGCACAAGUAAUAGGAUGAAAAAGCUUAUCUUCAGCACAUUUGUAUGAUUCCAAACCAAAAGUAUCACACUUAUUCACUACUUGUGGUAUAGGAGUAAAAGAAUCAUCAGCACACAAGUCCUCUUUAUCACAACGAACAGCAAGUAAUUCAUUUUGUGACAAAGGAAAAUCAGCAAUGGGUUCCACUAUUUGUUGCUCUUCAUUAGCAUGGAGAGUGGACAAAUUUUGGAUAUAAUGGGUCACAUCAUUCUUGCAAGUAUUCACAGAUAAUAGAAUCUCCUUUUCAACAUUGAGAGCAAGGCAAAACAAUUGACCAAUAUGUAUGUAUGAUUUGCUUAGCAACAAGGUUUGAAUUUCAGAAUUGAGCCCUCUCAUGAACCUACACAUAACAUCUUCCAUGCACUCAUCUAAUCCACCAUACAUGAUACAAAUUUUAAAAUCAUGGAAGUAUUCUUUCACAGUCCUACUACCUUGCCUCAAGUUGUCUAAUUUUUCAAGCAAAUAAUUAGCAUAAUAUUCAGGAAUGAAUGCAUCUCUAAAAAGAAAUUUGAAGUCUUCCCAAGAUUCUAGAACUUUGUUGUGCCUACAAAUCGUUUCCAUUCAAGCAAAGCAUAUUCAGUCAAAACAUUAGAGGCAAUAUAAAUCUUUUGUUUCUCGGACAGGUCAUGCUCAUCAAAUUCAUUAUCUACUUUUAUCUCCCAAUCAAUGUAAGCUUUAGGAUCAAACUUACCAUCAUAUAACGGCAAGUGUUGAAUAACACUCUGAAUAUGAGAGUCUAGUUUCAUCAGCUCCAAAAUCUCCGUAUCACCUGCCAUGGUUAGUAGGAAACAAGAAACACAAAAAUAAUAUGUAUCCUCCUGUCAACUACUAUGAUAUGUUGGUUGUAAUUCUCUCAAACUCAACUUGUAAAAACAAGCCCUUACAAGUUCUUACCAAGCCAAACAGGAGGUGACGGCAACUAACAAGUCUACAACCGUGGAGUGAAGUGUAUCGGUGCCGCAGCAACAAAAAAAAACCUGUCAAGCUGUAGUCGAAUAUGUGGAGCUGUAGGUGGGCUUAAGCAAGGAAAUAUACUAGCACCACGUUAGUCACAAAAGCAAGUUGAGUAAUCAUUCAACGGUGGUACUGUGCUGGUCCUAGGCUAAACCAUGCUAGAGACGUGAGCCUAGGCACAAAGGUAGUCACUGAAAAGAGCAACUAGCACAGCACAAAGAAAACAACAGAUUCAGCCCCUUCUUUCUUCCCCUUGUCUUGUCUUUUUUUUUCUUCUUCUUCUUUUUUUUUCUUUCUCUUGUUUUUUUGUUUCUUUUUUUUUGCAGAGGCCUAAAUCUUUUAUUUGGUACUAUAACAACCCAAACAAUAAGGCUAUAGCACACAGCCCCUUCGUAUAUUAGAUUUAACAACUCUUGCUAAUACAGCAGAUGCGGAAAUCUCUAAGACGAUUGUGGAGCGCUCAGACUGAAUUUUGCUGCAAGGUCAGAUCCGUUGGAAAGAAGACAACUUCAAGUUUCCAGAUUGUAUUUAAACUCCUAAAUCGGACAUCAUAUGAAACCGUGGUGGCAGAAAUGAAGCGAUGAUGUAUAUGGUGAUGGUGGGUCUCGUGGUGACCAAAACGUGAUAGAACUCAAAACUCUAAAGGAAUAGACACUAAGACCAGCAACUCGACACAACCGAUGCAACCAAAAACUCAACAAGCCCUAACUAAGCAAUGCUAGCAAAGGCUCAAAGGGUUUAUAGGAUUACAGGUAAACUAAUCUACUAUCUUUUUUGUGCUUUUAUGAACUAUAGGUAAUUAAAAAACAGCAAGGAACUGGAAGUCUCUCACCGAUAAACCUGGCUCUGAUACCAACUGAUAUGAACCCGCUAGGGUUGAUUCCCGAUCUUUCGAUGAGAGGCGUGGGAUAACUCGAUUGGUGGAUGGAGACGACGUUCACGGCCCGACUACAGCCUUCCAAGCUGCGCCUUAGCAACCGAUACACCACCUCCAAUGGCUGCCGCGAUCUUGUGGAGCGCGUCACCCGGCCACUAGGGCACUCGUCCUGCAAGCAAUCGAAGAACAAGCAAGAACAAGUAGAACAAGCAACUGAAUUGCAAAUAUAAAGAUGAAAACAAAUCUGAAAUCACAAAGUUGGGGUUCUGAAUCGAGUAGAACGGAUGGUCUAGUCGACACACGCGUCUACAAGGAAGUAGCAAUGGCUAAACUUUCAACAAAACAAAACCCAAUCUGUUCGUGGUGGCUCUAAUUCUUAUUAAUACCUAGGAGGACGACCAGGGGGGUGUUGGGGUCGUGCUCCAACCCUAGGACACAUCCCUAAUGGACCCAACUUGAUACACGGCCCAUCGGGCCAAAAUAGGGCGACGCAGCACCUGUGGACAGAAAACCUCUCGGUAGUAUUUCAAUGAUUGCGGCCGCCUCAGAAUAGAUAUGGACAUGAGUCCGGAUCCAUAUGAAAAUAGACUUCAUAAGGAUUCCAAGGAGUACUCGAACGCCCAAAACGGAGUCCGGAUGAGGUCGUGGCGGUCGUUGCAAGUUGGGCCAGAACUGUAGUCCGAAUCCAGCACCAAAACGUGUUGGAUUGGAGCUCUUUCUUUCCUUGGGCCAAAAGUGACGUGGUGGCCUGGUGGAGGACGUUAGGAAUACUUAGACUUGGCCCCCAAUCUACUUCUUUGGUCCUCCAUGCCUUCCAUGUGUGUUUAACACUAUUUUUGAUCCAUGUAUGUAUUUCUGAAAUUGACAACGAAUACACAUCAUGGUGCAGCAUCAAUUCAUCAAAUGUAUCACAUAUAAUUAUGAUAAAGAAUUGUUUCACCUCAGAGUCAAAAGAUGCCAAUAUGGUUGUAUCCGAGCAUGUGAUGUCCUCAUCAUCGCCACUCCUAUCAAAAAGUACAAGCUUCAGGCCUACAAGCGCUAUUUCUUGAGCCAUGCCUCUCCAAGAUGAAUGGUGGGUCUAUUUAUAGCAGGGUUGCCGACUAGCAUCCAAGACGCUACAGUACACCCACGAAGACACACGACAGAGCCCCUCCAUACCACCGUGACUCUACAAUACCCACGUGACGACCAUGCCUUAUCUUCAAGUACUGGAGGAUAGCACUCUCCUGCAGUUGUUUUGACGAAGCAACACUCCCGUGAACAAAGACAUUUUUGUCACUUACCUAUCAUUGCUUCAGUCCUUAUCUUCAGAGAUUUGGGCACACAUUUUUGGUCGGCGGGCUUUUGUGGCUAUGCCUAUCCUUCGUGCUCAGGCACUAGGAUCAAUUUCAAGAUGAUAACUUUCCUUUUUCUUAACCAUUGGACUGAUUAUUCUAAUCACUUCAAUGCUUGGGGGCUACUCCUACGGAGUGCGUCUCGCGACGCCCUUCGUAACCUUCGCUUCGACUUACUAGAUGCCAACAUCCAUCAACUCGGUACUCGUCUACGCUCUACGCGUUGGCUCUGCGCUCGCUCGAAUUUUCUUCUUUUUUGAGUAUUGCGCAGCCUCUCAUCACCAUGACGCCUUCACAGCUUCAGCCAACCUCAUUUCAAGCUUCGCUGUGAUGACUUCAAGUUCCUAUUCACCAACACAUUGCUCGGGAGCUUGAGGGAUAUGGGUACCCCAGGUACCCCACGGGUCCCCACCGAUCAGGAUACUAGUUGGACCUGACAAGUGGGCCUGCCCGACUAGGACGUGCGGGCCGAGGUCAUGAAGUUACUUGGAGUAGACGUCAAGGCAACUAGACAAUCCAAAUCUACUCGAACAUCAUGGGACGCGUUUUGUAAUCCAACUUAGGUUGUUUUCCAUGUAAAUACUGAGUAGAUUAAAUUCAAACCGAUUUGUAACUCUUGGUCGCCAGACUAUAUAAGGCGACCAAGGGCGCCUCCUAGGGGCAACGGAGAACAGAACAUCAAUGGAGAUACAAGCAAUACAAUCCACACAUACAGGAUGUAGUGUAUUACUCUCCGGAGGUCUGAACCUGUCUAAAACCCUCGUGUCUCGUUCGUGUUCUCGCGAUUACCUUCCAGUUCUUGGUCUUGCCAUCACCCUCACCUACAAAUCAACCACUUGGGUAAACCCCUAGUGGAUUGCCGGGCUUAUAAAUCUGACAGGGAUUGCUCUAUCUCUGCCUUUGUGAACUUAUUGGAAAGCUAUCUUGCCUCUCUAAAUCCAAGUAUGUUUGAUUACAACACAUCUUCAGCUAAAGGAAAAUCUUCUGGGUUUGUUGACCCAUAUAAGACCCACCUAGACAGCAUGAAGAAGUCCCAGAAAACACCUCCUUGGAUGGCUCCUCCCCCUGGUUGGAUUAAACUUAAUGUGGAUGCUGGUUUGAUCUCAUCACCAUACAUGCUGGGCUUGGCUUCAUUGCUAGAGAUCAUUUGGGUGAAGUUAUUUUCUCUGGUUGGUCCAAUGAUCGGCUCUGCAAAUCUGCUGAAGAGGCCGAAUGUUUAGCUGCCUUAAUAGGAAUCUGUCGUGCUCUUUCUGUAUUCCAAGCCCCUAUGUGGUUGGAAUCAGAUUGUCUGGGAACAGUCGAAGCACUCAGAGUUACUUCUCCAAAUCUUUCUCCCAGUUGUUUUGUUAUUGAAGAAGUUAAAAGAAUCUUGCAUCUAUUCCAGGAUUCUAGACUUUCUUUUUGACAUUGCAGCGUAAAUGAGGUGGCUCAUGUGUUGGGCCAGAUAGGUAGGCGAGAGCUUUUUUCUAAUUUUAUUUCUAAAGGUGUUCGUCGGCAGCUUUAGAACGUGAUUGUAAUGCUUUAAUGUUAAAGUAAUAUAAGUCUCCCUACUUUCAAAAAAAAAGAAUCAUUAUAGUAUGCAUGAUAUGGAGAUUGUCUAGUUUUCAGUUUCUGAAACCAUCAGAAAACACACACCACACACACAAUGGACCAUCACCGGGGUGUAGAUCCCUCCCAUUCCUCCGGCCACCUCCCUGCCCGCACUCACCAUCGCGCUCCCUCGGGGUCAUGGUCAGAGGUUGGGGCCGCGUCAUCAUCUUCCUACGGCGGCAGCGGUGCCAGGUACACCUUCACUUCCCUGUCGCCCCUCCACAUGGCAGCCGCGAUCGAUGAUGUCUCGCCCCCAUGCGCCGUCGUCGCCCACUAGCCCGAUAGGGGCGACCGCCCACCAACCCGAUAGGGGCGACACGGCCACCGCAGGUACAUCUACUCCCUAUGCUCUCUACGUUCUGUUGCCCAAUGUCUUGAGCUGAAAGAUGAGGUCGCGAAGCACCAGCUAGUUGUGGUCUCCCAUGGAACUACCCGUCGUGGAUCCAACUCUACUUACGCCCUCUGCAUUGCCGACAUGGCCCCGGGCCUCGUUGGCUCCUCGCUCGUCCACACCUGCUUCACUUCGGUGCCACCGGCCUCGCCCACACCACAGUAUAUUCGAUGUAAUGCCACAGUAGAGGGUCGUUGGCUGGAGCGCUCAUUGAGGCCACAUGGCAUGCAACAACGUCGACUCGUCAAGGCGUGUGGCACUAAUGACUAAUCGCGACCAUGUGCUGGCUAUUCUCCUCUCUCCAUCGUUCUGCUGUCUAUUCUUCUCUCCCCGAAUCCCCUUAUCCUUGUUGUCAUGUGAAGUUAGAACUGGCAGUUUCAACAGGCACACAACAUCAAGUCAAUGUGGGAGGAAGAGCUCUUCCUAGGCCAAGCAGGAGCGGUGCAAGAGAAAGGUUCUUGGCAUCCCAUGGUGCAAGAGAAAGGUUCUUGGCAUCCAGUUCAUCAGUUCAUGUGUUUGCUCAUUAUCUAUUAUCUAAAAAAUGCCAUGUGUUUGGUGAGGUAAUUAACCAACGAAGAUUACCGUGGCCAGCCCCAAGGGUUGGGGAUUUGGGAGGGUGAUGGGUCGCAGCGGUAGCAACAUAAGCAGGUAUGGUGUCAGACACUAUUGGUGUGUUUGGUUUGAGGAAUCACUGCACCUCAUCUUAGAUGAGAUUGAUCAUCAUGAGUUGACCCUAUAAAAUUUAGUGGGAUGACCCCAUUCUUCAUGGUUAUACUAUUUAUCAGUUUGUGAGGGAUAAGAUGGUGGAGGAUCAACUCAUUUCAUUCCACAAACCAAAUAAAAAAGUGAGAAGUGAGAAGAUGAGAUAUGACUCCAUUCCUCAAACCAAACACCUCAUAUACUUAAUCCAUAUACACAAUAAUUCGUUCAGUACUUUUGUUUGUUUGGUACUCAAGGAUCCAUUCAUUAGGGCUUGUUGGAUCCCUUUGCUAAAGUUUAGCAACUAAAAUUUACUAAACUUUAGUUACUAAACUUUAGCAAAGGCUGUUUGGAUACCCUUACUAAACUUUUAAGGCUGUUUGCUAAACUAAAAUUUGCUAAAAAGACCUAUGUACUCUUAUUAAAGGUACUCUUCCUUUCCUCUCUCCUCCCACCUCCCUCCUCCCUCCCGCCCAUCCGGUGGCCAGCGAGCACACCCACGAGCCUUGGCUCGCCGCCGUCGCCUGCGCCCCACCGCCAGCACGUGACGAGCCCAUUUGAGGAGCCCACGUACACGGCGCGGGCCUCGGGGCAAGCGGCGACCGCGGUUACCGCGUCAUCGCCCUCCCGGAGCACCCGCUCUAGGAUGUGCCUCGUCCGGUCGUCGUUGGCCACCGCUGCCUCCCGACACCACACCUUAACGGUGCCGUCGGCGGAGCCGGUGAGGACGAGGCUGCCGAACCCAGCCGCGGCGACGGUGUUGACGGCCGGAGCCACACCGCGCGGCGGCACCGCCCACCGCCCCUCCCGCCCUUUGCGAUGUAGCUGGACGGGUUGACGGAACGGAUCCGGUGGUGAAGGUGGCGGGGAUGGCGGAUCCGGUGGUGAAGGGGGCGGGGAUGGCGGAUCCGGUGGGGAAGGCGGCGAGGACGGCGGAUCCGGUGGGAGACGGUGGUGAUGGCGGAUCCGGGGGAAGAACAGCGACGGGGAUGGCACAGGGAGGGUGGUGCGGCGGGGAUGGGAGCACGAACCGGCGGCGGGGGUGGCCUGGAAAAGCCGACGGUGGCGGCGGAUUCUUGAGGAGGGUGCGGCUGCGGCUGGGGAAGAAGCUGAGUAUGCGGGUACGGGUGCCGCUGCCGCUGGGGAGAGAGAAAACUGGACAAUAAAAGAGGGGCAAAGGGUGUCCACCCUACCUUUUAGCAAGUUUUAGCAACCAAAAACUUGCUAAAGUGCUAAACUUUAGCAGCUCAACUUUAGCAACUUUUAGCUGCUAAACUAACUUUAGCAACUUUUAGCAAGGGUGUUUGGUAUCAAACACCCCCUUAGUCAUAAAUCUUGUAUUGAUCUUUCCUGAACGCACUGAGAUCUAACAGUGGUAACAUGCAGCGAUAAAAUGCUACUCCGUUAUUUUUUGCAAUCCUAUAAGUUGGAACGAUCUUCUUUGAGUAAAUAUUGACAGCAUUGCUCCGUGUACUGGGUAGCUCUUUCUGUGAAUUCUUUCUUUCAAGUCUUCGUUCACGGGUAGUACUGAUGAUGUUUCUUUCAGAAAGAACUGAAUAGCUGCAGUUUCUUUUGACUAAUAAAUUGCUUUGGCAAAGAUCUGAAGGGCAGUGGCGAGGAGGAGGAAGGAGGCAUUGGCUUAGCUUGACAUUGGUGUUUACUUUGAAAUCUAUUACACGAAUAUUUAAAUCUGUGCAAAAGUAUGCAAAAUAUAAUUCGUGCAAAAGAAUUAUUCAGGUAUGAAAUACUAUUUCUACCUUGUAAUCAAUGUAAAGAGAAUGGGAUGUACCUUAAAAGCUAAUUUAAAAUUAUUUUGAAAUCUCAUUUACAUGAAUAAAUCUUGUUCUCGAAUUUAUAUAUAUAAAUUUUUUUUACUUUUUUGGAAACACGUGCAUGCCAGAAAUUAAAUGAAUGAUUCACUUCCAACCGGACAAUUCGAUUCAGCACUUCCAAUUCGGAGAACCAAAUGGACUUGAAUGAAAUGGGUCAGGCCUUACCCAACGCGACCACCUUGGGCUUCGUCGGCCUAUUUCUUAAUAUAAGAAAGCCUUUAACAAUUGAGAAGGAAAGCCCCCCUGUCGGCCAGGGAUGGCCCGGCCCGGUCAGCACCGCUAAAGCGCGUGACUCGGAACCGUCGGAUGGUUUCCUUAAGAACCCUAGCUCCCCAUCCUCCUUCCCCUCCCCUUUCCCUUUCGAUUACGGCGGCGCCGCCAUCGCAUCACCUCCAUCGCAUCUCGCCCUCCUCCAUGGCUAGCAUCUCGCUCUCCAACUGCGUCCUCCUCCACGCCGAUGGCUUCCACGGCAACUUCUUACUCCGUAACGCCACCACCGCCAUGGCCUUCACCAGUCGGGGGACCAGCAUCGCGGCAUCCUUAAGCUGCCCCGAGCGUCCGCUGCUCCCCACAAUCCUCUUUGUGGAAUGCUCGGGCGUUGACUUCACCAGCGAGCCCCCACGCAUCGUCCGCGCGGUUGAAAACAUCAUCCUCUUCAGCGUUCUCAUCGGCCCUCGCCUCCCAGACCUCUCGCCGUGCGACUACGACUACUUCGUCUACCGGGUCGGGGAGGUUCCGUCGCUUCAGCGGCUGCCGUCCCCGCUUCCCACCUUCCAAGACGAGGAUGCAGGCCUCCUUCUCUGCGGGGACGACGACUUCAUCGUCGCCGCGUUGAUAGCUACAAACAAAUCUGGCGUGUACGAUCUCCACCGCUUCGACUCCAGGACUUGGACCUGGAGCCAGGAGGUGGUGCCAUUGGUGGCGCCGCAGGCUGCGUUCCCCUUCAAGAUCACCAUGAACUCAAUCCGGCUUGGUUACCAUCUCACGUCCACCGUAAUCACCAUCGGAGGCGAAGGUGGCACGAUGGGCUGGGUCGAUCUCUGGCGUGGCAUCCUGAUCUGCGACGUGCUCCACCGGAAGCCCGAGCUCCGUGGUGUGCCCCUGCCGGUGCCGAUGGACCUGCUGACAUGCAACAAUGGUCGGGGGGCUGACAUAGGAGGCUGCGGAAAAUCCCUCCGCGGGAUUGCCGUCAUCAAUCAAAGCCUCAGGUUUGUUCAUUUGGAAGCCAUCGUCUCCACCACCUUCAAGACUCUGCCUACCGAUAGCGACAGCGAUGAAGAAACAGCCGUUCCUCACUCACUCAUGUCUGACUGGGUGAUCACGACAUGGAGCAACUCCAAGAUGAGUACCUCGUGGGAUGACUGGAUCAAGGACUGCGAGGCCAAAGCAUCGCACACCACGAUCCAGAGCAAGCCCAAGUCAAAGAUGCUCAACUCUGGAUUGCUGUCACCUGAAGGAGCAAAUCAAGUGCGAGCCUUGCAGAACCUCUGGGUGUCCCACCCAGCUCCUGGCAUCAAUGAUGAUGUCGUUUACUUGCUUGCCAGAGUCAGAUUCCGGGACCCGAAGGCAUUCGUUAUCGCUCUUGAUGCGAGGAAGAAUGUUCUGCUAGGCUCAGCUGAGUUUGCCACUGAAAAG